rnacentral:lncRNA from 1 species
UUUUUUUUUUUUUUUGGUAUUCAACGUUCUGCAAUUUGAAAGAUGUCGUUAAUAUCAAUAACAAUAAGUACACAACCUGUAAAAAAAUGAGGAAAUUCAAUAUGCAGCCGCAACCAAAAAAAAAAUAUAUUUAUAUUCCAAAAUUGAACAAAGAAAGUUCAGAAAUUGUGAGUGUCAAGGACCAUGUGUCCUAAUUGAACAAUAACCAAGGAUCCUUUAGUUACCCCCACAUUAGUCACCGAAUGUCACCAAAUAAUGGUAAUUGUUGCCACGUUUUUUUGUAGUGAUUGCUUGUUCAUUUUACUUAGUAGUGUUUAUCAAGAGAGAUUGAAACUUGUAAAAUUAUCAGGGUUUUUUUUGUUCUGUGUUUGUGGGAUUAGGAUUUGGUAUGAUUGGCCAUGUAGUUUGGUAUUCUUUUAAUUUUAACUCUCUCAUUCUUGUGCAGAGUUAGUUAGUCCCUUGUAAAUUCUUCAAAAAGUCAGUGAGUGAGUGAGUGAGUGAUUGGUGGUAUCAUAUUGGGUUUCCAAUUUUGUUGUUGCCCUGCCUUUCUUGAUAGACAAAUAAUGAAACCACGACUAAUUUUUGCAUGUUGUGGGUAUACCACGUGGCUAAUGUACCAUCCAAUACACAUGGAACAUGUGGAAAUAUUUUAUUUUUAUGUCCUAUGUGUAUUGGACAAUAUUUCCACGUGUCUCUGAAACCACAUGAUGAGUCGUUAUGAAUAUUCUUGAUGAUAUCAUAUAUGGGUUUCCAUUCGUUUUUGUUUAGCAACAGUUUGAACAAGGAAUACUUCUUUUGUUCUGGUUCCAGAUUUUCAGGCUGUAAAUAAAUAAUGCGCACUUUGUUUCCAGUUGAAUAAAGUUGUUCUUGUUGGGCAGGGUUUUGAGGAGAGAUCCUUGUGGGAUUUAUUUAAUUCAAAAGGUUUGCUUGGCUUUGAGAUCACAUCCUCAUACCAUUACAUCAAAUUAGUCAUAAAAAUUGAAGCCUAAAAAAGUUACUUCCCUUCCCUUCCCUUCGCCCAUAUAAAGUCUAUUGGAAUAGGAAGCAAGAGAUUUCAGGCGUUUUGGAAUUUGUUUGUGAGCCUUUAUUUUUCUCACCAAACACUGCGGAUCCAAUUCAAUGUAACGACAUUCGUAAUGUUGUUCAAUUCUUGUUGCUGUUGACCAUCAUGAAUGGAUCCAACCCAAUAAGAAAGUUGUGUGUCAUGCUAGCACCAACCGAGUUCAGCAUUCCAUUGUGUAAGCAAAGCGAACAUCCAUGGAAGCAAUUAAUUGGAAACCUCUUGUUGAUGUCUUUUUCUGCCAGGGGUGUAGAUUGUGCAACACCAAUGGCCCGAGUGUGUCUGUACGCUGACACCACUAAUUUUGACAGUGAAUGAACCUUUUAAUGAUCGAAUUGAAAGUUGGAUCGGACUUGAAAGAGAGCAACGGGCCCGACCCAUGUUGGUGGGUGAAAAUCCGGCUACUUCUCUGGGUUCUGAGUUGUUGGAUUGCUUAGGCGUGCCGCUAUUGGAAUCGAAGGCGACCCAAUAGGAAUGUGUGUAUUUGCAUGAUUAUGUGUUGGAUAUGUGUUGAUCUCGACUUCUAAUCGAACUAUUGUGUUCCAAGAGGGUACUAGCUCGGAUUAGUUCUUUUUUAUGCCUCAAUUAAGAGGACUUCAAGGGGUCGUUUGGUACACAGGCUUGGACUAAAUUUAGUACCAUGUUUGUUUCAUUUAAUUCUAGUCUUAGAUGGGAUUGCUAAUACCGGGCCCACCAAAAACACCUCCUUAUGAGGGGACUACUAAUCCCAUGUAGAAAGGGAGGAUUAGCUAGUCCUAUGUUUACCAGUGUAUGAGAUGCAUACAUUAUAUUGUAAUACUAAUAACAUAUAUUACUAUUAUUAUUAUUACAUACACAUAUACUAUAAUGUACAUAUAUACAUGUAUAUACACAUAUACAAGUAUAUAUAUACACAUAUAUACAUAUAUAAUAUAUAUAAAUACAUAUAGAUAUAUACACAUAUAUUAUUAUUAUAAUAUACUCAUAUACACAUACAUAUUAAUAUUAUAAUAAUAGCAUACAUGUAUACAUGUAUAUAUGUAAUAUAUAUUAUAUUAUAUAUUAUGUACAUAUAUACAUGUAUAUACAUGUAUAUAUAUAAACACAUAUAUACAUAUAUAAUAUAUAAAUACAUAUAGAUAUAUACACGUAUAUUAUUAUUAUAAUAAUAGCAUACAUGUAUAUAUGUAAUAUAUAUAUAUAUAUUAUUAUAAUACAUAUAUAUAAGUAUAUAUACAUAUAUGUGUAUAUACUAUACCCAUGUAUGUAUUAUAAUAUACAUAUACACACGUAUAUACACAUAUACAUUAUAUAUUUAUACUAUAUGUAUAUAUAUUAUAAUAUACAUAUAUACACGUAUAUACAUAUAUAUUAUUAUUAUAACAUACCCAUAUAUAUUAUCUAUUAUAAUAUACAUAUGUAUAUGUAUAUGUAUUAUACCCAUGUAUAUAUUAUAAUAUACAGAUACACCUAUAUACACAUAUAUUAUAUACAUGUAUAUACGUAUAUAUGUAUAUUAUAAUAUAUAAUAUAUAUACAUUUAUUAUACAUAUAUUAUAUAUACAUAUGUAUUUUAUAAUAUAUAUAUAUAUAAUAUAUAUGUAUAUAUACAUACAUAUAUACACGUAUAUACAUGUAUAUUAUUAUUAUUAUUAUAACAUACCCAUAUAUAUAUAUAUUAUAUAUUAUAAUAUACAUACAUAUAUAUAAAUAUAUGUAUAUGUAUUAUACCCAUGUAUAUUAUAAUAUACAUAUAUACACCUAUAUACACUUAUAUAUAUGUAUGUACGUUUAUAUUAUUUAAAAUAUAUAAUAUUAUUAUAAUAUACUUAUAUACAUGUAUAUACAUAGAUAUAUUAUAUGUAUGUAUAUAUGCAUAUAUAUUAUAAAAUACAUAUAUACAUAUAUAUAGAUAUUUUUGAAAAAAUAAAAAAAUUAUAGUCCUAGUCCAAGCAUACACCAAACGCAGGAUAAGUGUUAUUCAACUUAGACCAAGCCAAGUCAAGCCAAGCCAGUCCCUAAGCAUAGUUCAUGCCAAGACAGUCCUGUGUACCAAACGAGCCCCAAUAUUCUUUCACUUGUGCGUUGACGGUAUGAUAGGCACAUGACGUACCUAAUCCAACAGAAGAACCAUAUUUUGGACAGAGAAUACCUUAAUUGGGCUUAAUGACCUUGAUUGGGCAAAAAAACCUUUACGGUAGGCUCGUUUGUGCUAAUAUCAGGUCUGAUAGUAUUAAUCAGACCUUAAUUACCUUUUAUCGGGCAGUGUAUAUUUUGAUGAGACAAGAAGAAAACCCUUGAUCGAUCAAGACGAAAGCCCAGAUUAGGCUAAGUAUUGUUUGUCGGGCAAGACGAAAGCCCAGCUGAGCUAGUCUUCUUACUGUCGUUACAUUAUUGUUUGCAUGCACAACUUGACUUGCUUUUGGGUAUCCUGAUCCUAUAAUAUAAAAACAUCUCACAUCCUUUUCUUUCCUCUUUUAAUCUUAGCCGUCUGAUUUUGUUAAAAUAAAUUCAAUGGCUAACAAUAUAAUUGCUUUUUCACUUAAAACAAAAAAAAAUAUAUUGAAAAUGACAUAUCAUACCGUCAUGCCGUCUGAGUUUAAUGCAAAGCCAAAGAAAACGAGUUUAAACUCACAAAUAAUAACAGAAGUCCUCACAACAAUUUGUCUUUGCCAGCAGCAGCAGCAGCAGUUCCACCUCCACGUCGUUCAUAGAAAAACAUUACAUGUACAGAAUAACAUUUAAAAUUCACCAACUUUGGAUCUCCUAUUUUGAUAUUCCCCCGAGACUUGCAUGUAAAAAAUUGAGCAUGCUGUUACUCCAAGUAAUUUAUUUGCAUUCAAUAUUAUUGGUUUCAAAUACAAAUACAUUUUUUUUGGGUAAUUCAAAAUGAUGUCCAUUAUCUCCCAUUUGGAUCAUUAAUCUCAGAAAAGAUCGUCUCAGAUAUACAUUGGAUGGAUUCAUCUGUAGCGCAACCUGGCUUGGAACUUCUAAGUUCGGCAUCGGCACUAUCAUUGACGAAGGCAACCUCAUUGUUCCUUUCAAUGCAGUUGCGGUGGAGCUGCAAUGCAAGCUCAAGCGCCCUCACAACAUCAUUCAUUGACGGCCGUUCAAUUCCACUAUCAUUCAUGCAACUCAUUGCAAUCUCAACAAACUGAUUCAGACACUGAAUUUCAAUCUUACCCCUUAUGCUUGGAUCAAUAAUUUGAUCAAGUUCCCCGUCGCGAUGACAAUUCCUGGCCCACUCAGCCAAGUUCAUUUGCCUCAGCUCCACCGUAUGCAUCACAGCCGGCCUUACACACAGUACUUCACACAAUACUACACCAAACGAAUAAACGUCCGACUUCUCGGUUAGCCGUUGACGUCGGUAGUAUUCCGGGUCCAAAUAUCCGAAACUACCUUCCACCAUUGUACUAAUGUGAGUCUUGGACGUGUUGGUAGUGCCCAUUUUUGACAAUCCAAAGUCCGAUACUUUGGCCACCCAUUUCUCAUCUAAUAAAAUGUUUGUGCUCUUCACGUCCCGGUGGAUGAUGGUGCCCUUGGCACCGGUAUGAAGGUAGCUCAACCCUCGUGCCGCGCCAAUACAAAUUUGAAGCCGUUGCUCCCAAGAAAGAGGCGGGUUAUCCUUGUGGUAGAGAUGGUCGGCGAGGGUCCCACGUGCCAUGUAAUCGUACACCAAGAUCAUCUCAUUGUCGUCUGUACAAUAUCCAAUGAGAGACACUAAAUGGCGGUGGCGGAGCUGGGACAGCAACUCGAUUUCCGUCUUGAACUCAUGGGCUCCCUGUGAUGACUCGGGUUUCAGCCGUUUGAUAGCUACAGGGGUUGGCCCACCAUCGUCGAUAUAGCCUUUGUACACGUUCCCAAACCCGCCAACUCCAAUGAUGAAACUAUCAUUGAAGUUUUGGGUGGCGGCUUUGAUCUCAGCCAGUGGAAAGUAACGACAUAAAUAAGGAGGUAAAGAUGACCCGCGAGUCUCUGUUGACUUGGUUGGCCCGUGGAUGGAGGAGACAAAGGACUUGGCUUUCAGUCGUCGCCUGAAAAUCAGGAAUCCAAACAGGACAGAGAACACAAGUAGGCCGGAAGCUACACCGGCAGCAAUGGCAAGUAUACGAUUGGACUUGGUGUUGUGUUUUACUGAACUUGACGGCGUCAAAUCGGUGGGUCCAGCAAAAUUGCCAUUUAAGUCACUUAGCUUGAAGAUUUCGAGCCCAUUCAAGAUUCCAGCAUUUGGAUUUGCUUGCAGUGCGAGAGAGAGGUUAACUUUCUUCCGGGUUCCACCAGGGUCGGUAGGCAUGGAGACCAAAUAGUCUUUGUACACUGGGCUCUCAUUUCCACCACUCCAUUCAAUUAUGUCGGCUCCUUGUCCUGCGGUUAGAUUGACCAUUUGGAUUGUAAAAAUUCGGUCUCUAACCUUGGUGAUUUUUGGUUGAAACUCACAAAAAUGAAGCCUAACCAGGUAUGAAAACUCGGAAUCUACAGGAAAUUGCCAGAUGAGAUUAAAGCUCUUGUUUAUGUUGGCGUCCUCACCCAUUGACCGACCGGUUUGGUAAACUUCUUUUGGCGCAGUGUACUUUGCAAUUGUGUUAAAGUGGAGUUCUAUACUAGUAUUUUGUUGCAGAAGGCGGCUCAAACUUAAACUUGAAGUGUCCAAGUACCUUUUCUCCUCAUCAUCACUAUCCCAUUUGCGGUACAUGCCAGUAUCUUUCUUGGGAAGAAUUAAGACUCCCCCGACAUUCAAUCGGUAGACCAUCUCUAGAACAAUCGUGUUUUCAAUGCGGAAGUUGAUUUGGUUGCCAACAAACGCAACCCCGUCGCUGUACGGUGGAGUGUAGUAAAGAUUCCUAGGCAUGGAUACAAUUUCAAUGCCGUUGAUAAAGGCAUGCGCAUCUCGGCUUGCCCGGCUUGGAGUGAAUGUGAUGUUCAAACUCUUUUCUCCCUCCUCAAUGCUUACACAGAAUUCUCUGUAUAUCGUCUCCAUCCCAGAAGCAUCGGCAGUGAGAGAAGUGUUGAAGUUGUGGAGAAGGGUAAAGCCACCAGCUUUGACGGAGAAGACUGCAUUGGAGCGGUGGAAGUCGACACCAUAUGAAACAGGGUAGAAAUACAGACGAAUGAACUUUUGGCCAGUGGUGAGGUUAAAUGUGUAUGUAAAUUCAGAGCGAGACAGCCGCGAUCUGUUGUACGGCACAGCUCUGCUGGCAAAGGAGGACGACGGAGGUGCGUCUCUUACGAGGGAUGUGUAACUUGCAGCUUGGUGUACUUCAACGGGUGAAAACUCUGAAUUUAUGUCUCCAGUCCAAUUUCGGCCGUCAUCCAGAGUGACCAGCUGGCCAGAAUAGCCGCAUUGAACGGUGAUAGCAUUGACCGGAAUGUAUGGACGUGGGUCGGGGUUUGGUCCGGCAAGAUUUCCAUUUGUAUCAUUGAGUUUGAAGAGUUCAAGGCCGUUCAAGAGUACAUCAUUGUAUUUAGUCAUCCAAUCUCUUGGGUUUGCUUGCAGUGCAAGAAAGAGCUUAACUUUCUUCUGAUCAGGGCCUGCAGGCAUGAACACGACGUAAUCCCUGUAGAUUGGUAUCCCAUUUCCACCACUCCACACGAUUAAGUCGGCUUGUGGCUCAGCAAGUUGGUUCUCCACAUAGAUUAGAAACGAUCGGUCCCCGGGGUCCAUAAUUUCAGGCUCAAACUCACAGAAAUGAAGCCUUAGCAGGUAAAGAAACAUGGGAUCUACGGGAAAUUCCCAGGUCAAUUUGUAGCUCUUGUUUCGGGUGUGGUUGCUGCCCAUGGACCGGCCCGUUCGGUAAACUACUUGUGGAGCACAGUACUCUGGUAUUUUCACAAAGUUGAGUUGAAGGCUAACGUUUUGUGGAAGAACAGUCCACCUGGAACUCAAAUCAUCCAAGUACUUUUGCUCGUCUACUACACUGUCCCAAUUGCGGUACAUCCCAGUGUCUUGGUCGAAAGAGAGUGCACUUCCACCGACGUUUAUUCGGUACACCAUCUCCAUCGCCGUGAUGUUUUCGAUGCGAUAAUUGGCUUCGUUGCCUACAUAAUCAACUCCAUGGCUUUCGGAUGCAGUGUAGUAAAGAUUGGUGGGCAUGGACACAAUCUCAAUCCCAUUGACGAAGGCAUAAGCAUCUGGGAUUGCUCUGCUCGGAGUGAACGUGAUGGUCAAGCUCUGUCCUUCAUCAAUAUUCAAACAGAACUCUCUUAUUAGCGUCUCAGUCUCACUAGCAUCAGCAGUUACAGAAGCAUUGAAAUCAUGGAGAAGGGUAAAGCCACCUGCUUGAACAGAGAAGAGGGCUUUGGACCGGUCGAAGCCGGGGUCAUAUGAAACUGGGUAGAAGUAGAAGCGAAUAAACUUCUGCCCGGUGGAGAGGGAAAUUUUGUAAGAAAAUUCGAAGCGAGAAAGCCUAGCUGUGGUGUAGGGCACUUGGCUAACAGAGGAGGAGGGAGGAGCUUUUCUGACUUCGGAGGAGGUGUUGGUGUCAGCUUGGUGUAAUUCAGAGGGGGAAAAUUUUGAUUUGAUAUCUCCAACCCAAUUUCGCUUGUCAUAUAUGUUGGAUAAGGUUUCGGAAGAGCCACAGUUGAUAGUGAUGUCUUCGACCGGAGUGUAGAUAGGUGCAGAGAUUAGGCUGCCAAUUUGCAGAAAGAGGGGCAGGAGGUAGAGAGGCAGAGGAGGGAGGAGGAGUUUCUUCAUGGUUAUUGUUUGGAAAGGUGUUUGCUGCUAAUUGGGUUCUUGAUAAUGGCAAGAGCAGUAAAAGAUCAAGGGGUAAUUAAGAUGAUGAUUCAAAGGAUGGUUAUUGGUUUGUAAAGGUGUUUACUGCUUUCUUCUUUUGUAAAGCUUUCUUUUGCUUUUUUUUUAAAAAAAAAAUUUUAUUUUAAAACAAAAUAUUAAAAUUAUGUUGGUCAACAACAUAGAAUAAUUCAGGCAUAAGCUUUCUAUUUUUUUGUCCACAAAAGAAAAAAAAAAAGCUUUCUAUUGUUUCAGUGCUACCACAUCUUCGUCAUGUGUUCAUGUGUCUGGUAGGUAGGCGUAUGGUUGUCGGUCUCCUUUUAUCAUUGAGAUGCAUGAUAUUUUCCAGUUACCAAAAAAAAAGACAUGCAUAUUUUUCUGAGAAAUUGCGUGGAAAUGUAAAAGAAAGUAGUUUUUGUUUUCUUUUCUGAUUUUUUUCGUAUUGAAGCUUAUUUGCCUAAAACUUUCACAAGGAGACCAAAACGUCCAAUGAUUUCAAUCAGCUGAGCUAGUCUUCUAUAGUUGUCGUUACAUUCUUGUUUGCAUGCACAAUAUUGAAUUUCUCGAGCACAAGUAGGAUACGUGGAUGGAUCAACGACUUGCCUUCUCUGGUUUCGUCAAACAUCAAAGACUUUUCUUUCCUCUUUCAAUCUUAGACGUGGGACUUUGUUAAAGAAAAUUCAAUGGGCUGUCAAUAUAAUUGUUUUGACAGGGGAAGGAGGUAAAGAGGCAGAGGAGGGAGAACAAGUUUCUUCAUGGUUAUGGUUUUGCAAAGGUGUUUGCUGCAAACUGGGUUCUUGAUAAUAGCAAGAGAAGAGAAAGAUAAGAAGGUAAAUAAGGAGAGGAGGAUGAUGAUCAAGUGAGAAACAGGGAAGCUGCUGAAACAUAACAGAGAGAUUGCCCUGUUUAAUUUUCAAAUGGGAAUUUGGAAAGUCUUCUUCUGAUCAAGUGUUAUUGUCUUCACAUGGAGAAGAGAAAGAUCAGAUGCUAAUUGGGUUCUUCAUCCACAUCCACAUGACAAACAUCCCAUGGAGUAGUUGACAGGUGUGGUAGACUGACUGUAAAGAAUUUGUACAGAGACGAACUAGAGACGUGAAAGGAAAAUAAUAAACUAGGACCACAAACACUAGAAUCGAUUGAAAUAAAAUUGAUGGGGCAGAGGAAUAUCUUGGCGAGAUAUUAUUGUGGAACUUGGUUGUGUGUGGGAAUUGAGUUACUUGACAGCUGAAUGGCUGUCUCGUUUGAUAUUUUCCAUGAUUUCAGUGGCACAAAAGGCUUUUAGUUCUCGUCCAAACUCGCAUUUGCAUGCUUGCUUGCUUCUCCAUGUUUGAAUGUUUCAUGAUUUCACGUGCAGGCCAGGAAAAAAAGUUAAAGAAAGACAAAAAACAAACAGCAUGAACCCUCUCACUUGGGAUGGACAUUUGAACCGAAAAAUCCUAGUACUAGGAGCAUUUGGCAUGAAAAUUCUCUUAUGUGAUGAAUAUUUCUAGGAGCAAUUACCAGGUGACCCUAUAGCAAAUGUUUAGAGUGGAAACAACUCACUCCUGAUUAGUUCUUUCCAAGAGAUUUUGGAUGUAAUAUUCAACUAUCCAUGACCGGUUCCUAUUUGCAUCGUUCUUGUGUAAGGAAUGUAACUUAGCUCGAGUAGAGUUUUGUAUCAAAAGAUAACGGUGCAAUUUAAGGAGAACUCCCCCUUAUCCUUUUAUGCAUAACUUAUUCUCCAACAUAGAACAAUUGUAUUUGAUUCACAAUUCCUAACAAAGUUGCAAUUUAUUAAAAUUUUACAAUACUAAAUCUUCUAGAAUGAUCACGGGACAAACAACUACAAUAAACGUAACCCACUGCCCCUAAUUUUAAUUUGGUUCAAAUACAACUGAUAUGAAACAUUGAUGCAACAUAUUUACAAAAACCUAAAAAGCAGCCCCUUUGCAACACUUCAAUUAAAACCUUUUCUAUUUCAAGUCCCCUUUUGCUAUUCUUUUUAAGAAGAAAAUAUUUAAAUUAUGUUCGCCAACAACAUAGAAUAAUUCAGGCAUAAGCUUUCUAUUGUUUUUUGUCCGAAAAAUAUAAAAGCUUUCUAUUGUUACAGUGCUACCAUAUCUUCGAUCGUCAUGUGUUGAUGUGUCUGGUAGGUAGGCAUGUGUUGAUAUUUUCCAGUUACCCCAAAAAAAGGGAAAAGAGAUGCAUGGAAAUGUGUUUUUGUUUUCUUUUCUGAAAAGCACAACUCGACCAAAACGUCCAAUGAGUUGUCGUUACAUUAUUGUUUGCAUGCACAUCUUGACUUGCUUUGGGUAUACUGAUCCUAUAAUAUAAAAACAUAUCACAUCCUUUUCUUUUUAAUCUUAGCCGUCCGAUUUUGUUAAAAUAAAUUCAAUGGCUGACAAUAUAUAAUUGCUUUUUUACUUAAAACCAAAAAAAAAAAUAUAUAUAUAUAUAAAAUGACACCUAUAGAAAGGAGAAAGAAGCUGUCUAAAGUGUUGGGGCUCCCUUUCAUUAUGUAGAGGAAAGGAAUUGCUUUUGUUAAAAUAAAUUCAAUGGAUCUAACCCAAUAAGAAAGUUGCGGGUCAUGUUAGCACCAACCCAGUACAGCAUUCCAUUGUAAGCACAUCUACCAUCACUGGAAGAAAUUGGAAAAAACCAAAACUCUUCUGGAGAUGAUACAAUUACCUCUCUCCAUUCACUGCUAUCCGAAGAGAAGAUCUCUGCAAUGAAUUUGUACCCCGAUUUGUAAUGAGGAAAAACUAAUCUCACAACCUUGCCCCUACGCUCACCAUUAAUAUUAAUAUUCCGCUGCCUGCCUGCUGGGACUGAGGAGAUUACUACCACCACCACACAAGGAUGAAAAUAUUUAUUCGGCCUUCAAUUUAUGGUUAUUUCGGGGGAUAAAUUGAUGCCAUUUUAGUUAUUGGGGAAAAUUGACUGAUAUUGGCUUAAAAACACAUAAUUUUGAAGUAAAACUUUCAUAAAUAUUAAGCACAUUAUCAAUGAAUGUAUUGACCAAAAAAAAAUUCAAAAUAUACUAAGUAUAAGAUAUGCAUAUGAAUCUGAUGAAAUGUACGUGUAUAUAAUGCGCGAUGAAAAUCCUGAGAAUAAAUACAAUUAGACACAUACAACAGUAUUCAAAUGCAACCCAACCCAACCUGUUAAUGCAUAACCCAACAUUAUAUUACAAGAGUCAAACUUAAUGAUAAAGGAAACGAGAGAUAGAAGAUUAGGUGAAAAAUAAAAUCAAACACACAAGAAUCCGAGCAACCAGAGAAAGGAGAGGAAGAGCCAAAGAUAGCCGAAAUGACUGAUGAGAAUAGAAGAAAGAAGAAGCUACUAAACAUUAAAGCUUGGUUUUUGACAUUGAUUCAGGGACGUAUUGGGUUAUUUGUCUGGUAUCGGUAAAUAUCUAGGAUAUCAGGGGUUAUCCGGGAUAUAUUGCCGAUAAGGGGGAAGAAAUAGGCUUACCCCCUUGUAUCUGUAUCGACACCUAAAAAAGGGAUAUAUCGGCCGAUAUUUUCUUCCUUGCCACUACAAACACUCUGUUUGCAUCGAGGUGGGGAAGGAAGAGUAAUCCAUUGCCUGAUGUAUUUAUUGCAGAUGUAGUAAUCACAUUGAUGAAACCUGCUUGCGCAGGACAGAACUAGGUCAUUACACGUCCCUACCACACAUAUCUCUUCUCUAACGAGUGGAAACUUGCGAGUCUUUUAAACACAAGAGUUAGGGGUUUGGACGACGAUGAUGAAAAUCCGUAAAAAUUCCUCUCCUUUGAAGCUUAUCACAUUGGACACAUAAAAAAUGCUUAGAGAAAUAAGCAUCAGAUAUGAGAGUACACCAAUAGGUAGCAAAAUUUACCAACCCUACUUAAGUUUCCUUACAGAAGAACAUUUAAAAUUCACCAACUUUGGAUCUCCUAUUUUGCUAUGCCCCCAAGUCGUUCAUUGCCUUCAAAUUCAUUGCAGCAGAGUAAAAAUUGUUCUCACAUACACAAACUCUAACAUCGAAAAAGUGAAACCAAAAUUUACAUGCAAACUAAAGUUUAAGGAAUGACGGAACAAGAAGAACCAACACAUUUUAUUUUCAUCUGGAAGGAAUCAGGAAGGCAUCAGUUCUUACCAAAAGACAAGUUAAACUUAAAAGAAGACCAAACUAUUCGGGCAAUCAUAUCCACAUCCUAAAUCCCAGAAACAAAAAAACCCAAUAUUUACAAAUUUAUAUCUCUCUUUAUUAAAUAUUUUGGUGCAAAGUUCUAGACUCUAAAAAUACUUCUUCAAACUUCUAAGACCUCAAGUCUCAAUCUCUCGAGUAAACAUUUUGCUGCAUAAACACUACUAAGACCUCAAGUAACACCAACAACAAGCAAUUUAUUACACUUAGAAACUCCACCAAAUUAACCAAAGCUAUAAAAUGUUCAAAACCAAUACAAGCUUCAUUUCAUCAUUGGAUAUGAGACUGCCCGAAAAACGCCUAUUUACAAUUUUUACACUAAGCAAACCAAGAGUAUAUAUAGCUAUAUAAACAUCUCACACAAAUUGCUCAAACCUGACCUCUGAAUCGCCUGGCUCGCCACGGGUAGCCCUUUCACACUUGCUCCUUUCAUAAUCAGGAUCAUCCGUGGGCAGCUCAUACCGGCAAACCGGGCAUGUAUUUCGAAUGCCCAACCAGGGCACAAUGCAGUCCUGAUGAUAGUAAUGGCAACAGGGUAAGCUCCUGACCUUAUCCUCCGACGCAAUGCUGUCUUUACAAACAGCACAGACCACUUCUUCAUUCUUCAACUUCUCCUUUGUGAACUUAACAAAGGGAAGAUCCUCGACAACACUUGAAGCCGCCGGAGGGCUACCUUUCAUGGCAUUCGCAUUCUCCACGAAUUGCCCGAAAAUCGUGUUGAUGUACUCUGCAGUCUCUAAGUCAACAUCAUCAUCAUCGGCAUACCUCCGGAAAUUGUUGACUGUCAAGAGAAUUUCCCACUCCAGGCUUCGUGUGGCUCCUUCCGGAAUCUCUUCUUCUUCUUCAGUAGAAAACCCAGAGGCCACUGAGAGCUCUUCAACUCCGCCAUCGAUCCGAUUAGACUCAGAAUUUUCAAACAUGUUCCUCUGCUCCACCAAGAAAAGGUUGUCCCAGAUUGAUUGGAUACCCGAAUCGGUGAUCCGAUUACUUUCUAUAUCAUCGAUGGUACCGGAAUCCGAAUCAGAUUCCGAUUCCAACCCAACAAUCCGAAGGCCACUAACGCGCGAAUCAUCCCCUGGUGUAAUAUUAAACUCGCCCAAUUCAGAGACAGAGUCCUGAGAAUUUGACUCUAGACCAAACCCUAACCCCAAAUUUGACCCCAUUUCAUCUCCACCAUCAACACCCCCAAUUUCCGAUUCAAGCGAAAGCGGGUCCGAACCCGAACCCGAACCCGGAACCGUAACGCAGUCGUUAUUGGGCCGCUCCGAGGUGCGACGGUCGAAGAGAUCGGUGACGAAGCAGCUGACGUCAUGGUCCGAAUCGGAGGCGGCAUCGGAGAAACAGUCGCAAUCGGAGCUUCGGGAAUCGGGCGGAUCGGCGAAGGGGUUGCAAUUUUGGUUGGUGCACCAGUGGGCGAGGGGAUCAAGAGUUAGGGUAUGUGGGUCUGGUUCGUUUGGUUGUGGUUCGCGGGGUAGGUGAGUGGUGGCGCAAAGCUCAGACAUAGUUUCAAAGAUUAAUAAUGGAAGAAAUUGGAGAAAUUUUUGUUUGGUGGUGGUGCUUCAGUUUAUAUAGUGUGGGUUUUCUUCCCUCGUUUUUUAUUUUAUUUUAUUUUAUUUUACUUUGUCUUGGCCUGCUCUGUAAAAGAAUAAAAGUUUAAUCAAUAAAAAAACAUGCUAUUAUUAAUGUGUGCAUUAUUGGAAAAAUAUACGAAAAACAUGUUGCAGGUGUCUUCUUCGAAUUAUUACACAUAAUCUGCACCCUCCUCGGUGGUUACAUUCUCUAGUACUGGAUAUCAUAAGUCUAUCCAAAUUUUAAUGUAAAUUUUAUUCGACAUAUCUUCCAUGAAAGUAAUAUGACGGUCGAUGCUCUUGCUACUCAUGGACAUACACUUCCUCAUCUUUGUGUUUGGUUUAAUCAUGUUCCUCAUUUUGUAGCUCUUCGGAUAUUGUAUGAUGAUCGAUCUCUUUGAGUUCCUAGAGGAUCCCUCUUUGAAAUUCAUUUUGUAUUCCAAAAAUAAAGAUGUUAUCCUGACAGAUUAUCUCGGGGAAACUUCAAACUAGUACAAUAUUAUCCUGAUAAACUACAGAGUCAUGCGGGUCUCCCCAUGCUUCUCUUUCAGCUCAAAGAAUACGUCCUUGAUUGCCUCAAAUACCUCCUCAGGAGACCUUUCAGCAUCAAUCUAGGCCAAAAUCAAAGAAGAAGAAAAUAAGCUACUUAUGGGGAAAUCAAAUUUUUAGGUCAAAUUAGCCAAGCUAAACAACAUUUAGUCGUCUAAUUGUGAAACACUCGAGCGCGCUCAUGUAUAUAUAGGGUAAAAGGCUUGAACUAAGACUAAUAUUAUUCACUGGCAAAAGGCAAAGUAACCAUUUCCCAUGGAAUGUUACAAUCAGAAGCUUUGUGGAGAAGAUCGUUUACCUUUCGAACAUUGCCCUCGGCGCUGUAAUAAUUGAUUACAGGAAGAGUGCAUUCAAAGUAGACUUUAAGACGCUUCUGUAUUGUGCUAAUAUUAUCAUCAACUCUUCCCUUUGAAUCCACAGACAAUAUGCAUGAAAAAGAGUUAGUGAAGUUAGACACAUUGAAAAAUUUGUAAGUUAAAGAAGAAGAAAAAGGGCAGUUUGCUCACCUGGUUUCUAUUUAAAAGACGUCUUUUCAUCUCCUCUUCCGAGCAGUCAAGAAACAAUACAAAAUCUGGCUCAAUUUUCAUCUGUAGCAGAAGUUUUGAUUGUGCAUAUGGAACAGACAGAACAAUGAGAUAUAAAUAUGUUAAAAUCAGUGAAAGAAUAACAUAUGCUAUUCACAAAUAGUUUUUACAUUAAGCAAUGUAAUUAAACUAUCAAAGAAUUUGAUAGCUUAAACAAACAAAACAGAAAACUGCAAACCUACAAAGCUUUCAGCGGCAGCACGAUUUUCUUCAUUCCGUGGGAAGCCAUCGAUGACAAAUUUCUUGUUUUGGCUCCUCUGCAUUGCCUGUUGCAGAAGCUUGACAACCAGAUCGGAAGGAACAAGCUUUCCUUCUUUCUUACAGUCCUCAAUCAUUUUACUAUAAAGAAAUUUGUAACAAUAAAAGAUGUGUAUAACAAGGUGCAUAAUAGAAGUUUCAUCCAAAAAAGUUUCCUAGAUUUCCAUCAUAUGAGAAUUAUAAUAUUUACGUCUAAGUAUUAGGAAGCUGAAAGCAAAAUUAUUGGUUUAGUAUUGCACAAACAAAAGAAAGAAACUUUUGAAUCGAAUACCCGUAUUCAGAUCUAGUCUCAACUUCUGCUUCAAGAAGAUCACCAACACUCAGAUGACAAAACCCAAAGUAUGUAGCAAUUUUGGCGCAUUGUGUACUCUUUCCGCUACCUGGACCACCUGCAAAGCAUAGUUUAGGAGUAACUACAUCAGCAGGCACAACAAUUAGAAGGUUAGCAAGUCAUCUUAGAUAACUACACGGGCAGGAUUCUUUGUAAACAUUCUAACACAUCUAACGUCGUCAUUUCGUUUUGGAUACAAAAUGAGGUGAAGGUGCUCAAGCUCAAGAGAAGACUUCCAAUCCAUAAACUUGUAUAAAUUUGAGUGCAGAACUUGGACAUUGCCACAACAGCAGAAUUUCUUGGUUCCUUCGGUCCAAAAACUUCUUACACACCCAAUCUGGUCACCUAAGCUAAUUGUUUUACAGGGAGACAAAUUACCAUGAAUGUUGGUACAAUUUCAUGGAGAGCCACAAACCAAAGUUCAAAAGAAAUUUGUUACAUGUCACUUGGAUAUUUUGCUGUCAAGACUCAAGAUUAGUCCUGGAUCCCAACCCAACAGAUACAAAAGUGGACAGGAAGGAAAAAACAAAAUCGAAAGAGUUCAUGAUCAAAUUCAAAUUGCACCAACAAAAGUUUCACACCAGCAAAAUGGAGAAGUUGCAAAACAUUGUAAACUGCUUAAUUACCUAAAACAUAGAUAACUGUGUACCCUUUAAGGUUAUCUUCACUUACAUCCUGCCAAUCAAAGAUAAAUUUCAUUCAGAAAACAGGAUGAAUGCAAGACAUUUUCCCAGAAAAAGUAUGAGCGAAAAUUAGUAACACAUCCAAUAAUAGAUAGUGAUAUCUAAGAACCCAACCAAGGAAAAAAAACAAGAGUUGACAGUUAACCUUGUUGGGAGUCACAGUUGCCUCUUGUGCUGCACCAUCUUUUGCCAUGGUCUCCAUAAAAUCCUAUCCAGCAUGAGCUUCUUUAGAACCAACAUGCCAUAAUUUUAAGACCCUUCACCAGGUAGGUAAAAGCUUCAUCUUUACUUCCUCCACAAUUAUUUUCUUUUAUAUGAAGCAAACUUUUUAACCUUAACUUCAAGUUUAAAACUUCAAAAUAAAUAAUCCUAAAGAGACUAGCUUUAUAGGCAGGUGAGAUGAAAGAAGAGAAAUAUUAUGAAAAAAAUUGAAAAAGAAGUAACAAAAUCUAAUCACCUGACAGGGAUUACACUGGGGGGGAUGACUGAAGAGUGCAAUGCUUGCUCUCAGAUUCACAGGGUCCUUUCUGUGUGUAAACGGUGGCAUGGGUCAGCUAAACUGACUAGAGACUUCGAUACAGCUGCAAACGCUGCGUUUUAAGCAAAUAAAUGAAAAAGAAGUUCAAGGUUUUAAUUUUGUGGAAUUAAUAUACAAAUGUAAAUAAAAAGAACAAUUCAAUAAAUAAAGAAGGUAUCCUUUUUUAUUUUCAACAGUGUGUUACCCAGUUUAACAAGGUUUUCUUCACUUUUGCCCCUCGUCUUUGUAAUAAGACAGCAUAUGCUGUUGUCAGUUUCGUGACUAAGUAAAGGGGUAGUUAUGUUUGGGACCAUGUUGGUACGAAAUAGUUGUUUGAUAUACUCGCAGAAGAUGUAAAUUCUCUUUUGUUUUGAGGGAAAAUAUGGUUGGGGUUCUUCUUAAAGCAUUUUUUUAAAAAAAUUAAGGUUAGGAGAUUCUGAACGCACUACAAAAAUUUGAUCAGCAUGCAUAAAGACAAGAGAAAAAGUCACUUUUGAUCUUUAUAAUUUAUCGAUUUUUUUACUUUAGUUCAUGUAAUUUAAAUUUUGUCAAUUUAACCAUGCACACAUCUAAAUUUCCAUCCAAUUCCAUAUAAAAUUCCGUCCAAAAUACCCCUCCACAUAAGAGACGUGUUUAUUAUAUCAAGAAAUUGGAUGAAAAUUUGGACGUAUCCUUAAAUUGUAAUAAAAUAAACUACAUGAGUUAAAUUACCAUAAUUUUUGUUUGAAGAUAAAUGAGAAAUUGGAAGUAGUUACAGAAUUUUUGUGUAUUAUUAGCAAAGGUAGUUGUAAGAACCUAAUUGUCUCUGAACACUCGACCCAAGAAUUGUCUUUUACAAAGAACCUGUAACUCAAGUCAUUAAGAAUUAUUAUCUUCCCCAAAAGUUAUGUGUACAUGUGUUCAAAAUCUCCCAUCCCCAACAUUACUUUAUAUAAGAAGAAGUCUUUGAAGCUUGGUAUCCAGGGACAAUUCAAGGGUGUCCAGAGAAUCACCCUGCAUCAGAAACUUUUAGAAAUAUUCGGCCCAAUAAGUUGUUGGUAUUAAGCCCAAUUAUUAGCCCAUGAACUCAAAAAGGAAAGUUUGGACUACAAAAACUCAAAAAGGAAAGUCUGCAAAUGAAACAAGAAAAAACAGUCUGUUAUUGGAAAAGGCUGAAAAAUAAAAAUUAUGCUUGUUCUUCUUGUAGCUUUGCUACAUUCAACAACGAUCUCAUUCCUGAAUCCUUAAGCUCCAAAAUUUUGCUACAAAAAUCCACAAUUUCACUACGAAUUUCACAAAUUCUUCUACUUUAGGGUUUGAAUUGGGCGCGAAGCGAAUGCGAGCAAAGGGGGUCGAAGCUAGCUGGUAGCGUAGAGAGAAACAAUGAAGGCAGGAAGCGCCGCGAAGCUUAUCGUUGACGCCCUGCUCCAGCGGUUCCUUCCACUCGCACGGCGUCGUAUUGAGACUGCUCAAGCUCAGGUCCGUUGUGUGAUUCAAAUCCAUUUGAAUUCCUGCAAUUUUCACCUAUUUGGUUGUAUUUGGAUUUUCAGCUCUCUCUGUGUGUAUCUAUGUAGCUCUACCUCUGGCUUUCCUUUAUAAAGAAAUGAACACUCUAAUUUCAUCGUUGAUAAAGAGCUUUGUUCUACUUGUUUUGAUACUUCUUCAUCUUUAGUUCCAUUGUUUCCAGCAUGCCUUGUUAUAGUUCUUAGUUGGCUCAAGGAACUUGGUAGAGUUACUUAGAGUGGUCAUUGAUUCUUUGUAAUCUUCGUAUGACCGCAGCAAGAUAUGAUUUCAUAACUUUAGUCGAGGAAAGAGUAAUAGCCAUAAUGAAAAAGUUGAAAAUAGUUGUAAGUGGUCGUCCUAGAUUCCUAAUUCCUUUUGAGGUCCCCUUAUUUGCGUAGAACUGGUACCAACAUUGUCAUUUGUUACUGUGCGUUGUCGAUAUAUUCCACCCAAUGAGUCAAUGCCUUUUGCCGUUAGUGAAUGUUUGUAUUGCUAUGGUGGGUUUGGAAUUAAUCUAAUAUGUGAUGUUUGUCUUCAUUUUGUUAUGUGGGAAACUUGCAGGAUGGGCAAUAUCUCCGACCUUCUGACCCUGCUUACGAGCAAGUACUGGAUUCCUUGGCUAUGGUAGCUCGACAUACACCCAUACCUCUUUUAGAAGCUCUUCUAAGAUGGAGAGAAAGGUGGGUUUCACCCUUUUCCACAGAUAUGUUUUUCUGUGUUCCUCCUAGUUAUUUUGGACUUGAUGCCUCCCAGGUUUAUUGUAAGCUCUUGUUUACAAUGACUUUGUUAUAGCUAUAAUAUGUCAACGCAUUGUUGUUGAUCUGAGUUAUUAAUUGUUUUCUGUCUAGCCAUAUCAUUUUGUAACAUGGGAAUCUUUUUGUUGCAGUGAAUCCCCGAAAGGUGCAAAUGAUGCAUCUACAUUCCAAAGAAAGGUUUGUCAAAAGCUUGUUUCUUUGACCAGAUGCGUUUAUUCUUUAUUGUAUAUGGUGGAAGUCAAGAAAGUUUGGCCUAUAACAUCAAUGCCGUUCAUAGCUCUUUAUUGCAUAGUAUAGCAACCAAGAAUAUCAAAUUUUAUGAGUUUUUCAUUUUUUCAAUGUAUGUCAAUUUAUACUUAUAUUAUAUACUUGUAUCUGUGAUUGGGGAGUCUGCUUCAUUAAUUAUAACUUUCAUAAUAUGUUUGCUGAAGCUCAGCUUGCGGUGGAGUGCAUUUUUUGUUCAGCAUGUAUUCGUUUUGUCGAGUGCUGUCCACAAGAAGGACUUACAGGUUAGUUCAUUGCAUCGGUAUUUGAUUUUACCUUGAGGCUUGUGAAGUUGUGCUAUUCAGCGAAAUAAAACAAGCUUUGUUCUUACUGCAGAGAAACUUUGGUCUGGGCUUGAAAAUUUUGUGUUUGACUGGCUGAUUAAUGCUGACAGGUAAAGCUAUAGUUGGUUGUAGGAACUUCUUGGAUACAUGUUGUGUGAUUGUCUGAUUGGUUAAACUCAGAGCUUCGUACACCAACAUUGCUAGUUUUUCCUUACUGAGUCAACUAAGUUCUACCCCUUUGAUGUUAAUCUUGAGCAACUACUGUCCUAUAUCCUUCAUUGCAUUGAUGCUUUCUCAUUUGUCUUCCUUGUAUGUGUCAUACUUUUCCAUAAAUCUGCUAUAUGCAUGGAGUAUUUUUUUUAACCUUUUCUCUUUUAAUCAGGAAAGAAAAAAAGAUGUGGGUCUUGCUGAAGUUUGCAUUUUGCCUCGCUAUUCACUUCUAUGUUGGUUCUGAUACUUUGUUACACAGAUUGAUAAUAAAAUUUAAGUACCAGGAUAAUUUUUGGAUCUAAGCAUUUAGACUUUCAUGCCCUGGGUGUGAAAGAAAACAAAGAGGAAUGAUUAACUGGGUAAUACUGGUUGUUCUGUAUAUUAGUUGGAAGAGUUUUAGCAUAACAUUGAAUCAAGAAUAAUGCCUUAGGGACGAUAGGAUUGUAGAACACUGCUUGAACCAUUUACUAGUGAUCUAAGUCUGAAAGCUGAACUUCCCCAUCAACAGCCCUAUUCCCUGUGGUUGUAUGCAAUGUAGAAGAGCCAAAGAUGCAAGGACUAGAACACAUAUCUCAAAACUUGAUAAAACACAUUAAAAGUUUUCUUUUUUCAUUUGCUCAUGUAAGUCAUCUUGGUUGCAACUCACUAUACUUUCAUUGCAGGGUUGUUAGCCAGGUUGAAUAUCCCUCAUUGGUUGAUCUGCGAGGACUUCUUCUGGACUUAGUCGCUCAGCUCUUAGGGGCCUUAUCUCGCAUCAGGUGACUGAAUAUCAAGUUAUCAUAUUUGGAAUUGAUGGAAAUUGCUAUCAUUAUCCUCAAACUCCCUUGCGCACUCAAACCCCCCGUCUCUCCAACAAGAAGAAGAAAAGAAUUGCAAAACAUUAAAAACUAUUUGGUCAUUAUCAAAGUGGAUUUGAAAUCUAUUAUUUGUUGAUUUUAUAACUUUUAAUAAUUUGUGAUAUGUGUGAUUUAGGCUUUGUAGUUGAUAAUAACACUAGGUUUUGAUAGUUGGUUUUCAACUUUGUCAUCUAUCAUUGGUGAAGUUGGGUGUAAGUUAACUCAUUGAUGCAUGUCAUUUUAAAGAAUCUGGCAUCAUUGUUAUAUUUACCUGUCAAAUAUGAUUAACUGUCUAAGUUUAGUUAAUGUAUUAUAUAUGGUGCGCAGGUUUAGUUCUGUCACUGAGCGCUUUUUCAUGGAGCUCAGUAUUCGUCGGAUUGACACUAGUGUUGCCAGAAGUGAAACCCUUAGUAUCAUUAAUGGAAUGCGCUACUUGAAACUUGGGGUAUGUUGAAAAUAACAUUCAUGUAGGAAAAAUGACAUUAGGACAACUCUAUAACUAUUAAGUAAUUGUCAGGUAAAAACUGAGGGUGGACUGAAUGCAUCUGCUUCCUUUGUGGCAAAAGCAAACCCCCUCAAUCGUGCACCACAUAAACGCAAAAGUGAGCUUCAUCAUGCACUAUGCAAUAUGCUUUCAAAUAUCCUAGCACCUUUGGCAGAUGGUGGAAAAAGCCAGUGGCCACCUGCAGGUGUAGAGCCUGCACUUACACUCUGGUAUGAAGCUGUUGGGCGGAUUAAAGGACAACUCAUGCAUUGGAUGGAAAAACAGAGCAAACAUAUUUCUGUGAGUUGACCCCAACUCUUUUACGUCUUGGUUUUUCCAAUAUCUAAAUUGUGCAAAAUAAUAUUCAUAAUACUUUGACAUAACAUUCAGAAAGUUCCCCCUUUGUACUUUUCUGUUGCCUCCAAUUUAAUUAUGUUAUACAAUUCAAAAGAGGGGGAAAAAGAAUUUGAUAACUUUUACAGAGAUAAAUAGUUUGUUUACCUGUACAAAUCCUCAUGGUGGUCCUGGAAUUGUGUUGUUUAUCGUGUGAAUAUUCUCAUUUUCAAAUUGCUCUUGCCACUAACGGGGCAGUUGGUGCGUGAUAAAUUCAUGUGUCACAGUUACAGAGGCAUCUUUUGGUAUUUGGAUUUUCGCUCUGAUUUAGAAUUACAAUUAUUUCUCCGAAAAGGGUUCUUUUCAUGUUGUGUGGUUUUAAUGUUUCUCUUGAAUUUGGAUUUUAAAUGUUUGCUUUUGGAUGGUAUGGUUGGUGCUUUUAUUUCCUUUUACAUUGUCAGGUCAACUGUUAUUCUUUUUCCCCCUUUGUCAUUAUUGUUAAAUAUGAGUUCUCCAUCAAGCUAGUGCUUUCUAUUACAUCCUCCCCUUGCAUAUUUGUAUUUUUCAUUUUAAUUUCAUGAAGACAAUGUCUGUGUCAGGUUGGUUACCCUUUGGUAACUCUUCUUCUCUGUCUUGGCGAUGGUACAACUUUCGUCAACUACUUGAGCUCUCACAUGGAUCAACUCUACAAGCUUCUUAGAGUAAGUCCAAGAAACAAAUUUGUGUAGGGCACAAUAAAGCGUGCAUUUGGUUAAUUUGUUGUUGUGUACCAGGUCCAGUCAUGUUGUUUUCUCAUGUUAUUUUAUUUUAUUUUAUUUUUUGGGUGGGGGGAAGGAGCCUAUGUCUUCCAUUUCAGAUGUAAGUUGUAUGACAUUAUGUGGUUUAUUCAUGUAGGACAAGACCCAUCGUUUCAUGGCCUUGGACUGUCUUCACCGAGUUUUGAGGUUUUACUUGAGCGUCCACACUGAAAAACAGCCACCUAAUCGUACAUGGGACUACUUAGACAGUGUAACCUCACAACUCUUGACAGUUCUAAAGAAAGGAAUGCUUACUCAGGACGUCCAACAUGAUAAACUUGUGGAGUUCUGUGUGACUAUAGCGGAACAUAACCUUGAUUUUGCCAUGAACCAUAUGAUACUGGAAUUGCUGAAGCAAGAUAGUCCUAGUGAGGCAAAGGUUAUUGGUCUCCGUUCUUUGCUUGCCAUUGUCAUGUCUCCUUCAAGUCAGCAUGUUGGCUUGGAAAUAUUUACAGGUUCAGUCAUAUGCCAGAAAUAUAUUAUUAUAAUUGUAUUGGAGCUGAAGUUUUCAACUGAUCUUCAUUUGAGUCUUCUUGCAUCAACAGGUCAUGAUAUUGGCCACUAUAUUCCAAAAGUGAAGGCUGCAAUUGAGUCAAUUUUGAGGUCUUGUCAUAGAACCUAUAGUCAGGCUCUUCUAACAUCUUCAAGGACCACCAUAGGUACUUUCUUUACUAAUGUAUGUCAAUUAUUUUUCUAUAUAGUUUAGUAGGUUUUCUUUUCAUUUUCCAUUUAUAUGCUAAUUAAUUAUCAACAUUUUCAGUUUUAGUUUGCUGUUUAUAAUCUACACUGUGAUGGGAAAGUACCUUUUGAAGAUGUAAAAGGUAGCAUAUGUAGUGAUUGGUCAACGAAUCUGUCUUGAUCUCCUAAUUAACUCUCUCCCUACACUGCAGCCUACACCAUUGAACUUUUCUCUCCUUUACUAAGACAACCAGUAUUUAUUGCAGCUAUGGAAUAUUGAAGUUUUACAGUGAUUGUCUGUGUGUAACUCAACUUUAUGCUUAUGUUGCUGCAAUGACAACACUGAAUAAAUUUUAUGCUUUCCAGAUUCUGUAACCAAGGAAAAGUCUCAAGGAUAUCUCUUCCGGUCUGUGCUGAAAUGCAUACCAUAUCUAAUAGAAGAAGUUGGACGAAGUGAUAAAAUCACAGAAAUAAUACCUCAACAUGGGAUCAGCAUUGAUCCUGGUGUUCGUGAGGAAGCAGUGCAGGUACUGAACCGGAUUGUGAGAUAUCUUCCCCACCGUCGCUUUGCAGUGAUGAGAGGGAUGGCCAACUUCAUCCUACGACUUCCUGAUGAGUUCCCUCUUCUCAUUCAAACAUCAUUAGGCCGUCUGUUGGAACUCAUGCGUUUUUGGAGAGCUUGUCUAAUUGAUGAUAGGCUGGAAUGUGAUGCUCAAGAUGUCAAACGUGUGGGGCGAAAUGAUGGAUUUAAGAAACCUUCUUUCCAUAUAGCAGGAGACUUGAUUGAGUUUCGUGCGUCAGAGAUAGAUGCUGUUGGUCUUAUCUUCCUUAGUUCUGUUGAUAGCCAGAUUAGACAUACUGCACUAGAGUUAUUGCGGUGUGUACGUGCUUUAAGGAAUGAUAUACGGUACCUUACAAUAUGUUUGCAACCUGAUCAUAGUCUGAAAUAUGAACCUGAACCAAUAUUUAUAAUCGAUGUCUUGGAAGAACAUGGGGUGUGUUAUCUUCCUAUCUUUAACCAUUCCAUAUUCCAUUCCCACUAGCCUGCUUUUCAUUUGAGUUUCAAUGUUGCAAAUGUGCAUAUUAUUUUAUUUCAUUCAUGAAUCUUUUUCUAAUGUUUCAGGAUGACAUCGUCCAGAGCUGCUAUUGGGAUUCUGGGCGUCCAUUUGAUUUGAGACGAGAAUCUGAUGCAAUCCCUCCUGACGUGACACUUCAAUCUAUAAUAUUUGAGAGCCCUGAUAAGAACAGGUGGGCUCGUUGUCUUAGUGAGCUUGUCAAAUACGCUGCUGAACUUUGCCCAAGAUCUGUCCAUGAAGCAAAGUAAGUAUAUUUUUGUUUAUGUGUAGUUAUGUUGACACAAGUUUCUUUUGAUUUCAAAAUAAGAUGUAUGUUCCUUUCUAGCAUUGAUGUGCUCUUCUUUCAGUACUGAGUUUGAACUUGUGGUAUUUAAGGGUGUCUCAACUAAAAAAGGAAUUACUGCCUGUAUGUAGAGUUUGAGAAAAAAUAAACUUCUUUGGUUGCACAUACACGUUAAAUGUUUUUGUUAGGUUACUAUCAUCUGGUGAUAACGAGAAGCAAACUAGUAGCAUGUAAGCUGAUUUCUUGUUGGACAAUAUAUUAUGUAGUAAAGCAUGAUUUGGUCGUCUUUGUGCUGAGAACAUGAUUUUGCUUGUAUGGCUAUAUUGCUCUUAUCUUUUACAUGCUUUAUAAGGAUAAAUAUUUCCAGGUCAACCCAAAGUUAAAGAUUGGAAUCCCAUGAUCUUAUCGCAACACCAUCUUUAUUUGCAGGGCAGAGGUUAUGCAACGUCUGGCUCAUAUCACACCUGUUGAGUUGGGUGGGAAGGCUCAUCAGUCACAAGAUGCAGACAACAAACUGGAUCAGUGGCUUAUGUAUGCAAUGUUCGUAUGUUCAUGUCCACCAAAUAAUAGAGAAGCUGGUAGUAUAGUUGCAACCAAAGAUCUUUACCAUCUAAUUUUUCCGUCUCUAAAAUCUGGAUCUGAGGCACAUAUAGUAAGUACUGUCAGAGGUUUGUUUAAUUUCAGUGUAACGUUUCUUUAUUUUAUUUUUCUUGUUUCUGUGAAUACGAUAAAUUUGUCAUGGGGUGUCAGAAUGCGUGGUCAGUUCUAAAUCCAAUACCUAAGAUGCUAUUAUGUCACUACUAUUUUGAGGUCUGUUGCAUCUGUAAGGGUUUGCUCUAAUUAGAAACUUAUAAUCUUUUUCUUUAAUAACUAUUCCAUGCGUCUUGAUUCUUUUCAACUGGUUAGACUAAAUUUCGUCUCUAAAUUUAGCAUGCAGCCACAAUGACUCUUGGCCGCUCGCAUCUGGAAGCAUGUGAAAUCAUGUUUACUGAGCUUGCAUCUUUCAUUGAUGAGGUUUCUUCAGAGACAGAGGGAAAACCAAAGUGGAAGGUGCUGUAUGGUUAAACUCCUCACAUUUCUUUUAUUUGAUGGGUGAAAUUUGAAGACACUGAGCAUUGUGGCAUUAUCUAUGUUCUGAAUAUGUUUAGUACUAGAGAGUGCGUCGAUUUGCAGUGCUUUAACUUAAGGGAGGAAAAUUCAUGUCGCCAACCUCAAAGCAUAUAAUUUGUUACUUGAUAUUGAACUCUAGCAUGCCAAUCAUACACAUGGUCUGUUCCUGUUUUGGUAAAUUAGACAUGCAUUGUUGGAACACAUAGUUAUAUCCAUUCAUAAAAAUUUAUGUAAUGUCCCCUUGACCAGUCAAAUCAAAAUAUGUAGUAUUCCAUUUUCUCCUUACAAAGUCGUUAUAUUUGGUCAGUGAUUAAUGACAAAGGAAAAAGUAAUAGUAAUUACAAUAACACCCAGUAGAACAUUGUAUCCUUUUCCAAUUGAUUUCUCAUAUGUACAGCUUUCAGUCAAGUAGUUUUUAUGUUGGCAGAAACUUUUGCUAACCUGAUUCUUUGAAAACUUCACUAACCAUAUGAAUAUCCUUUUUUUUGCUUCAUCAGUUACUUAAAGUGCUUCAUUAGUUAGAUAUGGGUUCUCAAUGAAUAUGACUAAACAUAAUAUUCAAAUCACAUGAAUACAGAGUCAAAAAUCUCGCCGUGAGGAGCUUCGUAUCCAUAUUGCAAAUAUAUUUCGUACUGUUGCUGAAAAUGUAUGGCCUGGCAUGCUGGCCCGUAAACCAGUUUUCCGUCUCCACUAUCUGAAGUUCAUUGACGAAACAACCAGACAGAUCUUAACAGCACCUGCUGAAAACUUCCAAGAUAUGCAGCCUCUCCGUUUUGCACUUGCUUCUGUUCUAAGAUCACUAGCCCCGGAAUUUGUUGAGUCAAAAUCGGAGAAAUUUGAUAUUAGAACUAGAAAGCGACUGUUUGAUCUGCUUCUUUCCUGGUGUGAUGACACAGGCAGUACAUGGGGUCAAGAAGGUGUUAGUGAUUACCGACGUGAAGUAGAACGUUAUAAGUCUUCUCAGAAUGCACGGUCAAAAGAUUCUGUGGACAAAAUAUCAUUUGAUAAAGAACUUAGUGAACAGGUUGAGGCAAUCCAGUGGGCCUCCAUGAAUGCUAUGGCUUCACUCUUAUACGGGCCUUGCUUUGAUGACAAUGCGAGGAAGAUGAGUGGCCGGGUUAUAUCUUGGAUCAACAGUUUGUUCAUUGAGCCAGCGCCUAGGGCUCCAUUUGGGUACUCACCAGCUGACCCAAGAACUCCCUCUUAUUCAAAGUACACAGGAGAAGGUGGUCGUGGGACUGCUGGUCGUGAUAGGCAUAGGGGUGGUCAUCAUCGUGUUUCUUUAGCAAAACUGGCUUUGAAGAAUCUAUUGCAAACAAAUUUGGACCUGUUUCCUGCUUGUAUUGAUCAGGUAUUCAUGUUUCCUUUGCUCUAUUCGUUAGAUCUUUUCAAGUAAGAAAAUCCAGUUAUGGAGUGCACCCCUGAAGGCUGAUUAGCCUAUGCUAGGCAGAGUCUGUUGGCCUAUAGCUCCUUUUAUCCUUCCCACUUAAGAAUUUUAUAAUUUGAUUCACUUUUUUUUUUACUACACAAGAUAAUUGAUGAAUUGUUAAUUCAUUAGUAAAUCUAUCGUAUUUUCAGAUGAUACCUUGACAACAAGGUAAUUCUGACUUCCUAAAAAGUAAACUGGUGAUUCAAGAACUGAGAAUCCACGGAAUGCUUUGCAAGUCAGUUGGUUUCAAUAAAAUGUCAAAUUUCUGCUUUCUUCUUUUUUGCUGAAAAAGUUCACAUACACGCUCUCUGGUCUUCACUUGCAUGUUCACUGCUUUCUAAAUUGCUAGGUUGGUAUGCAGUUUUCACUCUAAUUUGUUGUGAACUUAAUGUUAUAGCUCGUAAGGAUUUCAUUCUUAUAAAUAAAUAAAAAAUUGAUACUUUGUUGCAGUGCUAUUACUCUGAUGCUGCUAUAGCUGAUGGUUACUUCAGUGUGCUAGCUGAGGUCUACAUGCGCCAAGAGAUACCAAAAUGUGAAAUCCAGAGACUUUUGAGCCUGAUUCUCUACAAGGUGGUAGAUCCAUCAAGACAAAUUCGUGAUGAUGCUCUUCAGAUGCUUGAGACACUUUCUGUUCGCGAGUGGGCUGAGGAUGGCAUUGAGAGCUCAGGGAAUUAUCGGGCUGCUGUUGUGGGUAACCUUCCUGAUUCUUACCAACAAUUCCAAUACAAGCUCUCGUGCAAGCUUGCCAAAGACCAUCCUGAGUUGAGCCAGCUCCUGUGUGAGGAGAUUAUGCAGAGGCAACUUGAUGCGGUUGAUAUUAUUGCACAGCAUCAGGUCUUAACAUGCAUGGCUCCUUGGAUUGAGAACCUAAAUUUCUGGAAACUUAAGGACUCAGGUUGGAGUGAAAGACUACUAAAAAGCCUUUACUAUGUGACGUGGCGGCAUGGUGACCAUUUCCCUGAUGAAAUUGAGAAACUUUGGAGCACAAUUGCUAGCAAACCCAGGAACAUUAGUCCUGUUUUAGAUUUCUUGAUCACGAAAGGGAUAGAGGACUGUGAUUCAAAUGCAUCUGCAGAAAUAAGUGGUGCAUUUGCUACAUAUUUCUCUGUUGCAAAGCGAGUAAGUUUAUACUUAGCACGAGUAUGUCCUCAGCGCACAAUUGACCACCUGGUUUACCAGUUAGCUCAGCGGAUGCUGGAGGAUAGCAUGGAUCCAAUUGGGCCAACUGCAAAUAAGGUUGAUGCUAAUGGAAAUUUUGUGCUAGAAUUCUCUCAAGGACCUGCAGUGCCCCAAAUUGCAUCACUUGUGGACAUCCAGCCACACAUGUCACCAUUACUUGUCCGGGGUUCCUUUGAUGGUCCAUUAAGAAAUGCAAGUGGGAGCCUCAGCUGGCGAACAGCAGGUGUGACAGGCCGAAGUGUCUCGGGCCCAAUAGGCCCAAUGCCUCCUGAGUUGAACAUUGUUCCUGGAAACACAGGCCGAUCAGGUCAGCUCCUUCCAGCACUGGUAAAUAUGUCGGGGCCUUUAAUGGGGGUCAGAAGUUCAACAGGAAGCUUGCGGAGUCGCCAUGUUUCCCGGGACAGUGGAGACUACCUUAUUGAUACUCCAAACUCGGGUGAAGAUGGGUUGCACUCUGGGGUUUCCAUGCAUGGGAUUAGUGCUAAAGAACUUCAGUCAGCCUUGCAGGGUCAUCAGCAACAUUCACUGACUCAUGCAGAUAUAGCAUUGAUUCUACUUGCAGAAAUUGCAUAUGAAAAUGAUGAAGAUUUCCGCGAGCACUUGCCUCUUCUAUUUCAUGUGACAUUUGUUUCGAUGGAUAGUUCGGAAGACAUUGUGCUGGAACACUGCCAGCAUCUGCUCGUUAAUCUACUAUACUCUCUUGCAGGACGGCACUUGGAACUGUAUGAGGUUGAAAAUAGUGAUGGAGAGAACAAGCAGCAGGUUGUCAGCCUGAUCAAGUAUGUCCAGUCAAAGCGAGGAAGUAUGAUGUGGGAAAAUGAGGACCCCACAGUUGUGAGAUCUGAGCUUCCAAGUGCAGCAUUGUUGUCUGCACUAGUUCAGAGCAUGGUGGAUGCUAUCUUCUUCCAAGGAGAUCUUCGUGAGACUUGGGGAGCAGAGGCACUCAAAUGGGCAAUGGAGUGCACAUCGAGACACCUAGCCUGCCGCUCACAUCAGAUUUACCGUGCGUUGCGGCCUAGUGUCACAAGCGAUACAUGUGUGCUGCUUCUCCGGUGCCUUCAUAGAUGCCUAGGAAAUCCAGUACCUCCAGUUUUAGGAUUCAUUAUGGAAAUUUUGCUGACAUUGCAAGUGAUGGUGGAGAACAUGGAACCAGAAAAAGUGAUACUGUACCCACAACUCUUUUGGGGGUGUGUAGCUAUGAUGCACACAGAUUUUGUUCAUGUCUACUGUCAAGUGCUUGAACUCUUCUCACGUGUGAUUGACCGGUUAUCAUUCCGGGACAGGACAACAGAAAAUGUGCUUCUUUCGAGCAUGCCUCGGGAUGAGUUUGAUGCUAAUAAUGACAUUGGGGACUUCCAACGAAUGGAAACCAGGAGUGGCUAUGAACAGCCUCCAUCUGGAGGAAAUCUGCCAACAUUUGAAGGGGUGCAGCCUCUUGUUCUUAAAGGACUCAUGUCAACAGUUAGUCAUGGUGUUUCUAUUGAAGUUCUCUCGCGGAUCACAGUGCACUCAUGUGACUCUAUAUUUGGAGAUGCGGAGACAAGACUCUUGAUGCACAUCACAGGCUUACUUCCCUGGCUCUGCUUGCAGCUUAGCAAGGAUCCGGUGAUGGGGCCUGCUUCGCCACUCCAACAGCAGUUCCAGAAAGCUUGCUCUGUUGCGGCCAACAUCUCAAUUUGGUGUAGAGCAAAGUCAUUAGAUGAAUUGGCUACUGUAUUUAUGAUUUACUCUCGUGGUGAUAUCAAGAGUAUCAACAACCUCCUUGCUUGUGUCUCACCACUCUUAUGCAAUGAGUGGUUCCCAAAGCACUCAGCUUUGGCUUUUGGGCACUUAUUACGACUACUGGAGAAAGGGCCAGUUGAGUAUCAGCGUGUGAUACUGCUCAUGCUUAAGGCAUUGCUCCAGCACACUCCCAUGGAUGCUGCCCAAAGUCCACACAUGUAUGCGAUUGUGUCCCAGUUGGUAGAGAGCACUUUGUGCUGGGAGGCACUGAGUGUGUUAGAAGCUCUUCUGCAGAGCUGUAGCUCAGUGCCAGGUUCUCACCCUCAUGAACCCGGUUCGUUUGAGAACGGGAUAGGCGGUGGUGAUGAGAAGAUGCUAGCACCUCAGACCUCAUUUAAGGCUCGCAGUGGGCCGCUACAGUAUGGUAUGGCAUCUCCAUUUGCAGCAGGUUCAACACCUGCACACGGGAGCUCAACUGAAUCUGGAACUUCACCUAGAGAAGUGGCUUUGCAAAACACACGGCUUAUCCUUGGGCGGGUUCUUCACAGCUGUGCACUAGGGAAGAGAAGGGAUUACAAAAGGCUGGUGCCUUUCGUGACCAGUAUCGGCAACCCAUAACCUACACACACAUGCAGGCUGUAUCUUUUCUUUCUAAGAUAUUUAAUGUAUAUUAGUGGAUGGAUGAUGAUGCGCGGGCGUAGAAGAAAGUUUUACUGGAUUUGUAUAUAGUAGUGCUUUGUGAAGCUAGUGGUGGUGUAAUAUACUUUGUACAGUCAAAUCAUUUAGAGGUCCCUCUAUGAAGAAUAAUCUUAAAUCCACAUUUUUGCCAAUCUUUUAAUUGUUUGCUGCUCUCGAUUUCAAAUCCCUUGAAUUUAAUGUUGGCUACCUGUUGUCAAAUUCCCAAUGUAACCAGUUCUAAGAGUUUUACUUACUGAAUCAGUUGCAAUCUCUCAGUUUAAUAGUCUUUGCAAGUGUGUCAAAUGGCACUCAUUUGCAUUGGUGAUAAAGUGUCCACAAGCAAGUGAACACCUUCGAGCUUCCUAUUUUUCAUCAUAAACAAACACGAAAACAAAUAACCAAAUAGACAAUAGGGGGGGGAAACGAAUUGUGCAAAGAAAAUUGCAUAACAAAUUUAUAAUACAUAUUUGUAUUUCUCAAAGCUCACUUCAUUUUGGUACAAAAAAGAGUUCAAUGUGAAGAACAAUAUAAUACAACACACGUGCAGAGGGCAGUGAAUUCCAUUGCCCGCUUCUUGCACUAAGCAAACUAACAUUUUAUACAUUGUGCAGAGUGUUCCUUUGUUUUUUAUUGAACGCUCUCAGAAAACCCUGGUUUUCUAAUACAGUUUGGAUCCAGCCAGUCGGUCUUCACUAAAAACAUGAGCACCUUCCGGCAUGUCCUCACAACGGAUAUCAUUCACGCCGUGAUGAAUUCUUGAACAAAGCAUAGGCAUCACUAUAUAUGGCCACCACGUUUGAGAACACAGCUAGUACAAUCAUAAAAACACUCAAGAUCUUGUCCUUCUUAGUUGCUAUGUUGUGUCGAUCCCUGACAUACCAAGGAAAAAGAGAUGAAAAGUAAUUCCAAGUAUAUUCACAAAACUGACCUAGCUAUGGGAAGAACCCAGUAAAUAAUAUCCCUAUCCUUUCAUGUUUAUGAGGUAAAAAGGCAGCAUACGCAUAAAAUCUGUGAGAUAUGAUAACCUUAAGUCCUAGGCUAUUCUCUGCAAUCUACUAUUCUCCAAAUUGGAAAAAGAAAACAAUUGGUUAUCAAAGUAAAUAAAAACCUGAACUAAUAGAUAGUUCUUGUGAUCAAGUCAAAAACUCACUUGAGAGUAAUUGCAGCAGGAAAAAUGAACCCAAGGCAAACUGCAGCAGUUGCUCCAGUGAACUGGAAAGCAUCCCAGAUGCUGGGGAUGAAGUUUGCACCCAAGAAGAUAACACUUAUGAGCCCAAUGGUGACCAGUGCAAAUCUCAUAUUAUCCAGAACCAACGGCCUUGCAGAGGGAAAGAGGAGGCCAUCCAAGUUGAGCCGCAAUGGGAAGAAGACAAUGGGAAACACAAGCAUAAGGUGAGCAGCAUAGCUGACACGAACAGCGUCAUUGAGCACGGAACUGUAAGGUAUGCCAAGGUUGGUGUCAAAGUUGGCAAGCACAUCGUCAAGAGUUCCGUCCCCAAAUAGGAGGAACCCAAAAAGGCUUGUCAUUAUGUAAACAGAUGAGCAUAAAGCAAGUGAGGUUUGCACAACCCCUCUUAUCUGCGUCGAGUCUUCAAGUUCGUUGUGGAUACUGUGGACUGCAGAUGAAUUGAUCAGGAAGAUUAUUACUCAACACGUGUUUGCAAUUAAAAGGUGAAAAACAUUUCAAAUAUGAGAUCUCCCACAUUCAACCAACAGUCCCAUUUCUAUAGUUUCAAGUGUGUACAUUAUGCCAAAAUGUUAAUUUUAAAUCACUUUUAAGUAUCACUGGGUGCUGGUAUGGAAAAGUACAAGGCCAGGAUGAUAAAAGGAUCAAGAUGUGUCAAAAUACCAAAUUUUGUAUGACUAAAGAUGUCACGGUUUUAAUUUUAAACAAAAAAUAGAGAACAUAUUUUAACAUGAUUUAGUUAAAAAAAUUAAGUAAAUAUUUUCAAUAAUAAGAAUACAGGAAUCUGGUGGAUAGAGGGGUACGUAAACCCAUUCAAUUCAAUUCUGACAUCGAAAUCUGACAUGCUACUGCUCAAAGUUUGCUGCAAAUUUAUGUUUUGCUAAAUAGUGAUUCAUUUAACAGGGGAAAAGGGAGGAAAGGAACUGAAGCGCAAACAUACAAAUCCACCAAAAAUUUCUCAUUCUUAUAUUGCAGAAACAUGGACCAAGUUCUAGGCAAAUGAACUCUAUGUAAGUGAACAAACAAACAGUUUCCAUACCAUUGUAGUGACAAAUGUAUGCAGUGACAAGAACAGGGACUACAGUGAAGAGUUUGAAGAAUGAUGAAACGUCGGUAACAUCAGGUAACAAUCUGGGCAUCGCAAUGCUUCCAUUGAACAACUUGACGACCGUAAUUCCAACAGUAAUAACAAGAAAUACAACUGCUAGUGCAACUGAUAAGGCAGACGUGAAGCUCAAUGAAUCUGCAACCAUAAUAGGCCUAUUAAGAUCACCGAAACAUUAUAUUCCAAAUGGAAAAAUAAAGAAUAAGGUCUUAACAAAUAAUAGGCUCAAAUUCAAUAAAGCUAGAAAAUUUAAUAAUAAAUCACCACUCCACCAACAACUUAAGUCAAAAGCUACACAAUGAUUCUUGACCAAAUCACUGUAUGCAAGUGAAAGUGAUAGAGUGAAAACUGAAUAGGGAAGGGCACAAGUUUAAACAAGAGGGGCUCUCAUAUAAAUAUGCUAAACAUAUGUUACCUUAACCAAAUCACUCUAUGUAAGUGAGUGCUAGCAGUGCACCAAACAAUGCCUUCAAACAUAAAAAAUAAAUAAAGACUAACCGAUUCGCUUAAAGCAUGACAAUGGAGCAAAUAUGCCAAGUGUGGUGACAAGAAGAAUAAUGGCACGCCCAGUCCACCAGUGUUCUCCAAACCAUCCUUCAAGUACACCAGCAUGGUGAACACCACUUGAAGAUGUUCCAGAAAGCACAUCACCUUCAUUUAAGUAAUACAAAGAUUGUUAGACAAAUUCAGACCUUUCCCUAUGACAAGCCGGGGCAGAUUUCUAGGCCAACAAAAAUAUUCACCAAAUAUAUCAAAAUGACAAAAUUGUAACAGAGUAAACACAAUACAAUAUUACAGAGCGAAAGACAUACCAAUAAUAAUCAUGUAGACAAUGAGCACGCCAAGGUUGUUGACUAGAACAGAUAUCUGUAACAAAACCUUCCCAUAUUUUCCAAAGGCCUCCCCCAUAAGACCUCCAUAAGAAGCAGACUUCCCAGCUCGGCUGAACCUAAGUAUCAGUUCAAUUGAAGCUUCGGUCAAGAAGGCCAUAAAGAUGAUCAUGGAAAUUCCAAGGACAAGGCCCAACACUUUCAUGGUUGCAGGCAAAGCCAUGAUCCCAGCACCAACAAUUGUGGUUGAUAAAUUGAACACUGCUCCAGUAAAGGAAGCUCCAUUAAACUCAUCAAACACAACAUCCUCUUGCCCUUUGGGCAACAAGGGGGCAUUCUCAUCAAUAACUCCUUUGCUCUUUCGUGACUUCUUUUCCUUCUUUGGUGCAAGAUUUCCAAUCGUCAUCUUGUGAUAUCUUAAAAAUCUUCAAAACAAAGGUUUAAAGCUUUUGGAAAAUCUAUAAAGCAGCUCAACCACCUACAAAUAUUUGCUUCAAUAAAAUUUUGUCCAACGGCCAAAUUAUAUACUUUUUUUUUUCAGAUUGAGGAUGAGGGGAAGAGCAAACACAAGCUAGAUGAAGAGGAUUUUCAGACACAAUGACCCAAACAGCCAAAAAUUCACAAAUAUUGAAUUCUUGCUGAGAGAAUACAAAGGUUGGUCCUUUGCAAAUGCUACCAAAUUGAUUGUGAAAUGAAUGCACAAUUCGUUUUGGGGCAGAUAUUUUGAAAAUCCAAAGUAAAAUAAAAUCCCAGGAGCAAAAGUAUCCAAAUUUACCUUUAGCUAAAACAAACAAAGUAUCAGAAUUGAAUUGAAUUGAAAACACAAGUAAUUCUUCAAUAUAUCACAGUUGAAGGUGGAUAUUUACAAUCAUUAGCUGGACUUUCAAUAUCAACAAGGGGAGGAAACCCAAACCCAAUUUCCCAGAUAGAAAACUUGAGAAAACCCAGUUCUCCCCCUUCAAAGAAAAGCACCCAAAACCAAACCAAUCAAACCCCAGAUUCAAGGUCAAUGAUUCAGCAGACCCAAAGCAAGAAACGCUGCUGAAUUCUUCAGUUAAAGCUUUGAUUUUUAUAGCCAAAAAAAAUUCAAGGAAAGAGAAAGACACACGCCAAUAAAGCUUGAUAUUGAAUAACAAUAAUGGAGGUGGAGACAAAAACUGGAAUUUAAUAAUGUUAAGUUGUUUUCUUUUUCUUUUGGUGUCUGUGGAAUUAUUGUGGAUUGGUGAAAUGAAACUGAUAAUGAAAAACCCUAAUCCACAAAAUUCCACAAACUGUAAAAUUUGUCGCUUUUGGUGGGAAAGUUACGGACUUUAUAAGAGUAUAAGGAAAGACGUCCGCAGAUGUCUACGUCAAAAGAGGAAGCUUCGCAAUUGGAUAAUAAUAUGCAAACCGUAAAUCGGCUAUUAAUUAACAAUUUACUGCCAUUGAUCUGUUCAUCAGCUUUCUAAAAAACAAAUUACCCAUAUAAGUGUUUCUAGGCGUACUCUUUCAAGUAACAAAUCUAUUUUUCUUUAUAAAAAAAAUAUAUUUAAAAAUACAACAAUAAUUUUAUUAUGACGGGUUAAACUUUGAUGAGUGAGAAAAUUAUAUGGAUAAGUUGAAGAAAAUGAACAAAAAUAGAAGCCUGUAAAUGAUUUGAUGAGUGAGAAAAUUAGAUGGAUAAGAUGAACAAAAAUAGAAGGCUAUAAAUGAUUGGGAGUAAUUAAUUUUCCGGAAAUGUCACGUGGGAAAAAAAAAAUAUCUUAGAAGGUUCACCUAAGAUUAUUAGGGUUGGUUACACCAUUUUGGGGAUUUCCAAAGUUCUAAUUUGUGUUUUCUUAUUGGUAUGCUUUUAUGGUUUUAGUGUAAUGGUUCUACAACCUAACCUAGGAUAUUAACAUAUAGGCCUAGGAGAAAUUUACUCUUAUGCUAAUAUUGUUUUCUUUGUAAAUAUUGGAGCAAGUGUGAGCCACAAAUUAUAAAAUGUUAGAGUUGAUGUCAUCCAAGGUGUAAAGAUGAAAUUGAUUAACCUAUGCAUGAUUCUAAUCUACUCUAUAGGAACCUUAAGCCACAUCCAACAAAACAUGACAUCAAAAUUAUGUGCUUAUAUAGAAGGAGUUACACAAGUACGUGAGAUAAAUUAUUCGAUGUGACGAUAAUUUAAAUAAAUUUGUAAAAUCACAGAAUGAAAGUCAUAUCAAAUAAUUUUGGAUGAUGUAGGCGAUUAACAUGAAUCAUUAUUGUCAUUAAGAAUUAGUUAUAAUGUUGCAAAUUAAGUCAAUGGUUGAUUUCAUCACUAAAAUUAAAAGCCGCACAUCAUGAAUGACAAAGAUCAGGGAACAUAGAAAUUGUCAUGCAGUGUUCCAGACAAGAAGUGUCAUUUCAAUUUGGAAAUCUCAUGUAUGUGGCCAGCCAGUGCCAGUGUUGGUGAAACCAUGUCUUAGGCUCCCAAAAAAAACCUACCUUUUACUCAAAUUUUACCAACUUAACCACAGUGAUUAGACAAUGAUGACAUUAGUAACCCACCAACCAAACACUACAUUUAAAAAUAAAAUAAAAAGACCAAUAGAUGAAUAAAGCUAAUAUAAUAUAAUCAUGCGGUGGUGGUUGCAACAGGUGUAAAAUUUGCUGAUGCAAGUACAAGGAAUCUUCCUCCUUCCUCUUCUUUCUCACAUCAGCUAAUCUGUGAUUAGUGAGCAAGAUUAGCAAAAAAGGAAAAUAAAAUAAAAUUGUGGACAGAAUUAGAUUGCAAGUCUAUUCGUCUGGUACAAGUUAAUAUUACAAAAAUUCCAUUAACAAUUUAAAUCUAAUUUAGCAUUAUAUGGGUUGGAUUUUAGGAAGUGGGCCCAUGAGCCCAAUAUUCCACCAACCGGAUGGCCCACCAUUUUCAUCAUGCGACCCGGUGACUCAAAGAUUAGAAUGUGACUCAGAAAGGUUGAUUGAUGUUAAUAUCAAUAGAUUAAUAAAAAGGAGUGGUGCAGAAUUUUUUCACUCACAUUUUUUAAUCUAUCAGACUCUCACUCUUUUGUUAAAUUUUAGUGAAUAUUUUAUAUUGAUCUUGGGCAUGUCGAUGUGCAUACACGUCAGCAUGGUCACUAAAUUCAACCAAAUUGUUUUAAAUUGGUUUGAUUUGAUUUAGUUUCUUUAAUGACUUUUAUCAAAACCGAACUGAACUAAAUCUUUAUAUUGUACCAGUACCAGAAAUUAAGUGUUCGAAUCCCUCCUCGCCCUAUUUUCGUAUCAGGGGAAAUAAAAACAGCAAUUAGUUUUUUUUGGUAAAAAGGUCAUAUACCAAUUAAAAAUAAUUAAAAAAACAGUUUUGGGCUGAUCAACGUUGUUUUGUUAAGGAGAAUUUUUGGGUUUUGGUGGGCCCAAGACCAUAGUUUCAAUAUCCACCGACUCAAAUUGGGCCCAAAUAACAAGCGCGCAACACGUAUCAUGCAAAAUGCAAAGUCCAUCACCAUCUUUUCUCUUUCUUUCUUUCUUAAACGGUAUUUUUUUCGUUGUAUUUGUCUUUCUGCCUUUGCGAGCGCUAACAGAAGCCGAGAAAAUUGUUCUGAAGGUACAAGCUUGCUUUCCGCUUUCUUACUGUUUUUUGUUUGUAUGGGUUUGCUGAGACUGGAAAAAAAAUGGUGUUGAUAUAUCUGCCGUUUCCUAGAUUUCGUUUGUGUUGUGGAAUGUAGGAGAUGGGUGUGCUAGAAUAUGUGCUUCUGAAUAUGGUUGGGCUCUUUUUGAUAUAUUUGAGUACUUUACGAUGAGCCUUCUAAAAUCUGAUGAUCUUCAAUCAUCAAGAGUUUUAGAAAGAAUGUAAAUCAAGGAACUUUAAUUGUUAUUAUUUUCAAUCAAAAUCAUGACUGAACGUAUGAUGUGCAGUCAGUAUUGGAUAUCACUGAGCAUACCCUAUAUGCGUUUUAGAUUUUUUGUUAAUUUGGGUUCUUGAUUUUGGAUUUUGGAAGAUUUCCUUCGAGCACAUAAAAAUAUUCCUGUUUUUAUAUGUGGGAAGUUUUCUACAUUUUCGUGUGUAUUGUUUGUAACAAACUUAAGUUAUGUUGAUAUUCAGGUUUCAGAACCAUUUUAACAAGUGCACCAUUAAAAUGGAUUACGAUGGUGGUCCCGAAGCAAGUGUAUCUGUCAAUGAUGUUAAUAUUGAUGACCCAGAAGUGGAUUCGAGUAAAGUUGGCAAUCUCGAAAGUGUCUCAUCUGAUGGUGUGAUUGUUGGAGAAUUAAGAAGUGUUGGCGAGGUUUUUACCAGAGUGGAAUUGGAUCUAGCAUGUGCUUCUGAGAAGUUAGUUAACUUAAAUGUUCUUAUGAUGCAUGUGGCAACCAAGGAGAGUGACUUGGAAGCCCUUGCUUCCAAGGAAGAGCAGACAUCAGUUGAUUUUGUUGAGAAGGCUAUGGAAUUCGUUCUCUUGUCUGGAAUUUUGGACUCUGAGGUGAGUGAAUUGGAUAAACUCAUGGCUAUACUUCAAGCAGAGAUCACCAAUGCCCAGGGGCUACUAUCUUCAUACACAUGUUUGGGAGAAACUUUCGUGGUAGUAGAAGACAAGCUGUGUGACUCUGAACAAUCUUUGAAGCAGUUGCAAGAUCAGAUCUCUGAAAUAAGGAUGCAAUCCUUGAAGUUCCAGAGGACGUUUUCAUGUUAUGAUGGAGAAGAAAAUUGUGAGUUACAAGCGUGAUUCAGUAUAUUGUUGUUGAUUUAUUGUCAAUAUCAUAUUUUUCUCAUUCUUAUUGUGCUUAUGGAUGAUGGGGUUGCCAGGAAACUUUUAGGGUGUAGGGCAGACAGGUUUUAUAACCACCUUUGUGCAGGCAUAAGUCAUGAAAUAUUAUAGCUUAGAACUUUUUUUUUUUUUUUUCCGCAUUCUAAUCCAUGCAUAUGGACAGGGAAUGCUAACAAAGGAGUGGUCUAUUUAGAGGAUGACAAGUUCUCAAGCAUGAAUCUAAAGAUAAAUAUGCAAACUGUUGAACAGCAAAGACAUAUACUGAGGAUGCUAGAGAAAUCUUUAGCAAGAGAGAUGGAUCUUGAAAAGAAACUGACUGAAUCAAAACAAAUCGAAGAAGAUAUGAAACUGAGGCUGCUCUCUUCAGAGCAAGAAGCAUAUUGCAUGGAGGAGGAGGCAGCAGAUGCUUGGGAGAGGUGGUUACAGGCAGAUAAUGCAUCUGAGGUCCUUAUGGGUAUUUCAAAAGAAUUACUGGGUAAACUCCAUAUUCUCCAGUUUAACUUAAACGGUUCAGUUCAGCGGGAAGCUGAACUAAGAUUGAAGCUUGAUGGUCAGGUUGAAUCCCGAGAAAGCUCUUUGCGGAAACUUGAAAGCAGCAACGCAAAACUAAAUAGCUUCCUUUUAGAUCAGACAGCCGGCUUAAAAGACAGCUUGAAGGAAGCUGAAGAUAAGUUAAUUCUUGCUGAUUCUGAGGCCUUUACUUUGAGAGAAAAGGUGAGUUCACUUGAGGAACAGCAUACUGUUCUAUGCUCAGACAUUAGUGAAUUGGAAAAUGUCAUCACAGAUCUGAAAGAGAAAGUAUCAAAGGCUGAAACUAGGGCUGAGAAUGCAGAAGCCAAAAGCAAAUUAUUAACAGAGACUAAUAUGGAACUUAAUGAAGAGAUCGGACUUCUUAAAAGCACUGGCAGUGCCUCGGAGACGGUGGAUUCACUUGAGAGGAAGUUAAGGGAAUCUGAUACCCAAUUACAGCAUGCAGUGGCAUCUGCUGAAGCUAGCCUGGAGAAACAACAGAUGUUGUAUUCUACAAUCAAUGACAUGGGAAGUGUGAUUAAGGAUCUAAAGCAGAAGGUUUUAAAAGCUGAAAGUCGGACUGACAGUGCAGAGGACAACUGUAUAAGAUUAUCAGAAUCUAAUGCACUGCUAACUGAGGAACUAAGCUUUCUGAGGGGUAGAUUGGCAUGCAUGGAGGCAUCUUUGCAUCAAGCCGAGGAAGUAAAAGUAGCUACUGCGACUGAUAUUGGUAUUCGGUCCAAAGUUCUUACAAGUUUAGUGGUGCAACUUGCUUUUGAAAGAGAGCGCCUUCAUAAGCAGGUAUUCACUUAUCAUGUAUUUGAUUAAUUUUUCAAUUUCAGGUUGAUUUUUUUAUUGUGAGGUGGAACUGUCUUUUUGCUGUCUCUGUAACAUUGCUCAGCGCCUGAUUUCUUUUUCCUUUUGGUCAUUUACCAUUUAGCAUGUAUGUCAGAAAUGUAAAUCUCAGCUAUAUAAUCUCAAUAAGUGAUAAUGUACUAUGCUAAACUAGGAAAUUACGUAAAUAUGGAGCAUAUGGAUCACUAAACGAAUCUUAUGAUCUCCAUGCGUAGAAAUGUCCACACACAUAACUGUGUAAUACACAGAGUAUAUGUGCAUGUGCAUGCCCACAUCCAUGUUUUUUUUUGUUUGUCUCCACAUACAUGUUCGUAUGUAUGUUUGUGUUGCCUUGGGAGCUUGGCUUAGAUGACAAGAGUUGAGGUGGAGGUUUGGCAGGACAGGUAUUAGGUCUAAAUCUUGCCAAGCUAGAAAAUAGAAGGUAUGCAGUUAUGUCUUUAGGUCUUUAAAGAGAGUUUGAAACCCAGUUAGCAGAUAUGAUUUCUCUUCACUUCGGAUUUAAUGUUUCAUCAAAUUUUCUUUCGCAACUUGCGACGUUUGAAAGUAAUUGUCUCUUUUUAUCUAAUUGAAUUCCUCACCGUAUUUUUAGUGUGCUGAACCGUUGAGUCAUUAGAAGGAUCAUAUUGUCUUACUAAACAUUGAAAGUUCUACAUUGUCUUGUUUAAUUUUUUUUAAGAAAACAUGAAAAUUUUACUUUUCUAUCAUUGCAUUAAGCACUUAGACAUCUUGUUUCCUGCCAAUAAAGAAAGAUUGAAAUUUUUGUUUUAGCAUAUUGAAAUCUGAGUGAUGGCACAUCAGCCGGCCUUGCUUUAGUAAAAUGUGUUUUUCCAAACUCUAAAUUUUCGUCUUAGCUGCUGGUGAUUGAAUGUGCAGAUUUCUUCAUUAGCGGUGGAGAAUAAAACUUUGGUACUGAAGUUGCAAACAAACAAUAGUCCAUCUGUGGAAAUGGGAAAUGAUGAUAGAGGAAAUCAUAAAGACUUCAUGCCCUCAAAGCAUGGUUUGGCUACUGGCACAAGAGAAAGUGAGGAAGAAGCUGAUGAGUUGUCUGAUGGUAAUUGUAAGGUAUGUGCCGUACCUUUUUUUAUAUAUAUUAUAAAUCAUUGUUCUUUUCUUUAAUUUUUGCUUCUGUUCCGUUUUAUAUUUCUCAUGCUUAAGGAUGCGUUUUGUUGUCAUUCAAUAUAAUUUCAUAUUCAGCAUUCAGAUUUCUUUGCACAUUUUCUGCAUGUACUGUGUUAUACUGAGAGCUUGUUUUUCAAUUGUAACACAACUUGAAAUACGACAUUAUUGACUCUAAAGUAGCCUCCUUAUUUAUAUAUUUUCAGCUGGAUGAGACUCAGAAUAAUGUUUCUGUUGGUGAGACUAAAGUGGGACCUACUGAUUCUACAUCAGAGUUUGAGACCGCAAGGAGAAUAGAUGCAGGAGUUCUGAGCUUCAAGCAUUUCCUCAUGGCGAUGCUUAUUUUACUGAUUUCAGUUGCAGCUUAUUUUUUUCUCCAACAAGACUGCCCAUUUUGAUGUUGCUGCAGGAGUUUCCUCAUGAGCUUGUCUCCACAGUAGCUUUCUUGUAACAACCAGUGUAAAGCAACGAAGAUCUGGAAAACGAAAAAACGAAGAACAAUGAAGUUAUAUUCUGAAAUUGUUUAGGGAUAGGCAAUCUAUUGUGCCUAAGGUACAAAUUGCAUCAAAGUGAGAUGCUGAAUACCCUUCAGCAUUGAGAAAUAGCAAGAUAUCAUUUGAUAGCGAGUUUCCCAUCUUAGCUUUCUCCUCAAGUACUCAAAGGGAUGUAAACGCAGAAUGAUUGGAGAUUGUUGUAACUGGUUCAGAAACAACUUCAAUGAUAGUUUUUACCAUCAUUUAUGAAUUUUUAGUGCUUACAAUUAUAAAUUUAUGUCAAAGAAAGAUCGACGGAUGUUUGUGAAUUUGUUCUUUUUGUGAUUGCCCAGCCUCCAUACCCAUAUAUAUAUUUUUAAAUCUCUUAUGCUCUUGGUUUGAAUUAUUUCGUAGGCAAUUAGGAAAUCCCUCCCACACAGACAUUGUAUAACCACCAGUAUCAAGUCUUUGGAUGAUAUGAUUUACUAACCCUACAAAACUCAUGCUGAGGUUCCAAUCCAGUAUCAAAGCACACAUUUUGUAGCAAAAUUCCUACAAUUGAUUCUUUGUUGCACUUGGACCAUUUGUCUCAGAGGGGUUCAAAAUAUUUGAUAUUAGUUUGGAGCUCACAAGCGUUAGAAUGUGACUUCGUCAAAACAUAACAAAUAAAACUCUUGAUGAGAGAGUUCCUUUGUUAUCAAGGACUCAAAAAUUAUAACCAAGUUAAGAACAAAGAAUACCUAGAUUCAGUUAUAACUAACUUAUUAAAUUCCUCCAACUUAAGAUAAAUAGCCCCUCAUUUUGCAACAACCUUGGUCAACUUCUCUGUUUAUGUCCCAUUUACCCCAACUGCGAUCAUAGACACGAGCUUGUCCAAGCACAUCAACAAAAAGCUCGUGGAAUACCUUCUUGGUUUAUGAACCUUGUGAUGUGCUCUUCUUGGGGAUUGAGGGAUUGAAAUAUAAUGUUACAAUUCCGAUCCAAUGCAACAAUGAAAUAUAAUGAUUAGAGGAAUUGAAUAAUCCGUUUCGCCUUUAUGAACAAAAUAGUAAGAUUACAAGUAGUUAUACUUGUAUUUCAUCAUUUAACCAUAAACAAUUCUAAAAAUUCCAAUCCAAUCCAAUCCACUCGGGCUUUGUGUUUAUCUAUGAGACUAUACAGGAAUGAUGAUAUGAAUGUUCUCUGUGAAUUUGAUGUAAUUGUACAGACCUAGAGCUUGUGUUUAAAUAGAGUGGCCGAUACUUGUUCCAACAAGUAUCAGGUAAGGACAAACUCAAUCAGAAAAUAUAUAUAUAUAUAUAUGAUAUUUGAAUUUUAAAAAUAAUUCAAAUAAAUAAAUAAUUAAUUAUUCGGAUUUAAUUUAAAACACAGAGCCCCAAGGCCUAUCUUUUGAUUAAUUAUAUAUAUAUUAAUUAACCAUUGACCCAACUAAUUAGGCAUUGACCCAAGAUCCCCAAGGCCUAUCUUUUUAUUCAAUAAUAUGUGAAAUUAUGUAUAUAAUACAUGAAUUUUGUGUGUAAUCUCAAAAAUUUUGUAAAAAAAUUCGUGUAUUAAACAUGAAAAUACGUAUAUACGUGUACAACACGAGUAUUGUACAUUUGCUUUUUAAAAAAUAUGUAUUUCAUUGAGUCUUUAAAAUGUGUAAAGAAAACGGAUAUAUUAAUGAAAAAUACAUAUAUGCAUGUAUAAUAUGAGUAUUAAAUGUGAAAUAUACUAAAUUCUUUAUAUGGGUAAUAACUCUGGCAAAGUAAAAAAAUCAAAGGAAACAAUAGAGACUCAAGUAAAGGCCUAAAAGAGAAGAAAAUAGGGGAUUUUUUUUUUUUUUUUUCAAAGAAAACAAUCACGGUAUAUAUAUAUAUAUAUAUAUAAAGAGUAUAGCCGCUCGGCUAUACAAUUUAUUUAAAAUACAAAUAAAAAACCUCAGUAACGCCGCGCGGCUAUACUCGGGUUUUUUUUUUAAAAAAAGUAUAGCCGCGCAGCUAUACUAUUUAUGAGACCCGCCUAGCGAAGCAGGUAAGCGGCCACGUGUAAAAAGACGUAUAGCCGCACGGCUAUAUUAAUUUUUAGGAAACCGGCGUACAGCCGCGUGGCUAUACUAUUUAUAAAAAAAAAUAGGGCCGCCACUAGUGAAAACAUGUAUAGCCGAACGGCUAUACUAUUUGUAAUAUAAAAAAUACCCUAGUGAAGCCGCACGGCUAUACUAUUUUGUUAAAAAGGGACCCACGUGUCAAAAAGGUAUAGCCGCCCGGCUAUACUUUUUUUUUCAUAAAAGAAAUACGGUAGUAUAGCCGCCUUACUCCUUGUAUCGUAAGAGUUGCUGCAAACACUUGCUCAUUCCAGAUUUCUCGUUCUUAAAAAACUUUCAAAUGUUCGACAGAAGCUUCGAAAUAGUUGAUGAAACAGGCACAUCAGGUUAUGGCGUAACAAGCGCACCAAAGAAACAUGGUAUCGCAAAACAAGUGGAAUCGCCGGAACAAUAAUGAGGGAAAAUCGAUGCGGCUGGUCUCUUCCUAAAUUAACAAGAUACCAUUGUUUUCAGUUCCUUGUCCACGCAAUCGUACUUUGCUGGAUACUUGGAAAUGAAGAACCCCCUAGCCACAUCAUUCAUAAUGAAAGGGAAUUCCGGAUUUCUCGUCCUUCAAAAACUCCCAAACAUUCCACACAAGCUUCGGAACUGCCUAGGAUUACGAGAUAAACAUCAGAAAACACGUAUCAUUGUUUCCUUGUCCAAAUAGUCGUACUUGGAAGUGAAGAAACCUCUAGCCACAUCAUGGUGAAAGAGAGAUCAUUUAUAUUGAUUGGCUAUUGUGAUUAUAAUCCAUAUUAUCAUGGAUUGAGAUUUGAAUAUCAAUAAAGUCCCUAAAUUAAGGGUUCCGAUUACAUCUACCUCCAUAUAUUAUUGUCAAGUAAUGUAUAUUACUUGUAAGGUAUAUUGCAAAAUUAAUUAUCUAUUUCCUAUAUUGUAUAGCUAAAUUAAUUUUCGGAUUUAAUUUAAGGAUAUUAAAGGGAUUUCCGAAAAGAAAGGGAUCAAUGAUGUGCUAGAAAUCUAUAUAUAUCUAUCUAUAUAUAUAAAGCAAAAGGUAGAGAAUGGUGAAACAUUCAAAAUGCCACAAAAUGCCCUUAGUUAAUUUAAACAUUAAGAAUUGAAAUUAUUAAUUAAAUGAGGAUAAUAUGGUAAGUUCACACUUUUUCAUAUUAAAAAAAAUUAAAAUUAAAAGAAAAAUUAGAUAAUGAAUCCUAUUUUUAUGGAACACAACUAUCCAUUAUCUCUUUUAAUUUUAAAAUAAUUUUUUUAUAUUUAAAAAAAGGCCUAGUUAUGAAAGCGCAUGAAGAGAGGCUAUAGUUAGGGAUUGUUCAUUUAGAAAAAUCGUACAGUUACAAAUCAAAGGAAUACAUGGUGGAUGGCACAGAUUGUAAUUUUAUUAUUGAUAUAAGGAUAAAUAUUAUAUGAUACAUAUUUUAAAUUUGAGUUUUCAUGGGAAAUGAAAUUUAGGGUGAGUUUAUAUAUAAAAUAUAGGAAUUAUAUAGAAUUAGGCACUUAUUUUAUUUUUUUGCACUCGGUUGGUUUGAUUGAAUCGGCCGCUUUGAUUGAUUGAUUUAUUUAUUUUUUUUAGUAACUCGGCGGCUUUGAAUUUAUAAAUCGAAAACUGAACCGAUAUACAAACAUAAUUAUGACAUGCAUCUGAUAAGUCGGUGAUUAGUUGAUAUAAUUUGACCGUGACUUUUAAUUUGAUAACCUAUUUGUUUGAAUGAAUUGUUUCCUUAGUGUAAGUGCCAAAACUGUGUGUGGGAUUUUGGAGAACACUGCGAUGCCUCAGUCCUUUUGCACUGAUGCUUAGCUAAUGUGUUAUUUGUCGAUCAAGAAAGGCUCGUUUGGGCCCUUGGUUUGAGCUUGACGCUGCCUUUUUCUUUGGAUGCGUUAGGCGUGCCACUACUAGUGUUUUACUUUUUUAGUAGAAAGAGAGAAUGAGUGACCAAGUGAUGUGAAGAUGGUGUUAUGCUCGUUGAUCUUAGCCUCUAAUCAAAGCCAUUGUACUCCAAGUGGGGAAUCUGGCUUGCAUAGGUUCUCUAUGCCUCAAUUAAGAGGACUUCAAUAUUUCACUUGCUACGGGACAAACUUGGAAGAAGCAACAACUUUAAAUUGAUAUCGGAUAGAAAGUGCAACGAAAGUUUAAAGUUGGUGGUGUCCGAAAGGUAUUAUAUUGUUGCAAGAAAGCAAAUACGUAUCUAUUUUGAUCAAAUAACAAUAAUCAAUCUAACAAGAACCAAAGAAAUGAUUAUCGGACAUAAACAAAACUCCUCAAACACCACUAUAAUACUCUUGAGACAGUACAAUGAGUCUGAUGAAGUUGUCAACAAUAUCUGCAAUGCCUAGGAAAACUUGCAUAUGCGAUACAAAUUUUGAUCUUUGAUAAACUAGAAAAAGUGACUAACUUACAAAAAUCAUAUCAAGCAUUGAUGUUGGCAGAGCAUUAAGAUUACAAAACAAUAACAAAGUAAUUCCGAUCAUGAGUUGUCAAUUGGGAAUAAAUCAGAGUAUGUGUUUGAGAAAAGAAGAGAGUUUCAAUCAGGAGUUGUCAAGUGGGGACUCAAGAGAUUGAGAGAGGAUUUGAUUCAAGUCUUAGCCAUUGAUAUGUUGUGAUAUGUAUUUGGCAAGUUAUUUGAGUCAAGUGUAUUUGAAGUUGGUUCAAAUAAGAGGUUUGUUCUUGAGAGAAAUUGGAUGUCCUUGAAUCAAUAUCUCCUCCAUUUAUUUAUAGUCUUUUUGGCUUCUCGGAUUUGUCCUCUUGGUAAAAAACGGAAAGUCCUGAUUACUAGUCUCUUCUCUGCAACUGAGUUUAGCGGUCUUUUGGAUCUUCCUCAGUUCUUGCGCUUUUAGCUGGCUCAAACAUGUUGAAGCAGCCAAUCUUCAUGGUUCAAAUCGCAUUUAAUGAUGUUGUCUUACUCUUCUUCCACCAUAUGACUUCCCAUGAGUUGUUGAAGUAAGCUUUGAGUUCAAAAUUGGAUACUCGCGCUUUUACCUGGGUAAAAAUAACGAUCUUUUGAGUUUUAGCAAAAAAACUUUCGAAUAAACCACACCAUAGAUCUUUGGUGCGGCGGAAAACUAAUUUUAAAUUCAUACAUUUACAUUGGCUGUUAAUUUAUGAAUCUUAAAGAAAAGAAAGCAUUUUAUCCAUUUUAGGGGACCAAUCAUGUGACUUUGCCAUAACCAUUUCAAUUUGGUUUUGAGACCAUUUAUUUUAUUUCUAUGAUAUCCUCACCACUCUUGUCUCUCCCACAAGGCCAAGUGCUACCAUACAUGCCUCUGGUUACCCAGCUCUUCCCGUGAAAGAAAACUCUGUACCGUUUUUUAACUAUUGUUUCUCAAAUAUCCAAUCGAACUAACUUAGACAUCGAAGGGCCUUUGGCCAAUACCUCUAGGUGUGGUCUUUUACUCAUGUUUAUUUCACAGGAACCGAGAAAAAAAUAAAAAGAAACUCAAGAGGUGGAGAAUCUAAAAGCGAAUAUUCUCCUGAGAAAUUUGCACAAAUAAUAUUCAUCAGACACAUUCAGUCCGAUAAGCUUUACUUUUCCAGUUGACCAAUUUGUUUACUCAAUGUCUUCAAAGGUCCCCGCAUUGUCCGAUGCAUUUGGGCUUUUAAACAUAACUUGUGACGAGCCCCAAUCAUUUUAUAACUGACUUGGGCAACUGCUGUUCAUAAAAUCAGCCCAUUGAUUGCAGAACUUGGGCUGAGCCAAUUUUGGUCCAAACACUAGGCAAUUUGGAAAUUCCACGCAUUGUAUAACUAACCUGCAAAAAAGAAAACUGCAAAUCACUUUUUUUCUUUUUCUUUUUCUUUUUCUCAAGCUCUUGGUUUGAUCACUCUGUUAAUGGGAAUUCUACAAACAAAUUCAAACCCAACACAAUUCAAAGGUCCACGUUCCAAUCAAAUUCCAAACCCAGUUUUUGGAUUAUAUGAUUUACCAACCCAACAAAAAUCAUGCUGAGGUUCCAAUCCAGUAUCAAGGCAUACAUUUUGUAGCAACAUUCCUACCACUGAUUCUUUGUUGCAAUUGAACCAUUUUUCUGAGAGAGUUUCAAUAUAUUUAAUAUUAGUUUGGAGCUCACAAGCAUUAGAAUAUGACUUCUGGGAAUCCAGAAAACAUGUCGAAACAUAACAAAGAAAACUCAGACGAGAGAUUUCCUUUGUUAUCAAGGACUCAAGAUGAGAAAGUCGUGACUGAUAAAUACUCUGGAGCAUCCUUUCAUGGCUCUGUGUUCAAUCUGUCAUGCACCAUUGUUGGUUCUGGCAUUAUGAGCCUGCCUGCAACCUUGAAAAUGCUGGGGCUCGUUCCUGGGAUUGUUUUGAUCAUUAUAGUUGCAUUUGUUAUCGAGGGGUCGAUCGAGAUGUUGUUGAGAUUCAGCAAGGCAGGGUCUGCAUAUUCCUAUGGUGAUGCCAUGGCUGAUGCCUUUGGAAGAAUUGGGAAAGUCUUACUUCAGAUCUGCAUUGUUAUCUACAACACUGGUUCUCUUAUAGUGUACAUGAUUAUAAUUGGUAUAACGCCAUUUCUUACUUUUCUGCUUACAUUGGUCUUACUACUUUCGAUACCGUUGUUUUGUAUUGUUUCUGUUGUGGCUCAAAAAAUGUUUGUUUCCUUUUCGAAACCAGAGGAUGUGCUUUCUGGAUCAACCUCAAAAGAGGUUCACCAUGCCGGCAUUUUGGAAGGGUGGUUUGGAGAGCAUUGGUGGACUAGCCGCGCCUUUGUUCUUGUUGCAGUAACUGUUGUUAUAUUUUUUCCAUUGAUGUUCUUCGAGCGUAUUGGUUGGUAAAUAUUUCCUUUAUGCAUCAGUACUAAUUAAUGAUACCUUGUUUCUGCGUAAUAUAAGGUUGCAGCUUAGUACAGUUCCUGUGUAAAUAAAUCAUCUUGGUAUCUUGUAAUUUGAUAUAAUUUCGUAGUUUGCUAUGCAUAAUUAGGUUAAACUCAGUAGGGCAGAGAUAUGAUUCUUUGUUUUUCGGUUGCAGAUUCAGCCAGAUAUAUCUCUGUUAUAUCAGUUGGAUUGGCGAUUGUGUUCCUUCUUGUUGUCAUUGGGGUCACAACUUUCAAAUUAGUGGACGGAAGCAUAGAGACGCCUAAAUGGUUUCCGGCUGUUACUGAUUCAACAUCAUUCCUUAAUCUCUCCACUGCUGUCCCUGUCGUUGUCUUUGCAUAUAUCUGCCACUACAAUGGUAUUCAAUCUGAUCAUCUCUUUAUUUCCAAGUCGUUACAUGUCUUUGCUUCCCUUAUAAUUUGCUCUUUGUUCCCCCUCAUGGUUAGCCUUUUUUGUGCUAAGUAUGCAGAAUGGAAGGAGAACAAAGUUCCAUACUCAGAUUGUAAUCCUUGCAAAACUUUAGAAUUUGCAAAUGGUUGAAUUCUGAAAAUAUGAAUGUUGAUAAUUUUCAGUUCACACAAUACAGAAUGAGCUUGCAGAUUCUUCCCUAAUUCAAGGGGUUGUUCGGGGUUCGCUUGCUCUAUGUGCCCUUGUCUAUGUAAUGACCGGCAUUUUCGGGUUCCUUCUGUUUGGUGAAUCAACAUAUACUGACUUGCUCUCCAACUUUGACACUGACAUUGGCGUUCCAUAUAGCUCACUGUUCAACAACAUUGUUCGAAUUAGCUAUGCCGGUCAUGUUAUACUUGUCUUUCCAACCAUAUUCUUACCUCUGCGGCUCAACUUGGAUGGCCUCCUUUUCCCCUCAGCAAGGCCCCUGGCUUUGGACAAGAAGAGGUUUGUGUUGGAAAGUGUAGGGCUUGUCCUCAUUUCCCUUGUGGGUGCAAUAUCCAUACCAAAUAUUUGGGUAGCUUUUGAGUUCACAGGAGCAACAAUGGGAGGGUUACUAGCAUUUGUGUUUCCUGCUUCCAUCACUCUCAAGUGAGCUCUUUUUCAUUCUUAAUUCAACUAGAAACUCACUUAUCUCGAUAUCGAUUGUUCUUAGAUUUUCUCUGUUAAUCUGGUGUUUCAGGGACCCUCAUUGUAUAGCAACUACCAAGGACAAGAUUGUGUCAGUCUCCAUGAUCAUUCUUGCAGUAGUUUCAAACUUCAUGGCCAUAUAUAGCAAUCUGCGCUCUUUGUUGUCCUAACUGAGAAGAGCACUUGGUGCCUUGGCCAAAUGGGACGAAAGACAAAAGAACAAAUGCCAUUGAAUUUAUUCAUGAAUUUAAGGAUAAAUUCACAUAUUUGUUCUUUGAAAGUGAAGACAAUUUGUUUUAUUCAUUUAUUUAUGUAGCUUACCUGAGAUUGUUGUACAAGUUUCAAUGUGAUUGUCGUGUCGUACUAAAUAUCUUGGCCAACCAUGCCACGUGUAGCAAUUGGAACCUCCUGUAGUUUCAAAGCGUAUGUCCUGAGGCUUCCGUUAUUGUCUAUCGUUUUAGUAUAUGACUUCUGCCUAGGUGCUGAUUACCCAUCUAACUAAACCACAUGUCGUAUCACCACAAAUAAUGGAGGCCUUCCAGUCAAAUGGGAACACUCAUUUUUAUAUUUUUGUAUUUUUGUUUGACUAGCAGCUGAACAGCCUUUGCUCUAAUACUUAAAAAAAUUUGUCCCUCUAAAUUCAGAGUUUUUAUCUACUUUUCUUCUGUUUGUCUACCUAUAAGAACCAGUUGUUUAUUUUAUUUAGAUUCUAUAGAAACCAAAUUUGACCUUUUGUUCUUUUUUCUGUUUUCAAUUCAACUUCUUGUUGGCAAGAGAGAUUAUGUUCAAUAUUGUUGAGUUCCACUAAGAAGAAAGCCAUUCAUUUUAAGUACUUGCAGUUUUUGAUUCUUUGGUCUUGAAUUUAUAUCAAGAUUUUAUAACCCAAUUGUCACUUCCAUUACUAUUGUUAAGUCCUGUAUCGAAUUUUCGAUCUAGUUCGAAACAGAGUUGUUUUCCGUUUAGUAGUUUUGCUUUGCAGGCAGCACAUUAGGUGAUUCUUUUGGGAAUUUAUAAAAUUUCUGCUUGCUAACUGAUGUUGUAUAUUGAGCUCAAGUGAUAAAAUUUGAAAGCUCUGAUUUUGAAGUAGUGAGUGAGCCAUUGGAAUAUGAGUACAUCACAAAGUGAACACCAAUUGGUUGAUGAGAGGACCCUUUUGUUGCCCACAAGCCAAAAUGAAGAAGCUCAGGCUGGGUUUGGCAAACCCAGCAGAAGAGCUUCUUUUCCUGGGUCUGUGUUCAAUUUGUCCUGCACAGUUAUUGGUUCUGGAAUUAUGAGCCUGCCUGCUACCUUGAACAUAUUGGGGCUCAUCCCAGGGGUUGCUUUGAUCAUCAUAGCUGCAUUCUUAACAGAAGCAUCAAUUGAUUUUUUGCUGAGAUUCAGCAAGCCUGGUUCAGCAUUUUCUUAUGGUGAUGUCAUGGGUGAAGCCUUUGGAAAAGUUGGGAAGUAUUUGCUUCAGAGCUGUGUUAUAAUCAACAAUAUUGGUUCUCUUACUGUGUAUAUGAUCAUAAUAGGUGAAAUUUCAAUGCUUUUUCUUCUUCUGUUAUCAUUUACCAAUUUUUGUCAAGGCUCAAAUAUUACAGGCAUUCUGUUCCAGAUUAAAUCAUGCUAAGCUUCUUGGUUAAUUCUAUUUUUUGGUUACCAGAGGAUGUGCUUUCUGGCUCAACUUCAAAUGGAGUUCACCAUGCUGGUAUUUUGGAAGAAAGCUUAGGGGUACAUUGGUGGACUGGACGUGCUUUCGUUCUUAUUGUCCUUACUGUUGUCGUAAUUGUUCCAUUGAUAUGUUUUAAGCGCAUUGGUUAGUAUCUCUUCCCUUGUUAAUUUUUCUGUUUGGCACAGAAUAGCUGUACAUAGAGAUUUACCAACAAGAAGACCCUUUCAAAUUUGUCUGCAGAUUCACUGAGGUUCACAUCAGCUAUAUCAAUUACGCUGGCAGUUGUUUUUCUUGUUGCUGUCAUCGUAAUCACAGUGUACAAAUUAAUACUGGGAAGCAUAGAAGCACCUGCAUUGUUUCCUAGUGUUACUGGUCUGACUUCCUUUCUAAAUCUCUUCACUGCAUUUCCUGUUGUGGUUUUUGCUUAUGUCUGCCACUACAAUGGUAAGCAAGUUGAUCCUCUUCUUAUAAACCAGUCUUCUUUUAUGCACAGUAUUUGUAAGAAAGUGAUCAUCAAAACAUAAUUAUACAACUUGCAAUCUGCAUCCACAUUAUAUAAUCUGAUAUCUGGUGUGAUGUCAAAACAUAAAUGAGCAGAAAAUUCAGCAAGUUUCUGAAGAUGCAAUAUAAGUUAAAUGACUGGGAAGAUAAGUUUCUAAUCUAAAAUUUUGAGGAUGACUAUCUAUUAGCGGGAAACAUCUUUGAUCCCGUCUUCAGCAAUGUCUCUCAUAUCAUAUCCUUGUCUAUAUAUCUCAAUUUCCAAAAUUUCAAGUUGAGAUCCAGCCAUUUUAUUUUGAUGCAGUUCAUAGCAUACAAAAUGAGCUUGAAGAUUCUCGAAGGAUGCCAGCCAUUGUGCAGACUACAGUUGCUCUCUGUGCCUUUGUGUAUGUGAUGACUGGCGUGUUCGGGUUCCUCCUGUUUGGUGAAUCAACUCUUUCUGACCUGCUCUCCAACUUUGACACAGACCUUGGCAUUCCAUACAGCUCUGUCUUCAACGAUAUAGUUCGUAUAAGUUACGCGGGCCACAUCUUACUUGUAUAUCCCAUUAUUCUUUUUCCCCUGCGCCUUAACUUGGACGGCCUUCUCUUCCCCUCAGCCAGACCGUUGGCUUCGGACAACGUGAGGUUUUUGUUGAUCAGCUCAGGGAUCAUUGUCAUCACCCUCUUGGGUGCAAUAUUCAUACCAAGCAUAUGGGUGGCUUUUGAGUUCACUGGAGCAACUGUUGGAGCUUUACUUGCAUUCAUCUUUCCUGCUUGCAUUGUUCUCAAGUGAGUUUUAUCUUUUUACUUUCUGCUAGAAUUUCUUGUAUUUUAAUCUUCACAUUUGGUUUUGAUCUUUUGUUUUUCAGGGACCCUCAUGGCAUAGCAUGGAAGAAGGACAAGAUUUUGUCUGUCUUCAUGAUCAUUGUUGCUGUAGUGUCUAGUGUGGUAGCCAUUUACAGUGAUGCAUAUUCAUUAUUGACAUAGCAAGGGCAAUAAAUAUACCCUCCAAUUUUUCAUUUUUAAUAAUGUUGCUUCGGGGCUCUAACUAAUCAAUUGAAACAUGUCAGAUAUAUUGUCUGAAUGAAUGAAUUGUAGUUGUAAAGACAGACACAAGGAAAGAGAAGGAAAUUAUGCUUCUGCAACCUCUGAUUAUAAGCGCAAGACUCUCAAUUUUUUCCAUUCAUGUUAAAUUUGUUUAACAUUGCACCAUAUUCUAAUGAUCUAAUCACCUCUCUAAUAUGUAGGACUUACCUAUGUAAGUUCAUUUCUAUAUAAAAAAUGCGAAGAACAAAAUAAUUUGAACAGAGCAGCAUGGCUUUUUUUCUUUCUUUCUUUUGGUUACUCACAGUGAUGGGGCCAUGGUUAUCAGAAAUUGUGAGUUUAGUAUAUUACACAUGCUACAUGAAUGUUAGGAUUUGAACCAAGAAUCUUGCGUGGCUAAAUUUAGAUAUUACUUUUUAUUCCCAAAAGCGCACGUUUUAGUUGCGGUUCUUAUUUUGUUUGAGGACCUUUCUUAUUGACAGAUGCAAUAGUAUACUAAACUAACACAGACUACACGAAUACUAAGACUCGAACUCAGAACUUUGCCUGAGAAAGUAAAUACUCCCCCCACUACAUUAGUGGUGUGGUUCCCAUGCUUAUAGUCGCGGUUCUAAACAAUCAACCGAGACUCUUAAACAGCGGUUUCCGAUAGCGGUUUUAGCACUAAUAAAGCAAAAAAUUCGUUAUUGGCCUUUGGGUGAAACGGUUGGAACCCAAUUUCGAAUGGCUGGGAAAGAGGAGCAAGACAAGCUCGCCGAGUCUCUCAACGAUCUCUUCACCAGCGUCUCCACUAUGGUCAAAUCCGAGCUCCAGGUUCCAUCUCUGAAACCCCAAUCUUCAACCUUUUCAAAUCGAUUUCUGCGAUCAUCAAUUGAUCUAAGAACUGAGUACUUGUUGAUAUGAAUUCAUUUUGAUCAGGGAUCAACCAACCACCUGGACCUUUUGGAGAAGAUGAAUCUGAGAGUGGCCGAAGAGUACAAAGGCUUCGGCGACGUGGCCUCUGGGCUGAGCGUCUUCGUAGAGCAGCUCAAGUCGAAAAGCGGCAGCUUUGAAGAGUAUGCGAAGCAGAUUGACGUUAUAGAGCAGCAAGUCACGGAGUUCGAAGCUGUGAUUUCAGUGCUGGAUAGAUAUGUGUCUAUGUUAGAGUCCAAAGUCCAAUCUGUGUAUCAGAAUCCGUCUCCUUCCUGAGUUUUAAGUGUUUGUGAAAAUUAUUUGGCUGUUGGUUUAACUUUUGUGGCAAUCUGUGUUUUUUAUUUGGGGUGUGAAAUGCUUUGAAAUUGGAAAUGAAAAGUGCCCUGCUUGAAGUAAACACACUGUACAUUUAAAAGCGGUUUACAGUAAUUUUAGACUUUCGCUUGUAUAAAAACAAAAAGCGGUUUGCACAAACUUCAAAUUUUAGCAAUCCGACACAAGGUUUGCUUUGAGCAGUCGAUCAUGGAAACAUACGUGAACGAUUGUCAACCGAUAAUGUACGUGGCAUAAACGCAAGUAUUCACCUUCUAAAGAUGAAAGCAACCUUCUUUGAAUGACUAAUUUAUGUAUAAUGGUAAAAUUAACCAUCCCAGUGUUUCUGCUAUAUAGUACAAGUAUGCAACCAGCUGGUUCAAGUCAUCAACAAGAUAACUAACUACUAUGUGCUUUUGUCAGUUUAUCUUUCUGUGAGACUUGCUACUUGUUUUGUAUCGAGGAGGCUGCUUCUUCUUACGUCUUUGUAAGUUUUGCAGCAUCAUAGCCCGUGUUUUCCCAUCUGGUUGCAGACCGUUCUCGCGCAUCUUCGUGUAAAUCUUCUUUGCUAAUUCAAUUUUGCCUCUUAAGCACAUUCCUUGAAUGGCAGCAUUAUAAAGAGACAUAUCUGGUGCAGCCCACUGCAGAACAAGUAAACAUUAUAGAGGUAAUUAUCUUUGGGCAUUGAAGGUCUAAACAAUCCCAAACGAACAAUAAUGCAUGGAUACAAUAUGAGUCAAUUGCACCAUUGAUAGAAAGAGUUUUUGAAUUUCACUAUAAAGAGUUGUUUUAUACAUAAUUUCCAUGCUAUCCCAUAAUAGCAAAGAUAUGAGAUAAGCUGAGGCACAAAAUUAACAUAACCCUGAAAAAAGAAGGAAAAAACUUACAUUCAGAAUUUCCUCCACUUCAUCCCAUAGAGAACCCCAAAUGCAACCCCUUAUUAGUGAUAGAUAAGUAAAUAUGUCUGGGGUGCACUUCUGGUGAACCAUGUGCUCAUAAACUUGCAAUGCCACUUUAGGUUUUCUUGCCUUCUCACAUGCACUGACUACAAGAUUAUAUGAUGCAGUUGAAACUGACUGCCCCGAAGCUUCUAAUUGCCACAAAAGCUUCAGAGCUUUAUCCCAUAGUCCGAGCUUUGAGCAUGACAUUAAAGCCAUAUUGUACAAAUGUGAGUUCAGCUGAGAGCCCUGACUUGUCUUGAUACUCUCAUAAAGCCUAAGGGCAUCAUCAUGUCGAUUUGCCCUAUACAAUGCACCAAGUAACGCAUUCCAUGUGUAAGCAUCGGGUGAAUGACCCAAAGAUUUCAUGAUAUUAUAUACCCUGAAUGCUAGUUCAACCUCCCCAGCCUUUCCAAGUGAAUUUAUCAAUGCAUUCAAUGCAACUGCAUUUGGCUUGAGCCCACUGUCCAACAUACUUUGAAAGAUGUUUAGCGCAAGAUCCCACUUUCCGUCCUUUGAGCAUGCACCAAUGAUAGCAUGCAUUGUAUCAUUCCCAGGUUCAAAUUUGUUUUGAAUCAUUUCAUUGUAAGCAUCAAGAGCUAGUUCGUGCUGACUACAACGAACAAAAAUGCUAACUAAGAGGCAAUAAGUAACUCGUGUUCCAGUAAGGCCAUUCUCCUUAAUAUGUCUCCAUAAUCUCUCAGUUUCACGCCAAUUGUUCACUUUACCACAAAUUGAUAUCAUUGUGUUAUAGACGAUGGUAUCAAAACUGUCCCUCACUUCACUUUCCUCUUCCAUUGCCACAAACAUUUCAAUGGCAGAGCUGCAGCCCUCAGCAACCGAAACUGCUUUCAGUAUUAAACUAUAAGUAUGCCCUGUGGCUAGCUUCUUUCUCUUCAUAAAUUCAAACACUCUCAAGCCAUCAUCAAGUAACUCAUUUCUCAAAAGGCAAGAUAAUAAUGAAUUACAUGCAUGUAAAUUAGGAAGCAGACCUGAUAGUUCCAUGGAAGUAAACAGUUCCAAUGCACUUCUAGUUUUGUUUGUUCUACUAAGCACCAAAAUUCGCUUUGAUAACGUUCCUUCAUCCAUCUCCUCUAAAAAGCUUACCCUAUUUACAUUCAAUGAAGCCUUCCUUUUUAAACAUGAUUCGGGCUGAAUGGGAACCUCAGGUUCAAAAUCCAAGUCCUCGUCAAUUGCCAACUCUCCCCAUGGAGGCAAUGUCUGCUUAACAAAAGAAGCUUCAUAGCCUCCUUCUCUUUGAACCACUUUAUCUUCUUCCUCUUCUUCACAAACCAAACCAGAUUGGACACCAGCCACCAUGUUUGGUAAAGUCAGAGAUUUUGCCUUCCUUGUACAUGCACUUGUCAAAUUUAUUGGCAGCAUAUUGGGUAACCACAUAGAAACUAAACACUGACGAGAAUGCCGAUAACCAAUUUUAUGCACAGAACUAUUUGGGUUAAAUGGUUUAUGUUGGAAAUGAAACCCAUUUGACAUAAUCACUAUGGAAACUGAAACCCUCAUGACCUCCCCCAUAACUGAACCCAGAAUUAAAAACUAACACAGAAAUACACAAAGAUACAAACUUUGGUCUUUCUUCAACCAUAUGAAGUAGUUUGAUGAGAAAACUAACCUCAAGAGCAUGACCCAGUUUGAGAAUUCAGCUUGAAAGAUGAAGAUGAAGCUCACGCCCCUGUUCCAUUAAAACAACACCUUUCUCAAGCUCCAAGCAAGUAUUUUUCAUGGUGAAAAAAAAUUCUAAAUUGCAACAAAAAUCACUGGUUGAGAAGACCAAUAAAACCCAUCAGCUGGAAACUGUAGGUCAUAAUUUGGUAAAUUAUGCUCCUUUUCUUCUUCUUCUUCUAUACGGGAGACGGAAAAGAAAGCAUAUAUCUCCAUUUGCUGAGAGGGACCGCUUUGUUGAAUCUGUUCUGCUAAAUAACAUCCAGAUACGACAACGUUUUGUGCCAAAAAAAUGAACCGCAGAGCGAACUCGUUUUACAAAUAAGCGCCAAAAUCUUAACCCGGCCCAUAAGCCCGGCCCAUUAAAUUUGGCGGUCGACGGCUGUUAAGGCUCAACUCCUCUGCCUCUCUAUCUGUAGCACAAUGACGACCGCCAUGGCUCCUCCACCAGACCUCGUCCCCGAAACCCUAAGCAGCGAACUGGCCGAAACAUCUUCGUCUGCAAUUACGAUGAAGCCCCCAAUGGGUCCUCCACCUGCCAAAAACCCUAGCCCUCCGCCACAAUCUGAAGCUCCUAUCUCCGAAGACCAACCCCAAUCCAAUUCAUCCAUUAACGAUUCAACAGAAGCAGCCGAGGACAAUGCCAAGCAGACCUUGAAGCCCCAAUCUCAAGGCUUUGCCGUUCCCUACACGAUCCCUCCCUGGAGUGCAGCUCCGUGUCACCAGUUCCAACUCGAGGUCCUCAAGGACGGCGCUAUCAUCAACCAAUUUGAUGUGUAAGCUUCUUCUUCUUAUUACUUUUCCAUGGAAGUUAAUUUUUCACGUUAUGCUAUAGCGUUGUAGAAGUUGUUUCUGAUUGAAAAUUUCAGAUAUGAGAAAGGAGCUUACAUGUUUGGCCGUAUAGACCUCUGCGACUUUGUCCUGGAGCAUCCAACCGUUUCUAGAUUCCAUGCUGGUAAUUAAGCAAUUCUUUUUCCUUUACAUUUUACCUUGGUGAUGUUUUCAUGUAUGUAUGUGUACUAUAAUUGUAUUACAUUUGAUUUUAUUAUAGAUUCAACAAUUCUUAGGCUUAAUGCAUUCUAAGAGAUUUUUGCGCUAAAUCUAUAAUGGUGACUUGAAAAUUUUCCAGUCCUCCAGUUCAAGAGAAGUGGGGAGGCAUAUCUUUAUGAUCUCGGCAGUACUCAUGGUACUUUCAUCAACAAGAAUCAGGUAUUUCUAUGCAGCUGAUUGCUUUCCUCACAUUGUUUGUAUGCCUUGAAACAUUGGAUUGUAUUGUGUUGUGUUCCAUGUGCUUACUUUUUUAUUCUUCUAAUACAUAUUUAACAUUAAUUGUAAUAUCUGUCUUUCAACCUUGUUUUUGGCUUUGGUUUUUUUUUUUUUUCUUUCGGUUUAAAAAUGCAAACUUGCAUUGACCUGGUCCAUCUUCAACCCAUUUUCAAAUUAGGAAUUAAGUUUGUACUGUGAACAGCUGGGGUUUUUGUAUACUCUCAUACAAAGGCUCUUGUUGCUAUAAAUUGUGAGUAUUUAAUAUUGUUCCUAACCAUUUUCUCAUGCCUAAUAAUCAGGUGAACAAAAAGGUUUACGUGGAUUUAUGUGUUGGUGAUGUCAUCCGUUUUGGGCAGUGAGUAUCUUAUUAUCUUGAUCCCAAUCCAUUCACUUCUUAUGUUGAUCCUUAUUUUCCCAUGUUUUAUGACUUAAGAGUUCUAAAUGCUAAUCUAUUAGGUACUUGAGUUUAUUAGGUAAUGAGAUUUAGGCAUUUGACAAAGGAUAGUUACUUAGAAUUAUCUUAAGGAACUCAUCAAGGAUUAAUUUACAAGUGACUGAUUUUUUUACAGAUGACUUAUAGUUUCUUACCCUUUUCUGAUUUAUCAGAUAGUGCUCAUAGCCAACUGCCAAACCCAUUGAUAUGGACCUAGAAUGUGUCAUUUGUGGAAAAAUACAUUUUUUUUCUUCUCUGAGACACUUCUGAUUAUUCUUCUUUUUGUUUUUAUAUAGUUCAUCUCGUCUGUACAUUUUCCAAGGACCAUCUGAGUUGAUGCCACCGGUAAGACUUUCUUAUUUAAAUCUGUAUGUGUUAUAUUUCUUUUGUUCACCUGAUUAUGAAGAAUUGUAAGAGGAGAUUUUCUUGAGCUACAGGGGUUAAGACAAUGAAAAUGAACUAAGCACUCAGAAUAUGUUAGCGUUCAAAAUAGUUGCAUUUUCUUUCAGAAGAAUCCUCAAGAAUUUUCUCUACCUUCUUAUCCACAUGAUGACACUACAGUUAAUUUUGUAAAGAGUAUGUUAAUGGGGUCAAGUUUGGCUUUUUAAAUUAUUCAUGUCCAGAUUUUGUUCACAUCAAGCAUAGUCAAAUGGCUCAUGCAAAUAAAAUUGAUACCACUGCUACCAGGUGUGGCUUGGGUUGCCUAAAAAAGAUAGCAGCCAAGUUAGGGUUCAAAGCAGAGCAUAUUCUCACGGACAGGUCAUGGAUUAUUGUGUGGUUUUAUGUUGUAGGAAAAAGACUUGAAGCUUUUAAGAGUGGCCAAAAUGCGUGAGGAUAUCCUAGAUCAGGAAGCAUCACUUCAACGAGCAAGACUGGAGGCUUCUCUUGCUGAUGGCAUCUCAUGGGGCAUGGAAGAGGAUGCUAUUGAAGAAGCUGAGGCAUGUGGGAUUUAAUGAUCACUUUCCUUUUUGAAUUAUGUUUUGAAUAGAGAUUUACCUAAACUGCAUUACAUAUCCUUCUAUUUUCUUCAAGUAUGAUGUUUUCUGCAUGAUGAAUUGAAAGAAGAUAUUUCUAUCAUAUAUAUCACUGAUUUCUGUGGUUUUGGAAUUUUAGGAUGAUGGUGAAGAAGUAACUUGGCAAACGUACAAAGGACAGCUAACAGAAAAACAGGAAAAGACGCGUGAAAAAGUACUUAAAAGAUUGGAAAAGGCAAGUGAUUUUAAUUCUUCUUGCUUUUUUGUUAAUGAAAUGCUAUCUCCCCUGUAUGUUAGAUCAUUUGGUUGCCCACUGUUUAUACCCUCAAGAUAUUCUCCCUGCUUUUAAUCAUUGAAAUGCUAUCUUCCUGCAUGUGUUAGGUCUCUCUGUUGCCAAUUGGUUUUACCCUCAAGAUGUAUAGUUAGCAUCUUAUUGUUUCAAGUUGUGUAUAUUGCUUGGUAUUGGAGAAAAGCAGUUCUUAAAUUGGUAUUCAGAAAAGUCACAAGCACAACCAGUGUAACUGUUAUGACCAUAUUGAAACAGUAUGUGUUGAUUGGUGUUUGAGGAGCACAAUAAUUCAUGUACUUGCAUUUUAAUAAUAGAAAUAGUGCACCUAUUAAAAAUGGUUGAAAGUGGCUCUUGACAAAACUGACCCAUUCUCAUUGCUUUCCAUUUUUCAUGAGAAUACAAAGAAUAAAAGAUUGGGAAACCUUUAAAGGUUGAUGAUAGAAAAUUUUUAAUGCAGACGUGUUCUCCCUUUAUCUUAGACUGUUGAAAUGGUUAUCAAUCAAAUUAUCCUAUUAGAAACUCAACAAGUAUUCUUUAUAAAGGUCCUAAGCUUUAUGGUAAAUCUUAUUUUUUCUUAUAUCCUUUUUAUUUCAUUUUUCUUCUUGUAGAUUGCUCACAUGAAGAAAGAGAUAGAUGCUAUUCGUGCUAAAGACAUCUCUCAAGGUGGUUUGAGUCAAGGACAACAAACUCAAAUUGCUCGAAAUGAACAGAGAAUAGCACAGGUAAAUUCUUCACAAAUAGGCAUAUGCUGGUUCAUUUCUCCUUUACACUGGUAGUUGAUAAACACAAGAAUUUUUGUGUCCAACUCCACGGAGGAAAGAGAGGGGAACCUUCUGGUUAACAUUUUAUUUGUUUAAAAUUUUAACAGAUUAUGGAAGAACUUGAAAAUUUGGAAGAGACACUAAAUGAGAGUAUACGAGAAAGUUUGGGUGCACGUGUUGGGAAGCUAUCUUAUGGUAAGAAGAAAGGAGCAACUGACGAAGAAGAAGAACUUUUGAGGUAUUUUAUUAAUAACGAAUACCUAUCUGGAAGUGUUGGUACUUCUACUCUUAAUGGUUGUGCAAUAGAAAACUCAAUUACAGCUGUGCAGAAUGCUUGGACCAUGUGAAUUUGUUUGGAUGGCUUUUAGAUUUGAUCAGGGUAUUCUUAUGAUAGCAAUCAUGAAGUUGUGAUUUCAUGAUUAACUGUGAAUUUAGAUGACUAUUAGAAAUGUCAUGCUUUAUUUGUCAGUAUUAUAGGAUUUCUGAAUUUAUUUGUAGUUAAUGAUUGUAAUGAUUUGUUAUUUUGCAGCGAUGAUGAUGAAUUCUAUGACAGAACAAAGAAGCCUUCCAGUAAAAAGGCGGGUGAAAACCCAUCUGUUGAAACCUCUGAUACUCUUCUUGACAAGAGAGAUGCUAUCAUGAAAGAAAUGGAAGAAAAGAAAGAAUUGCUUUCAAUUGAGAAAAACAAAAUGGCAUCAAAAACUACAGACGAAACUGAUGCUGCAGAUGCACUGGACGCAUACAUGUCAGGGCUUUCAUCUCAGCUUGGUGAGUGUUUUGUGCUACUACCACUUAUUGUUGAUAAUUGGUUAUAGGUGAGUGUUUUAUGCUUUCACUUAUUGUUGUUGCUUUCCUUCUUGUUAGUGCUUAAUAAAACUGAGGAACUCCAAAAGGAACUAUCAGCUCUUCAGUCUGAAUUGGACAGGAUAAUCUUUCUUUUGAAGAUUGCUGACCCAUCUGGAGAAGCUGCGAAGAAAAGGGAUUCAAAAGUGGAAGAGGUGCAAGAGUCAAAACCUAACAAAUCUGAAACUCCUGCUCCUGCCAUAAAAAAGCAACCUCCAAUGGAACCAGAGGAAAGCAGCCAACCUGGAAAACCAGCAAAUGACUCUAUACUGAAAGAGGGAACUACAGAGGUUAGCAUUAAAUCGAGCACGGAGCUGGCAGCUAGCGAGAUUGUAACUGAUGCAACAGAAGGAAAAAACGUUGUGUAUACUGUUGUAAAGCCACAGUGGCUUGGGGCUGUUGAGGACAUAAAAAUGGAGAAGGGUCAUCAAGAGGCAGCACCUUCAAAUCAGGACGAGGCUGGUGAAUUCGUUGACUACAAAGACAGGAAGAAAAUUUUGGAGAAUGUCAGUGAUGCUAAAGUUAACAUGGAAUCUGGGAUUGAAAAUGCUGCUCCUGGUUUGAUUAUACGGAAGCGGAAACAAGUUCAUGAGUCUAAAGGUAAUGAUAGUGAUUCUCGUCAACAGCCGGCAUCCUCCACGGGAGCUGAAUUCUUGGCAGAGGAUGCUGUGGCACUGUUGUUAAAACAUAAAAGAGGCUAUUAUGCACCAGAUGAUGAGACCCAAGAUGUUAAAGAAGGGAAACAAUUGAGCAAGGAUAAGAAGAAGCCUAAACGAGUUCUCGGUCCCGAGAAACCUUCAUUUCUUGAUACUAAUUCUGAUGAAACAUGGGUGCCUCCUGAAGGUAAAGCUAUUUUGCUUUCCUGUUCUGUGUUAUUACCUUCUUUACUCGCUUUUGCAAGGUGGGGAGGACAAGAGUACUGAUUGCUGAUUUGUUUUGUCUUUUUGAAAAACCUCAUUUCGUGUUGGUGCUUAUCUUUAUGUUUCGUGCAGGACAAUCCGGCGAUGGACGAACUUCCUUGAACAGUCACUAUGGCUACUAGAUCCGAAUGCCUUCAUGGUCACCAAGAAGUGACAGUUUAUCGCUUGAACCAACGUUUAUGCGCCUAAAAUGUCAUCCAUGGAGCAACAACUGGGAAACGCACUGAUGGAGUUGUUUGGUAGCUCUCAUAUUUUGUAAUCAGGUUGAAAGUUGAGGCUGGAUUACGAUCAUGAAAAAGCAGUUUAGGGACUGAUUGUACAGAGAUAUGGAGACACAAACAGAUCUCUGAAUCACUGUUGCAAACCCAAAUGUAAAACCUAGUCCGAUAAUGUACCUUCAUACUUCCAAGUUUCAACUAUUGCUUGUAUCACUAUCAGAUGGAAAACAACAAGAAAGAGAUUAAGCUUCCAAGUUCUCUAACAAGGUUUGAUAAUAUAAUGCCAAGAAGUACAAUAUAUUUAUGUAUAUAUUUUCAUUUCCGGUUGUUUUUAUAUACAUCGUCAGAUCAUCAUAUAAUAUUUGAUCGUACGAUUGUGAAUCCUAAUCAUCCAUCUAUGGUAAUCGGGUGAAGAAAAUUAACAAUGAAAAGUCGAGCAAAAUUGGCACGUGCGCCGUACUGAAAAGGACCAAUGGGCAAAAUAUGCCUGUUUAUAUUAGCAAAUGAAGCAAUCAUAUAAAUCAUUUUUUAAUAUAGAGAUUUAUUAAAUUAUUCAUGAUUUCUUUCAUAAAAAAUUAAAAUAAAAUUUCUUUCAUGAUUUCAAGUUUAAAUUUACUCGUAUAACAGGCCCUUUCAUUCAUAGUCAAAUUGUAUUUUGAUUAAAUGUGAACGAAUUGAUUCCCAAUUAUUUACAAAUCUGUUUAACCAAAUUUGUCGCUCAAAUUUACAAGAAAAGAAUAAAGACAUCAACAUAAAACUGGGCCAUGUAAGACUAGAUAUUGCUUGAAUCAGCCACAAAGCUUUUGCAUACUUCACAGGAAUAUACACCAUGUAUUCUUAUAAAGCAUUAUAACAUCUUUGUUUCUCAGCUUCCUCUUCAGAAGAAGCUUGUUCCAUGAACCAGCCUUGGAUUAGCUUCGACUGCAUAUACGUGCAUACGGGUAUUCAGAAACUCUCAAGUUAAUGGUUGGCUGUACACGGGUGGCGUAUGUGCACUGACAUCUGAAUGAAGAACCCUUUCCAGAUAUAUACAGCCAUAAUGCAGCGAGUCUCUGCCUGGGUUGUUCGAGCAGGCAGCUUCCAUCUUGGCAUGCUCAUAGAUAUCAGCAGUGUGUGAACAUCAGAGGCAGAACAGAUGCAGUUUCAAAUGAAAGAUAACUCUCCAUCUAUUAGUUAAAGAAAUACGGCGACUCUAAGACAUCCCUUAAGUCAAAGUCACCCCGUUCAGGCAAGGGGGGGAACGUUAAUGCGGGAAAGGACUGCUGAAAGCUCUCCAAUAACUGGACACAAAACAGAUGAUGUAGAUCACUAAGACAAUACCAUAAAAUAAAAUUGUUUGUCAAAGAAUGCAGUUGUGAUGCUUCAUGAUGGCGUAAACAUUUCUUUUCAAUUUAAACUUGAAAGGAGCAUUUCAGAAGAGAAGAUACUGUACAUUCUCUAGUAUUGGAGUCUCAUACAGCUGGACAAACUUUUCACGAAGUAUCUUGUUCAUUUCAUCCACGUCACACGCAUGUGUCCAAUAUGAGUCAUGAACUCCUGUAAUCAUAUGUUAUUACAUAGCUAUUGUAAGUGUCUACGUGUGCCUGAGAGAGAGAGAGAGAGAGAGAGAGAGAGAGAGAGAGAGAGAGAGAGAGAGGCAACUAAUUACAAUGGAGUGCACAAGAACAGACCUGCAAAGCUUAAGCCUGCCUUUUUACAGGCAAUCGCAGUCAUCAUCAUAUGAGAACUGUCUAGAGAAUGAACAAAAUUUGGUGGGAAAGCCGUCCUCUGCCUCUUGACCAUGACCUAUCAUAAACAAAAUUUAGUUUAAAGAUUUGAGGCUCGGAAACUUAAAAUAUGUAAAACAAUGCUCAUUUGGUGAUUUCUUUUUUCUUUUAGCCUUUAUUGCCAUAACGAUGUGGUUAGUUAAACUUGUCAAAAAUAAAACAAUCAGGCAUGAGGCAACCCAAAGAUGGCAUGGUUUUUUUUGUUCCUUUCUUUUUCUAAAUACAAAAAGACUGAUCCAACUUAACUACCAUGAUUCCAAUGAUGAUACGAAAACUACUAAGGGAAGGGCUUCAUAAUGAAUCAACCAUUUCACUACCAUAGUUCUGUGGAAGAAGUUUUUGCACAAAUAUUAAUCUGAAGGAUUAACCAGUGAGAAGAGAGAGGAAAAAGUCCUCUGCUGCCACUUCCUGGGGCAGGAGGUGGAGAAUUGCAUAGUGCAGGUGCAGAAAUUUCAAAUAUUCCUUAUCCAAUUGUACAAAAGAAGAAAAUAUAAGUAAAAAACACAUGGUCGGUGUUCCACAUAUGAAAUGAUAUAAGACAAUGCUUUGCUAGCAAAAUCCUUUCAGUCUUAAAAACUAGAAAAAUCUGGAUAUCUCAACUAAUGCGAUUAUGAGUGACAUGAGUGUGAGCUUGAAAAUAACACUAAAUGGCAGGACUAACAAGAUAGAAUUACCAACGAUGAUAACUUCAGUACCUUUUCUGUUUCUCGCUGUAACGUCAAAACUUGAAGGGAAGUUUUAAUCUGCAACAAAUUUAACCAUGAGUUAAUGAUUGAUUUAAACAUUUAGUAACUAUGAAUACAAUACGAAUAUUGACAACCCUUGUCGACUUAGCAGAAUUUGUAAUACUCACAAGAUGCCUUCCGAAUUUACGGUAAGGUUGCACAACUGGAAGUCCAAGCGGAGUUGUCCACCGUACCGGUUGGUUUUCAGAUGCAAUUAUCUGCAAAUCAAGAAAAACAAAUAUCAAAAAGUCAGGAAAACAUUGGCACAGAGAGAGAAAAACAAAAAACAAAAAAGAGGAAUCUGCUACAAACUUUUGCACAUUCGCCAAGCCAGCUCAUGAUACCUCGUGCAGCUUCAAACAUCUCUCCUAAAGCAGUUAAGGUGAUCUGCCAAUUAUAUACAGAAUCUUGUCAUACAAAGAUAAAAUCCACAUGUACACAUGCUCACGUGCAUAUGAGAAAUUAUUUCUAAUUACAUGGGGAAGAAAAAGACACCCUCACAAUAUGAACUUUCUAUUACCUUUGCAGCAUAACAAGCACAACCAAAGAUCUCUGCAUCAUCUGAAAUGGAACCACGUUCCUUCAACCUCCUCUUGAUUUGAUCCCGAGCACCAAUGUAAGUGACACCAUAUACUGAUGUCAUCACAGUCUGCUUCACCAAUUUCCUAUCCACCUAAAUUAUGGCCAGCCAUCAGGGUCAACCAUCAGUUGCACGAUAUAAGCAGGUAGUCAAAGAAAUGCCAGUUCACACAAAGCAAUCGGAUGAGAACCACAUAUUUUCUGAUAUAUCAGUAACCAGCACAUGUUUUGUUAUGGAAUUUGAAUGAUAUUAAGUUAUUAACUCCAAUAUCAGGUUAUCCGCUUUGUUUUAGUAACAUAUGCAUCAAAAGAAUGAACUUAACAGUUGUAAAAUCAACCUGAUUAAUUAAUAAUUUUGCACGCAACGCCUCUGGAAAAACUACAGGAUCCUUCUGUGCAUCUCUUCUCAUGAUUUCCAGUACCCUGCACCGUGAAUUUGAUACUUAAUUAUCAUAAUAUUACUUACUCAUGACAUGAUGACAGCUUCCAUGGAAAUUGAGACAAAUAAAACUCGUGUAAAUGAUGGGGUUCUAUACCCAUCAUGUGAUGGAAACCUAUGCCUUUGUCAUAAACCGCUUACCUAACAGCUAUUCCUGAGUAAACAUCUGCAGGCUUCUCUCCUGUAACCAGAUUCACAGAAGCUGCUCCCAACUGAAUGGAAACUUUCCAAUGAGACAAUAUAUAUGAAACAAAUGCGUGCAAUUUCUGCUAUACCAUAGGUAGACAAGGGAGGGAAGGAGGGAGAGGGUGUGGGAAAAAGGUGAACCAUGUAUGACCUACCAUAAAAUAAAAUUGAAAGUAAGAAAUACCUUGUCUCUUCCAAGGGCAGCAUAGUGUUGUAGACCAUUGCACGAGCCAUCCUAGAGAACAUCAGUUAAAAGCAAGAAAUGUAAACAUAAUAUGGUUUAAUGAAUAAUGAGAGGGCAGGCGCAAUUUAUAUUAAAAAGAGCUAUUGCUUAAGCAAACAGUCCCUCAUUUGAAAAACACAAAAUCACCUGAUAAGUUCCCAAUAGGCUACCAUACUAGAUAAUUCCAGUAUCCAAUACUUAACUAAUGGAAACAAAGCCAUCUAAACCUACUUCUUGGGUUGUUUCAACAUAGACCUCAAGGAAGGAGGUUACGAGUAUAAGAAACAAAUCCCCUCAGGAUUCCCCUACCCCACCCAAAAAAAGAAGAAUCCAAAAGGUAUGUAUGCAUGUGUGAACAGUAAACUGCAGAAAAGAUCUAUGCCUUACACAAAGCAUAGAUCUCUGCUAGCUUCCUUUACACAAGGCAGUGCACACAUUUAUACUUUUCCAGUUUAAUUCUGUUAUAACUUUUAACACAAGAAAAAUACAUAGAACACAGAAUCCCCUUCAAAAAUGCCCGAAACCACGUAAUUUAAACAUCCAAAACUAAUUGAUUACUUGUGGGACUCCCUUUGUGAAAGUACCUGAUGUACAGGAAUAUGUGAAAUAAAAGUCUCUGGAGAAGAGCUUCUCAAAGCUUCAGCAAGGUUAAUGCACACAGCCAAGCAUUGAAAUGGAUCUUCUGCCUUCAACCACCAGCGCCUUCCUUCUAGUGGUUUGUCCACAGAAUCAAAUAUAUCAUCCAAGUGAUUCUCAGUAAAUGCUAUUCGACCCUCAAGAGAUAAUUUGUCCACACCACCAGCAUAUAGAUUUGCCAAGUGUAUCUUCAACCAACUUAAGCCUGACUUUCCAAGGGGGCGUCCCUCUUGAAACUCCAAAAUACCCCGGCAUACAUCUGAACCGAGAUGAUUCAAGUAUGGGUGCAUAGGAUAUGCACGGCCCCGAAAGUCAAGAUUGUGCGGAUAGUAAAAACCUUCUUCAUCCUUCAUUUUCCGUGCUACCUGCUCCUCCGUAAAAUAAGUUUCACAUAUUCUAAGUAUGUUAUGAUUAAUGAAUUCACAGAAAGUGAAAUAAAUCUUACAGCUAGUUUAAGUUCUGUGUCACAACGCUGUGAAUGCCUCUCCAUGUUCUCUUUCUUCACAGACUUCACCUUCCAUUUCCAUUUCUUAAGCAGUGUUUCAUCUUCAGUAUCUGGUUCCUCUGGUAAAGGAACCUGAAAUAUGGAAAUAUCAAGAAAACAAGCUUCAAAUCAAUUUCAAUGAAUUAAAAUUUCCUGAGAUAGCACAAGAUUAAUAUCAAUAAUUUGGAAGUAAAAUGAAGGAGUGUGCAAAAGAAAUUCAAAAACUGAUUAAACCACCAGUUUGGUUUUUUUUUUUUUUUUUUUUUUUUUUUGGGGUCUGAUCCAACCGAUUAACAUUGGUACUGUUUGGAUUUUGUCAAGUAUGUUAAAGGUUAACCAACCAACCUCUAAUAUGUCCUUCUCUUUUUCUUUUGGGUGGGUGGGGGGAGAGAUUGGAGUACUAUAAAUUAGAAAAUAAUUAUGAAGGCAAGUACAUUACUUUUAUAGGAAAGGCAUGCACAUUAACUGGAAAUAUUUCAAAGAAAAGAAAAAUAUGACUGAUAAACUCACAUCAUUACGGUCCACCAAAUCAGCGAGAUGGCCUCCGCUAGCCCAUAUUCUAUCUACAACACUAAGUACCCUCUUAUUAACUCUCCAUCUGGUAUUCCCAAGAGCGUCCAGGGCCUGGCCAGGAGAUACACAAAAUUUACACAUAUGAGAAUCAGCACAGAAGGCACCACACUCUUCAUGUUGGUCGAGUUCAAUAAAAGUUUUCAUGAGGACAAAAUUUCUAUGUAUAUAAACCUUAAAAACUGGUUCCAGUUGCUCCCUUGGGGUCCUCUUAAUUGCUUCACGCUGCUGUCUCGCUCCAUGAAUGCGCAUGACAUAGGAUGGUAGGAAAAAGUACCCUCCUUUGUCAUAACUGCAAAAAUACCCAAAAUAAGGGGAGUUAGAUGAAUUUACAAAAACACAAAAGAGGAUAAAAACAGGCUAACAUCUCAAAAAUGUAAAUCAGAAAUUAUGUCUCAUAAAGAUCUAAACAACAGUAGGAAACCUAAAAAUGGGUUUUUUUUUUUAAUCAUUGGUCCUGACUGGUUAGCCAACCAAACAGAACUCUGAUGAAGUUGAAUUCCCAUUCUCUAUGUCCAGAUGCACUAAGAAAGUUGAAUCAUGCCACCUUUAAAGUUUGAAUUUAUUGGAGUCACCCUACUCUAUUUCUAUAUCAAAUCCUAUUGUCCAUCUACAUCUCAAAUCCACAAUAAUAAAAGUUCUCUCCAGAAAAAAAGUGAGGGUAAAAUGGUGGAAACUUUUCAUGAAAAAGGUAUUUGUGAAUAGUUUAGUGGAUGAAAAUAGAAACAUCUCUCCCCAUGCUAGUUUGAAAAUAAUUAAGAUAACCUGAACUUUAACAUCUACGAUGGUGAAAGCACUUGAUUCAUUAAGCUCAUUCUUCUAUAAUGUUGGAUUUGUUAGCAGCUCUUAAGUGAGAUUAUAAUUUUUUAUCUAGUGAGCAUGUUCUAUUGUACAUCCUUUUGAGUUGUAAUUUCUUGUUUUACUUGUUCUUUCCACAUAGUGGAUACCUUAUCCGCUCUUUGUAUGCAGCUUUCCUACUUUAAUAAAAACUAUGUUUCUUUUCCAGAAGGGAAAAAAAAAAGAAAAGGAACUGCAGAUUUAGUUUCUUACUUGUAUCUUGUAUCUGAUGAUCUUAGCAAGAAGGGAGGGAAGGCUAGUGGGGACGAUACUGAGGAAAUAUUAGAAUAACUUCUACACAUCCCAUCCCAUCCAUUACCAAUUUUCUAAAUUUACGAAGCCUCAAUCUGAUCAUAUAUGAUCUUCGAAUAAAAGAUUUUAAAAAAUGAACAAUUAUAAAAUAGGGCAAAACUGGUAAAACAGAACUGAUUUUUCCAUACCCAGUCCAGUUCAAUGGUGGUACCAACAUCGGCAUAUAAGGAAUCACCAUGUGCCUUGCCUGUUUAAACAGUAACAAUUAUUAAUAUAUCAUGCACUAAAGAAGGAAAUAAAAUUCCUGCAAGAAUUUCUUGACGUGUGUCCUUUGGCAGGAAAUGAGAAACCUUAUACACAAGUAGUUUAGCCAACACUGCAUCACCUGCCAGGGACAAGUGAACAAUGCUCUACAGACGAUGUUAUUAGCCUUGAAUCAAUUUCAAUACUAUCAAACUAUCUUAUCUAUAUAACAUUCCUAGAUCGUGAAAAGAAGAAACUAUUAAAUUUAAAUAUAUAUAGUUGCAUAGUUCCAAGUGUCAACAGAAAACUUCAAUUGUUUCAAGAAUAACAGAACGGAAAAAGGAUCAGAUUUGCUUACUGUUUUCUCAAGGCCUUUGAGAACAAGAGGGUCACAUUCAAUAACCCCAUAUCUUCUGCUGGCAUUCCUGUUGAGAGAAAAUUCCACAUCAUUAUUCAAAAUUAUCCGGAGGGAAGGGGGAGGUAUAGAGUUAUCAAUAGGACAGACUAAUAAAUACUUUGCAUCUUUCGCAACAGUCCUAAAUGUGUGUACAAAUGCAGGUCGUAUAUCCGGUGGACCAUCUGCUAACUGGUCAGCUGGAGGCUGUAUAAAAGCUGUUUGAGUCAACAAUUCAAUCAAACGACUGCCGACCUAAAAAUGUACAAAGGGAAAAAAGCACCCCUUUAGAAUGCAUGUGAAUAAAAUGCUGAUAACGUUUUACCAGUAAAAGAAAUAAUCCAUGCAAACCUUAGCCCUGGCUUCCAGGCUCCAUGAUUUUGAAGCAUCAUGUUUGCUCACUAUCCCUCUCACUGCUUUCAGUUUUUGUUUUUUCAUCAAAUUAGUGACUUUUUUAUUCAACUUCUCUCGUUCCUUCUUUGCAGCAUCAGACUCCCCAUUUUCCUGAUCUUUGUCAACCUUUUUCUUUCUCGUCAUUUCCAAGAACUUGUGUAUUCUAACCUGAUGCAUUGAAGCAGUGACACAUCAGUGCUCAUCUAGGAGAGAUGGGCGGGAUGACACUGUGUAGAGUAAGAAAACCAAGCCUUAGGAAUACUGCUUUACUUAGUCCAGCUAGAGAACAAUAAGAAACAAAGAGCAAUGCACUAAGGUUUAGAGUUUUAGAACGUGCCUCAAGCCAACGUCCACACAAACUUGACAUGCUUUGAAACAAAGGCAAAAAAAGGAAUUUCACUACGGCAUCACCAUUAAAUGGAUUCCAGCAAAGACAAAUUAAACUAAACGGAUAAAUAAAUAAGUAAAUGACCGCAAUUCUACUCAUGAAUGGAAGAGCAUGGACUAUUAACCAAGUAGAUGAAACCGAAUCAAAAUGUCCAUGAAGAAUAUGAGUAAAGCAAAGUUCAAACCUCCUGCUCAAUGGCUUCACCUAUCGUGCAAGCAGCCGCUACCACCCUGCAAGUUCCAUGUUCGCCUCCAGUCAUCAGCAAUCCCAUCAACUUAUGCAUUGUAAUAACUGACAUCAUAUCAGCUGGUAACUGAUCAAUAUACGGUGCGUAAGCUGUCUUAUUCUUUCCUUUCCGACACAGGUCCUGCUCUUUGUCAAUGGCAUUGCGCAAAGGCUCAAACCAACCAAGAAACAAAGACUUCAUGUAUGGCAAAUUGGGUGCUAACUUCUGCUCACACAUGUCCAUCAUAAGCUCCCUGUACUCCUUGGCCGCCCGUUCCCAUGCUUCAGUUUCAAUCUUUAUCUGUCUUCUCUUAAGCAUGUGGUACUUCCCUUGCCCCAUUCCUCUCGCUCUAUUCUGCCUAGUCCGCUGCUUAUAUUGGGCCUCCCUCUUCUCCUCUAUACUCAUUUGUUGCAAUAAUUCUUGAACUUCAUCAACAACAGACACUUCUUCCUCAACAUCAGUGGAAGAUACAGCCUCAGCUACGCUCGCAUACCCUUUGGGACAAAACCCAUUAAACCAAAUUGGAUUCCUCACAGACCAGAAACUGGGCUUACACAUACAAUCCUCAGGUGAAGAAAUAGCACCUUUCCCGCGAAAACCCACCUCAGAAAACCUCAAGCUUGAGCAAGAACUCAGCUCAAAAGGCUUGAAAUUUCCCGGGAAAACCGAUUCCUGGCAAAUACCCAGAAGGCUAUAAGCUCGUGAAAAAGACUGCGAAUUGAUGUGAAACCUCUGCUUCCUAGAAAUGGCUUGCUUAGCAAAAUUUCUCCACACAGUUGUUGAUAUCAUUGAUGGGUUUUUGUGGAAAAUUAAGGGGCUAUGAAAUGUAAAAUUCUUGCUGAUAUUUGCAGGGGACAGUGGGGUUUGGCUUCUGGACAUCAAAUUAAAAUCAAAUUUUUUUGGAGUAAAUUAAUUGAUGAAACUGGGAUCAGAGGAAAUGGGUCGAUGAAUGAAUUUGCAGAAACAAUGGAAUUCAUAGAGACUGAGAAAGGGGGGUAGUAACCAGUAAGCUAGCAGCCGCCUUAAGCCCUUAACCCUUUCUUAAACCCUGUCUUUGAUAUUUUAUUGAUCGAACGCAAAGCCUCGCACUUCGGAUUUUUGCUUGCCUUGGUGACUGACGGAGUCUUAGGGAUUUGGCUGGGGUUUCUACAAUAUUUUAAAUCUUUGCACCCUAUAUGUAAUUUGACGAUUGAUGAUGUGUCGGUUUUUGUUUUUUUUUUAAUUUUUUUUUUUUGAGAUGAUGUCGACUAAUUAAAACUUCGUCCAUGAUUAAAUUAAUAGAGAAAUGGACUUGUACAUUUUCAGAUAGGGAAGAGAAUCAAAGGCUUACUUUUUGUUGUAAUUUUUUGGGAAAGGCCCAUCUACUUCUUAUUUUCUGGAUAUAAAUUCAACCAUUUUUUAAAUGUUUAUAAAAAUUCAAAUUUGAAAUGUGCUAUUAUGUAAGAUAAUAUUUGUUCUAAUAAUAAUUUACUUAUUAUCUUUUAUUGAUAAUAGGUAAAUUACUUUUAUAAAUUAUUAGGUACAUUAUUUUCAAAAUACGUUAAAAGUUGGGUAUAUUAUUUAAUAAAUAAAUAAAUUCAUACUAAGUAAAUUAUUUUUUGAUGUGACACUCACAAUGUCAUGUAAUAUUGCUAAAUUACUUAUGUUGUAACACGUGUACGAAUUUAUUAAUUUUAUACACAAAGUCUAUGACACAUAAACAUUGUCAUUUGCUCACAUUUUAGUACUUUAAUUCAUAACGCCACAUGAUAAUGUGAUAAUAACACCCUAAGGGCUAGUUUGGCAUUACUGUGCUGUGAAAAUAAUCGCUUCCAAAUUUGCUGUGAGAAAAAUCAGUUGUAAGAGAAAACAAUUUGGCGUUUGGUAAACUUUUUUUUUAAAAAUGUUGUUGGUACUGAUUCAAGCAUAAUCAGAAAAUAAUUCUCGUAUAAUCAUUAAACCCAGCACCUCUUCGAAACUAAUUUCUAGCAUAAUCUGAAAAUGAAAGCACAUCAUUAGUUGAUUUCCCUUAUAACUUUCUCUCACAGCAAUUUUGAACAAUAAGUGAUUUUCUCAUAGUUUACCAAACGGACUGGGCUUUCCAAAAUUUAAAAAAAAAUCACUUAUCACUCCAAAUAAGCAAUGUCAAACGGGCACUAAGUCUAUGAUUUAAGUUCGAGAGACACCAUAUUCCAAAUUUACAAUGGUUCUUUUUUGUCACUAUAAUAGGGUUUCUGACCACUAACGAAAAUGAUGGUAAGAGCAUGCUCACGGGCUCAAAGCAAGACGUGAAGAAGUUAGUGCUAAAUCCUGGCUUCAAUUUACAACAAUAUGACAUUUUAGAGUAUCGGCAAAAAUCAUUGAUCUCAAAUUGAGCCAAAAUUCUUGUACUAACUUUUGCCUGUCAUUUCUUGUCAUAUUUUCAUAUUACUACAUCGAAAGUGAAAAGUAUUCGUAGCAUUCUGGGGUUUGACAAGUCUAACAAAGAGCAAUCAGAAAAUUUGGCAUAUCCAUGAGAGAGAGAGUGAGUGAGAGAAAGAGGGGCUAGAUUUAUUAAGUUGGAGAAUUAACUGAGAUACAUAAUUUGCCUGGUCUAAUAAACUUCCUAUUUUUUCCUCUAAGAAAGAGAAACAAUGACAUUUAUCCUAUCAUUCAAGCCCCCAUCCAUGAUGAGUACAUCUUUCUUGACGUAUACAAUACUUGAAUUCUCAAUGCAGAUGCUACAUAGUUGGUUCUCAUCCUCUAGAGACUUUUAUCCUAUCACCAACGACCCAAUUAACCAAUCAAAUAAAUAGAAGCGGGGUAGAAUACAGAUUCAAUUUGUGAACUGAUCUCGUCUCUUCAUGCACUAGUAGCUGUGGGCUUAAAACAAUCAAUAUUGCACAAUCCGACUGAUCUGAACAUCUCUCCAAAGCUGCCACCAAGGUUAAAUUUCAACAAUCAGAACAACCAGAGUUGUAUGUGUCUGUGCUACAUUGUGGAUGAUUGAACUUUGAACAACAAAGCAAGUAUGGAUAGAAAAGAAAAAAAUAGUUAAUGAAUAGCUAACCGGUCAAUGCUAUUUCGUGCUUUCUCUGGCUGAUCCAUGCUAUUACUUGCUUUUUCUGGGUGAUCCGUACUCUUUCUUGAUCUCUCUCUCUUAUCAGUGCUGGCCCUUGACUUCUCUCUGUGAUCUGUGCUUAGCCUAGGGUUUUCUCUAUGGUCGGUACUUGGUCUAGAAUGCUCUUGUUGAUCUGUAGUGGAACAAGAUUUCUCCCUAGUGUCAGUGCUUCUCCGUGGAUUUUCUGGUUGAUCCGUAAUUGGCCCAAAUCCAUUUCUAAGAUGUGGAUAUUUCUCAACAGCUGAUACAAACUUCUUGACAUGCUUUAUGUAUUGUGGGUAGAGCUCCAAGUCACAAUGAUUCCCUCCUUUUAUCCAUAAUGGCUCAUACUUCUCCUUACAAUGUUCCCAAAGCUGCUUGCCAUGGGACCAAUCCACAACAUCAUCAGCCGUCCCCUGCACAGAACAAAACAACCUGGAAAAUAAGCAUGCUUCUGAAAACUAAGCCAUACAUUUAAUGAUACCAUAAGACAAUCAUUGCACUCUAUAUGCUAUGCAAUCGGAGUAAUCAACAAGUACACUGGCAAUUGGAAAAGAAAGACAGCCGAGGCAUGUGUGUUUGACACCAAAAGAGCAUCCCUUUUUCAGACCUUACCUUUAAUGUGGAUGAAAUGAGAAAGAAAAAAAAUUUUAAAAAUAGUUUUUUAAUUUCAUACCAAAAUAAAUCUCAUGCCUUCUUUUAAGGAAAAAAAGAGGCAAAAGCCAUCAUCCUGCGUAAGAUCAUUUACAGCCCAUAUGGUGCUUCAUGUCCACAUUCACUUAUUUUCUGGAGAACUUAGUACCAAAUGGCACAAUGAGUUUAAAAAAUAUAUCUAUCCUAGUAUCCAAUUAGACGCAUUAAAUGGCUGUUCAAACUUGUUAACAAGCAGCAGACAUGAAAUGUUAGUGCAUCAGUGCACACAUAAGUCCAAUUUGCUAUGCCAUCAAUGUACAUUAUUAGCUUGCCAUGUUUUUUGAAAAGAAUAACUUGCCACAUUUAGAUUCACAAAAUUCUAGGGAAAUAGAGCAUACAAUUUAAAGAACAAGAGGUACUCACAUGAAUCACCAGAACAGGACAACUGACCAAGGGUAUUUUGUCAAUGUUCUGCACCAUGAAUAGGCCAAACUCUCAUUAGCAUGCAUUCACUUCAAAUAUUAUGAGAAAAUUGAACCAAAUCGUCUAAAACUGAGCAAUCAAUAAAGAUUAAAAACCUUAUAAAUGUCAAACCAGUAUGUCCGCUUCACCGGAUACAUGACACGAAGACCAGACAUGAUCGGACUGUGAAGAACCACCGCCCUCAAUCUUGGUAACCGGGUUGCUAGAUCUAGAGUGGGCCCACUACCAACUGAUUGCCCAUAUAAGAUAACAUCUUCCUCCUUCGCACCGUACCUCUCCACAAGGCAUCUAUAUGCAGCUUCUAUGUCUGCAUAAGUGUUUUGCUCACUUGGCUGUCCAUAAAGGAAAAGAUAUAUAUCUCAUUUUGAACAUUCUCCUAAGCAAAUUAUAGCUAAGACUUGUUUGCAUUUAUCAAAUGCUCAAUUUGGUCUGUAGGAAAGAAGAAAUGUGUCUAAUUAAAAAACGAAUUAAGCAGGAUGAAAAACUCAACAAAGGGGGUGCAUCAGGCGUUUUAAGUGUCUUUAACCCCAAGUAACAAAACCAAAUUGAAGUUUCAUUUCCUCUGACAAAAGAAACCCUACUGAAAUCAAAUAUAGAGAAUUGUAACGAUAAAAUUAACAUUUUCCAGUUUCGCUUCCCCUCCUCUAUGGAGCUACGUUUUCUGGGCAUCCAAACAAAUUAAUACAAAUCCAAAUCCCAUACCUUCCCAGUAGAUUGUCCGUACCCCGAAUAGUCAUACCUACAAAACACGCACAGAGCCCCAUAAGUUCAAAACUUUUCAAAGUACACACAUAUAUUUAUGCAAAAAUAGAAACACACACACACUACUAAGCUAUAUAUAAUUAAACAGUGAAAUCAUAGAUGCACUUGACUGACCCCAACAAGUUGACUCGGAGAUGAAGACUGAGCUCGCUGAACAACUCGUACAUCUGACCCAGAUCAGCUGCGUUCCCGUGCGAGUGUAAAACUGUGAGCUUCGCCGACGGAUUCCUUAUGUACACCGCCACGACGUCGUUCCCUCUCUUGGUCUUCAGCUUCAAAACGUCCACGUUUUCCCUGGUCCCUACCCCAGUCAUCUUCAGCUUCCCACUCUCCUCCUCCUUCUCCAGUCCGUACGACGGCGGGUUCGGUGGGAAAAACGCGAACUUGGCUGCCAUUGACGACGUGACUGCUCCCAUCUCAAGCCCGCCCAACCCCACUCCCCCCAAUAAUAAAUUAUAUAAACAAACGGAACUUUAAUUUAAAUUAAACGAAUCCAGUCGUGGAAGAACUUGAUUAAAGCUCAUUUGAAUCCGGGUGGAUUGUUCCCGAAAACGUCAAAAUCUGGAUAAUAAUUUGGUGACUGGUUAGUGAGAAAGUGAUUGGUUAGUAAGAAAGUGAGAGAGAAAAUGAGAUUCUAGGGUUUGAAAUCACCGUAAGGGGGAAGUAAAGAGGGUUUUUGAGCUGUGACAGAGAAAGAACGGAGGAUAUUCCGGCGUGGAAAUGGAGGGCACCACGUGUGAAAUGAUUAAAGUUUAAGAGGGGGUUGUGGUCCGGUGAUGGUGAUAUGAGAGAAAAGUAACUGCAAGCGCUAUUCUGCCCCGCCACGUGUCCUCUCGGGGCAGCCGUGGUCCACUGAUCCUUUGAAGGGCCAGAUUGGCAACAUAAUCUUCUUCUUUUUCUUGUUUUUUUUGGUUUUUUAUGUCUUGGGAAUUAGUAUAAAAAUGUUUUUAUUUCUUUUCCUUUUUGUUUGGGUUCUGUUGUAAUGGCUGGAAAAUGGUUGUGACUUAUGUCUUUGGACAGGUCCGUCAAAAACACCAAAACAAGAGCUGUUUUUUUGUGUAUUUUGUGUGUGUUUCUUUUCUCACAUGCCCUAGUCAAAUUAGGCGUUUUAGAGAAAAAUUUGCGUAAGUUGUUUGUUUACGUGAAUUAUUAACAGUUGUCGGUUAUUUAUGCAUUAUGUUCGAUCUACGGUUAACGUUAAUUUCUCUUUGACCUAUAAUUAGAUCCCAAAUCUUCUAGAUUUUGUAGCUUGAAAUAAAUUUUGUGGUUAGGGCUCAUCUUGUUAUGGUAGUUUAUUUAAAUUUGAAUUCAAAGUUUUAGUCUGACGCCAGUUUUUUCUUACUAUCAUAAAUCACAAAUUAAUACUAUGCAAUCGCAGUCGUUUCUCUUCCUUUCUUUCUUUUUUUUCUCCUUUUUUUAGGGAUCCUUUCUUAUUUAUUUGAUUUUAUUCAUGCCUUCUAGAUUCAUAGGGAAAUUAUACAUAAUAAUGGAGGCUGAUCUGUUUCUUUGACUCAUUGAUUCUUAUGCCAAUUGCCAUAAGUUUAGACUGUUUCAAAUAUGGAAAUUUUAAGACUUUUGAUUUAAGCUUGAGCAACAACCCGAAUUUUUUUUAUAAAACUAAAAAGGAAAAAGUUUGGCUCCUUAAGAUUAUGGAGUAGCUCCUUCUUACGACCAAUGUGGUUUUGACAAGUGUCAAAUUAUUUUAAUUUUUCUUUUCUUUUUUAUUGAAACUUUGCCAAUAUUGCUGGAAUUUGACAAAUGUCAAAACUCCAUUAAUUUGAAGAAGGAGCUUCUCCUCAAUUUUAAGGAGCCAAACUCAACUAAAAUGGGCACCAUUGGCCAAAUUUGAUAAUCAAAAGUAGUAUGUCGUUUGACAAUUUGGUCUAGGCCCAUAUUGAAGUGUUGACCAAACCAUAGUGGGGUCAAUAAUCGAAGGAGUUGUUUCGUUUGCUGAUGACAUAAUAAACUCAUGUAAAUAUAGGUUAAGUCAGUUCGCUAAAAUAGUAUACUCCGUCUCUUUUAUCCGAGUUCAAAUCUAUUUUCUGUACAUAUAAUAGUUUAAAAUAUUACUCUUGUCAAAGAAAAAAACAAGCCAAUAAACCCGUGAAUCGACUGUAAUUUGGCCAUGAAUCACAAAUAGAGUUUCAACUUUGAACCUCUUUUCCGGUUAGAGUUUGCAACUCUAACAUUUUGACAUUUAGUAAGGGUUUUAAGAUUAUCUUUUGAAGGUUGGCCCCCCAAAAAAAAGAUUAACUUUUGAAGAACGGCACCACAUAUAUAAAACAUGAAAAUGACGGUCAUCUCAUCUCUUUAUUUUCAGGUUGUUGUACCUUUCAUGGGCCAUCCUUCAUACCUACCAUUUUUCAAUAAGAAUUGAACAUAUUCAAAGUAUGUACACCAUAUUUCAGGUCCACUGGAGACUUUGAGUAAUUAUUUGGGUACCGAAUUUUCUGUCCAUUGAUCAUUAAAUUUUCAGAGAAACAUGCAUAAAAUGCAAUAAAGAAAAGCAGUGAAGUUCUCAACCAUUAGUAGGCUAUUGGGCAUGCUGCAUACAUAGCAAUCAGUUCAUAUAAGGUAUCGGACUUGUAUUGGAUUAUUUUUUAUCUUUUUUGUUUUGUUUGAAGUUAUAUAUAUAAUCCAUAUUAAAGAAGAGGAGAAUCGAACACGUGACUUUGGAUGCAAUGAUUAACGGUCUUAAUUACUUGAAUUAGUUUUGAAUCUUGAAUGUGGUAGCAUGACAAAUUUUUAGCCUUUUUAUAGCCUUUGGCUGUUCCCUUUGUGUUUUUGUGGUUGAUCUUGUGACCUUGUUGUACUUUAUGUGCUUAGAGUUUUGCCCUCUUUUUGGUUAAUAAGUUCAUCUUUAAACGUUGGUCAUCAUCAACCGCAAUUCAUAUGGACAUUGGACAUGCACAAUUCGGAUCCAAAAGAUGAAAGAAAAGAAGCAAAAAAAAAGGAAAUCUAUCUUAACCCACAACUUAUAAAGAAAUGGUUGUCAAACAAAAAUCCUUUUGAAGUUUUCAAAGGUGGAAAAGGAAACCAAACCAAACCAAUCCAAUUCAACAAAGGAGAGGUCCCCAAUUGUUGUCAAAAAGAGUACUUGUAUUUGAACUUUAAAGAACACUAGAAAAGGAGGAAAAGAAAAAGGGGAAAUGGCAAUUCUCUUUCUGUGUGACAAUUCAAACCAUCUCUUAUAGAAGACAUCCUUCUUCUUUUUUCCUCCUUUUGGUUUGUAUCAGAUUAUGAACUUACUCAAUCAUUCCUAAAUGAAGUUGGAAUUGAACUUAGGAUAUUUCACUUACGUUUGCAAAUAUAUAAGCCUUGAUCGACAGCCAUCGCAAUAAAUUGUGGAACUAUUUAGACUUUCAUCCUCUAUGAAAUAUGAAUUUUCCUGCACACAUCAAUUUGGGGGUGUCCUUUCCUAUUUGCAUUUAUUUUGGUGCAACAAUUCACAGGAACAUGCUUUGGUACAAAGAACUAAACAAAAGAAGAUUGAAAAUAUUAUAUGCAUUGAUUAUAAGCAUAUUUACGAGAUUAAAAAGAAUAAAUUUCGUCCGUAACUUAUGCACAAAAUUUUCUAUUGCUUCCUUUAACAUGCCUUAAACUUUAAAUCUAGUGAAUUGAUGUCUUUUAUAUAGAAAGGGACCUUAAACAGAAACUAUAAUUAUAUAUUUUUUUUAGUAACAACCAUAAUUAUAUAUUACUUUCUAUUAACUAUUAAGAUAUGAAGGUUGGAUCAAACCUCUCUCAGCUACCCCAUAACACAGACAGAGAGACACUUGCACCUUGCCUAUAGUUGACAUGUGGUAAAGAACAAUGCUUUUGUUUGGUGCAUUCUGUAGAUUAAACCUUCAAGCUCAACAACCACCAGAAAAUAAGUGGAGCCCAGCAACAACAAUUUAGUGGAGCCCAAUAAUCUAUACCAAAGGUAAUUCAUAUUUUGGGGAAAAAAAUACAGUGCUUCUCUGCUCUUUAUACAACCACACCUAACCAUCAAUCAUUGCCGUCCACUAUGUCUGAUGAUAACUCAUUAGUCAAACAACUUUAUCAACUACUAUUAACACAGAAAAUCAGCCCCUUGACCCAUUUCUUCUUUGACGUGGCAUCCUCUAGUUGGCUGGACAUCAGCACUAUGCAAAUUACUUCGCACCAGAUUACAACUGCAAAGACAUAUGUGGAUUCUUCCUUGUCCAUUUUGUCAAAUAGUGACAAAGUAAAUCAAACACCAAUGUAAAGAAAGAGUCUUUGAAGUUAGGCCCUAGGUUUUUCCCUCAUUUCGAUGCCAGAAUUUGCUCAUAUCUGUUCCAGCAAGCUUCCUUCACCAAGCAGAGCCAUGGAAGAUUGCUCAGUCCGAAGGUAACCCAUCUCAAUUCACAAGGUACAAGGAGGCUUGUAUUUGUAAUGGUAAUUGAUCUGUGCUCAACAAAAUUCUAUCUUUAACUUGAGCCAUCUUACAAUCUACAAGAUUAUCAAUUUUGGAUCUGACUAAAGAUUCGAGCUUUUUGUAUUAAUCUCAACUGUAAUGUUGGUUCUAUGCUAUGAUUCUUAGAGCUGUUGGUAUUUGAAUUAUGGGUUUUCUUAUUUUGUGCUGGAAAUUAGUAGUUGAAAUUGAAAGUUCUGAUCUUUUGGGGUUAAGAGUCAGCAAUUGGGUACUAGGGUAGAGCCGUCAGAGUAAUAUUGGGUUAGUUUGGGAAUUGCCACUAUGGAUGGUGCUGGGGAAUCUUCUGAAUCUGGGUCUGCAGUAUCAAGUCUGAAAUCUAUGGAAAAUGGGUGUUCUGGUAAAGAUGAUGGGUGCCCAAAGCAAGUGUCGCCUCUUAGAGGUGGUGGGUCGAGGAAUACGAGUCCUUUGGGUUGUGUAAGAUCAAGAAACACUAGCCCUUCGAGGCAGAAGGUGGUUAAGACAAAACCGCGAGGGCUAGAUGAGGAAACGGCUUCUACUUUUGGCAAAGCAAUUCAUCCUGAUGUUCAAAUGGAGGAUAAUAUAUGGGCAAUGUUGCCAGAGGACUUGUUGAAUGAGAUAUUAGCUAGGGUUCCACCAUUUAUGAUAUUUAGGCUCCGGUGUGUUUGUAAACGGUGGAAUACAAUUCUACAAGAUAGAAGUUUUCUUAAGUUCCACUCGCAAGUGCCAUCUCACGGGCCUUGUCUUCUCACAUUCUGGAAGAACUCUCAGACCCCACAAUGCUCAGUCUUCAGCUUACCAUUAAAAACAUGGUACAGAAUUCCGUUCACAUUUUUGCCACAGUGGGCAUUCUGGUUGGUGGGCUCUUCUGCUGGUCUAGUUUGCUUUUCUGGGCUUGAUGGCUUAAGUUUUAAAACCUUGGUUUGUAACCCUCUUACACAAACUUGGAGGACAUUGCCAAGUAUGCAUUAUAAUCAGCAAAGGCAGCUGAUAAUGGUUGUUGAUAAGAAGGACCGGUCAUUUAAAAUUAUAGCCACUAGUGAUAUUUAUGGUGACAACAAGUCGUUGCCCACUGAAGUAUAUGAUUCAAAGCUAAAUAGUUGGUCAAUUCACCAGAUAAUGCCUGCAGUUAAUCUUUGCUCCUCAAAGAUGGCAUAUUGCGACUCCAGACUAUAUUUGGAAACUCUUUCUCCACUUGGCCUAAUGAUGUACCGGUUGGACACAGGAUACUGGGAACACAUUCCAGCUAAGUUCCCACGGUCUCUAUUGGAUGGUUAUUUGGUAGCUGGCACCCAAAAGCGUCUGUUUCUAGUUGGAAGGAUUGGUCUUUAUAGUACUCUUCAGAGUAUGAGAAUAUGGGAAUUGGAUCAUACAAAAUUUAUAUGGGUGGAGAUUAGCAGGAUGCCUCCAAAGUAUUUUCGAUCUUUGUUAAGGUUAUCAGCUGAGAGAUUCGAGUGCUCUGGACAGGAUAACUUGAUUUGCUUCACAUCGUGGAACCAAGGGAAGGGCCUUCUCUAUGACGUGGAUAAGAAGGCGUGGUCCUGGAUUGCAGGCUGUGCUCUUCAGUCGUACAACAGCCAGGUUUGUUUCUAUGAGCCGAGAUUUGAUGCUUCCAUCUACUGAGAAGAAAGUUUUGCUUUGCAGUUCUUGUUUUAUUUACUAGCCAGAGAAUUAUCAGUGGACAGCAUCUCCAGUUAGCAUUUUUCCCUUGAUCCAUUCUUUGCUUCUUCUCCAUAUGGUGCUGAAGGGAUUUGACACUGGGCUUGGUGGCUAAUCAUGUGAGUUUGAGGGAUGCGUGGAUUUGGCAAUAUGAGUGCAUCCCAGAAAACCAAUUUUUGUCAUUGAGAUUUUGUAGACUUUAAUUGGUGAUAUUACCUCAUAUUAGGUCUCUGUGAUGCCUAAUGAUUGAGCAAAGGCUGGUUGUUAGAGAAAGAACGUGGUCAGGGGGAAGAACUGUAAGAAGGCAAUUUUUUCCAAAUCUUGUACACAUUUUGAAACUAUUAACACAUCCAACCUGUACAUUUAAAAGUUUACCGUGCCUUGCUAAUUUUAUUAAGUCAUUAUCUGAGAAUUUAUUUGAUAUGCUUUUUGCUCUUGAUCCAAGGUCGCAUCACAAGCUGCAAUUUGUUACUGGAGAUGUGUAAAUAUGGUGGUGUCUUUUGCUUGGUGAUACAAGUUUUUUUUCUUUGAUCAGAUGCAUUUCCCCAGGCUAAAGUCUUAGCAAUUUUCUUUAUUUGAACCAUAAUAGAUUCAUUACACUGUUUUGGAGUUCUGAAGCUUUUGAUUUUUCAAUGGAUACAAGUGGUAGAACCUUUGCUAGUCUACUAGUUACUUCAUCGAAGUGAGUAAAGUUGCUAUGGGAGUCGGGGCUUGUUGCAGUGCACUUCUCAGUCCAAUCUCUAUGGUUGUGGUUGUGCUAGCUGAGCUGGCCCUGAUAGGGUGACAUCUCCGAGAAAAACUUACCUAUACCGGGGUGUAUGUACUUGAAGGAGAUUCCUCAACCUUAACUUGGCUAAAUGGACCCUUCGCUUUCAAUUGGUUAAAGAUUCAAUCCAAGUCCACUGACCUUUCAGCUCUCAACUUAGCAACAUGGGGCUUUUUGCUUUGGAAUGGUUUUGAUAGGCAUAGGGAAGAGAUUUCCUUUGCCAUAAAAAAAAAAAAAAAAAAAAAUUAUUAUUAAAAAAAAAAAAGAAGAAGAAAAAGAAAAUGUUGUUCAUGUGUACAUGUUCCAAAAAAGAAAGCUAACUAAAGGGAAUCUUUUUCUUGGGUUCGCUAAUCAGAUGGAUCCCUGGACACUUUUCACAUAUUCCAUAGACUCAGCCUGCUUCUAAUCACAAUAUCAUGAGGUGUGUUAUAUCAAGUUUGUAGCAUAUACACAAACACAAGCACGCGACAUGCAUAUACAACUUCCUAAACCUCAAAAGCUUCACUUCACUUGGCACAUACAUACCUGGGUCCAAAUUUUAAUUGGUCUUGUUCGGAAAACUAUCAAAACAAAUGGUGGAGACAAGACAAUAUUGGUAACAGGAGCCGGCUUUCUCCAUGUCCAUUCGUUUUGGUUACUUCGUUCAAAAGUUUGCGAUGAGAAUUAUAGUUUUAGAAGGUGAUAAUUAAGGCAAUAUUUGCUAAAUAUAUAUAUGUGCUAUGCUGGCCAGUAUAAAAUAUGUCUGGGACCGACUUGCAUAGAAAUGACACAUGUUAACACAUUUCUCAAGGUGAAAGCACUAGCAUAUAGUUGGAGGUCACGCCCUCGUGUUCUAAAAUUGCAACUCACACAAACACACUCAGGAACUCUAACCCCCCUUGUUUGUUUAAUUGAUUAAUAUCUUCAUAUAUUGUUAAAAGCUGAAAUGUUUUGAGUAAUUCUAUGUGAAAUCACUUGUAAAUGUCCUGCAGGCUCUUAAUUUGAUGCAUUCUCGCGAUGCCCUUCAUGCCUCGAAAAAAACUAUCCCUUGCAUGCUAAGUUCUAACCCUCUUUAUAGUAAGUAUCGAAAAUAGAUAUAUCAAAUUAUCACGUGAUUAUAAAAUAAUAAGAAAUAAAAAAGAAAAUUUUGUGACAAUCGAAUAGUCAAAUUCUACAUAACUUUGAAGACAUGAAAUUUGAUAUUAAAAUUGACAUCCCAUAAAGCAAAGGAUCAAUGAUUCAAGAUCCUGAUCAUAUUGAAGUGUUUGAUGUCUGAAUAUUCUGCUGUACAAAGACAAAUUUUUGUUUUUGGCGGAACCCUUAAAAUUUAUAUUGAAGGUGAGGACCGAAUCUCUGACUGAUCAGCAGAUCUUUGCAGCUCGGAUUGACCCUAUUAAUUAUGUGAUGAUAUUUUCACUUACUGUAUGUGUUGGCUUGUUUUGGUAACAUUUAAAUAAAAAAUAACAGCUAAUAUCUGACUAUUCAACUUGAUCUUUUUACUGUUCAACUUGGUUAAGCUUGAAAGUAUAAGAUUUCCAUAUCUACCUUGCAACAUGCCAACAAAAAAGAGUACAAUUAUAAUUGAUUUUAGUACUGCUGAAGCUGAAUAGUACUGUAUGAUCUUUUGACCUUCCUUUCACUUAAACAUAUCUCAUAGUGAUCCUGAACUAAUUAAACUUUGCAAUUAAUAAUUUAUAGUCCGGAUAUAAGUACUCUAGAUUGUUCUCUAUACUCUGAUCAUAUACUACAAACAAUAUCUAAACUGCUCUAAUUAAUUUACGAGAUGGGAGAAUCGAACUCGAGUGCAAGAGGUGUGAUAUGCACACACUGCCGUGGCCAAACUAGCCUAUUCUACAUAUGCAGAAAGAGUAAUGUUAAUGACUCAUCUUUGAGCACCUUAUUUAGUGACUUCGUUGCAUGCAUGCCAGUAGAGAUAUAUCAUACACAAAAAUCAAAAACCCAAAUUCAUGUUUCACAUUUCAUAUAUCAUAUUUGAUGAAGUUUCAUUUAAUAUGCAUCAACGUACGAUUUUAGGCCUGCUAACCUCUACAGAUUCAGUUUAAUUAACUCGAAAAACCACAUUCAAAGUUUUGAAAACCGAAAACGCUGUCUUCCUUUGAAUAGUUUAUUCAUUAGAUUAUUUUGAGUUUUGUGUUCUUCCAAGUCCUGUCUGUACCCACGAGAAAUAUUUUAUGCAGGUAGUCUGAACCCUAGCUUUGACUUGGGUUUGAACUCUGUCUAUAAAGCCCACAUUAUUCUCUCCAACUUUCCUCUCUUUUUGUUGUCAAUCUAAAGAUCACUACACUUUCUCUAGCUAGAAAUUAAGAAGGAAACUACACAAAGAUGCUACAGCUUACAAGCUUCAUACUAGGGCUUCUUUUUGUUAUGCAUGCACUAGGGCACUUUACUACUGCUGCACAUGCUCAUCAGGGUAGAUAUACUAGUAGAUAUAUAUAGCCUUCUCUCAUAUUAUAGCUAGGGCUAGGGAUUUCUAAUAAAAUUUUGGGAGGAUUUUCUAAUGAUUAAUCUUGUUUUUUUGUAGGUAAAGAAGAGCUUUCUAUGACUGAGAAACCUGUAAUACUCUCUGGUCAUAAGGUAGAGUACUUAUUAUUCCAUGAUUUGUUUGUGCUAUUAUUGAAGUUUAGUCCUCAGGAAGCUUCUUGCACUCGUCAAGUAACACUGCGCUAUAAUCGCGUUGUUAUUUGCACUUCUCCACAAUAGUGCAAGAAGCUUUUCGAGGAGUGUGAAUAGCGUUUCUCUUUCUUCUAUAUAUGAUUAAGUAUAAUUUUCGAUAUAUAAGCUAAUUACCGUAUGAGUAUGCAGGAACCAAAUACGGAUGGGGUUUCAAUAGCUGGGUCUAGGAUGAUAGGGCUUGGAGGAAGAAAAAUGGCGGCACACAAAGUGUUGAGGAAAUUAGAGCCUGCAAGACCAGCUAGCCAGCUGAAUGGAGAGACUACUUCAUCAAAGAAUUCAGGUGCAACCCGUAGUUCUGAGGGAAAUUGUGACUUCGAAGGAAAGGGAGAUCUAAAUGAAAAAUGUAAACACGGAGAUUAUAAAAGUAAAACUAGCCCUUCUAGUGCUAAGAAGUACUUCAAAGCAGCACAUGAUUUUGUAGCUUUUGGUGCUGAUUAUCACGGGCCUGCACACCAUCCUCCAAAACACAAUUGAGAAAAUCAUUGAAACCCAAGUUCGAUCUUAGAUCAGUCUUCACGGUCUUGUUGUUGCCAGAUGCUCUAGUGAAAACAUAUGUGUGUGAUAGAUAUAUAUCACGUAGUAGCUAGCUAGCUAGUGUAGUUGUAUGUAUUAGUAUUCAGAAAAAGAUAUAUACAUAUAUGUUGGAAGGGAUUUCUCGCUCUGAUGCUUAAUGGAUGCAAAUAUUGCUUUUGUGUUCUUGGAACUAAAUUUUGAGAUGUUGAUUUUGAUGAGGAAGAAGGUUAAUAAUAAUAAUGGUUCAUGUUAGACAUUUCUUGUCUGAUUGCAGGUAAGGACAGUAAAGCUUCAAGCAACUCCCAUGGAAAACCUCAAAACAUACUGAACCAGCAGGUCUCCUCUCUCUCUCUCUCUCUCUCUCUCUCUCUCUCUCUCUCUCUCUCUCUCAUACACACACACACACAAACUUUCAUAAAUCAAAUUUUGAUAUGCAUGUAGUAGCUAGUACACUUAAACAAAGAGGAUUUUCUUUACCAUCAGAAAAGCCCCACCUUUUGCCUUUUAAUUUGGUGCUAAUUUGGUUAUGUUCAUACACAUUUUCCAGGCCGAUAUCAAGAUAUUGGAGCCAACAACACUGAAGGCUGCUGCCAAUAGUUUUGGAAUUCCCAGAGUUCUUAAGCCAAAGCACUCUCAAGAUUCCAAGACAAAGCAGCCAAUUAUCAGAGCUCAUCAAAAGACUAUUAAUUAUGAUGAUACUGAUGAUCAUCAUAAGUUGACAGAUGAAGCAAGAAGGCUUCUUAAGGCAACAAGAGAGAUAGUAAACCUGAUGCAUAAAGAUUAUCAUGGAAUGGGUCGCCGCAAGCCGCCCAUAAACAAUCAUGAGCCACAACAUUGAGAUUGAGUCUGUCUAAUACUGGUUUAGCUAUAUAUCUAGGCUCACAAUUUUGCCCCCUUCCCCCACUAGGAAUAUUUAGUGAUCAGUCCCUUAUAGCUAGCCUAUACAGAAUAUGGUGUGUGCUUGUUUAAUUUAUUUGUUUUCUUUUUUUGAUCAAGCAUAGGAACUUUAACAAGUAGUGAACUGCUGUGUACAUUAAGUUUGCCUUCAUACACCUAGCCUCUGUGAAGUAAUGAUAUAUAUAUAUAUAUAUAUCAUAAUUUUGUGCCCUCUUCCUCCUUUAUAUAAUCUAAUUUAUUGUUUUUUCCUUAUGCAAAACAUGGUAAAAGGUAAAACAAGUCUUUAUCUCAGCCUUAAAACUCCACCAAAUGAAUUUGGCAAUUGUGUGUUUGGAUCAACUUCAGUUGCUCCUCCUAAAAUAUUAAUGGAUGGUCUCAUGCUUGUGGGCUCUGGAUCUUCAAUAUUUAUUUAUCAAUUCACUGGCAAGUUUAAACAUUUAGUUUAUAAGCUCUGCUGCAGGAGAGUACAAUAUUAUUAUUUCCAUGAUUUCCAUUAACCAAGAGCCUUGACAGAGCUAGCUUGAGAGGUAAUCAAUCUUAAUCAGUACAAAUUAAUAUGACAAUUAAAAAAGGACAAACUAAUCCCAUUUUUUAAAUUGACCUUGCUGAUGGGCUGAUGCAUAAUGGAUUAUGUUAUACAAUUACAUUUCUACAAGUUGCUUGAUGUUUAAGGGGGUGCAAACAGUUGAACCAUUGAAGCAGCCUGUAGCUAUAACGGAGGAUACAGAUUCAGUAAGGUGGAAAGCAUCCCAGAAGAAGUAAUUGUUUGGUUCUAAGCAUGGUGCAAGCAAUGGAAUGCUCUCUGAAGUCCCAUCUGCCCAAGUAGUGCAGCAUGGAUUGCUUCCAUCGAUUAGCCCUGCUCGAUUGAUACAUAUCUCAUUAACAUCGAAUCGAUUAACAACAAGAAAAAUCAGAGAAAAAAUGAGACAACUUGGUUUUUGAAGUUUACCAUAUUUAACAGGACUUGUGAUUGCAUCAUAGCCGAUCCAAUUAGCUCGACCAAGAACAAAGAAAGAACCUUGGAAAGUGUUUGUCAAAUUUGCCAGCGUCACACGAAGAUUUUCAUUAAAAAUUGUGGCUAGCACGUUUGUAUCUUCCACACAGUUUCCACUGUGGUUAUGUGUCUUUGCAAUUGAUGGAAUGCAUCCAAGGGGACCAAUUUCAAACGUGACUAUUUUCCUGGCUCCCAAAUUGUACAUCCUCUGCACUUUUGCAAUAAGAACAACAAGCUUAUCAUCCAUUUUAACAUUGAAUGAGCAGAGAAGGAAGGGAUGAGAGUUUGGUACCUCCAAAUGGUUAGCAAGCGCAUCCAUUAAGAGUUGUGCAAAUUGUUGAGGAGAGUAGCGUUGACUUGUAUCGAACGCUUUGAUGUAAAGGUAGUUAUUGAUGAAAUCAUUGCUACCAAUAGAAAACAGAAAUAUAGAUUUGGAUAGGUAGUGCAGAAGAUCAUGGGGAUUUUGGAACUGUCCUGGCAAGUCUGACUUCACCGUUCUUUGAAACAAAUCUAUCUGGUCUUUUAGAUUCAAGCAUUUCCCCUGUAAAAGAACACCAAAUAAAAAAAGAAAGAAACUCAUAGUAUAAAACUAUAUAUAGCUGCCCUACUAUAGAAAAUUCAUGCAUGGUGGGUGCAUGAACAAUAAAGAUUGGCAGGAUUGAAUAUCUAGAACUGGUUCUUCACAGACUCAUGGGUCAUGACUAUCUUACAAAUUGGCUUCCGGUUUCAGGUAGAAUGCCACAAGAACCAGAUGCAUAAUUCAGGCCUUUAAGUGCUGUGUUUGAUCCACGUAUGCUCAUGUAUGGUGGAGGAUAUGGUAGCUCAAGAAAUUCAGCUUAACAAAAAAGACAACACAGAAACCAUAGGUACUAAGUUAGAGUCAAUAAUAUUCAUGAACUGAAACCAAACCAAAGUUACAAGUAUUUGUUUUGGGCAAUAAUAAUAUCACCUAUAAAAUCUGCCACUGUUCUGCCAUUGGUAAAUCUUCCAGUGACUCCCUUGACAAAAUUCACCCCAUAAGGCAAGUAAUCUGCCUUACAAACAGUUGGUAAAAAAUUAUUGUUACCACUGUCAAACAAAGAAUCCCCAAACACAUACAAUGCUGGUGCAAUUGGCAAACCAUGAAUCUGCAGUGAAUGAAAGUGCAAGGAAAUUGUGAACAAGAAAAUAAGUGACAUUGGUUUCAUUCUCAUGUUCUGCAACAUUGCUUUGAUGCAAAUGCUGAAUUUGCUGCUAGUGCUUUGUGUGUGUGUGUGUGUGUGUGUGUGUGUAUACAAUUUGUUGGGAGGAAAAUGCUGAUUGUCCAGUCACAUGGAAGAUCAAUUGGUGUGAGCUUUUAAUGAGGUGGAAAAUUUCGGUUGAGCUUAUAGUGAGGUGGGGAUUUCGGUUUGGGGUACAUGUAUAGGUAACUGAUAUGAGAUGAGUUGUUUCAACUCUUUUGGAAAGUGAUUGAAUCAAGGCAGCGGCCUAAUUGUACAACCCUUUUUUUUUUUUUUUCUGGGGUUGAAAGUUACUUUAUGAAUUUAAGGGGUCCAACUUCACAUUUCAUGUGACCACUGCAGCUCCAAAGCUAACUGAUGCUGCAAAUUUUGGUUUUGGGGUCAUGGAUUGCGCCUACUGAUCAGUGCUGAUCAUUAGUUUUGAUAUAUGGUGCAAUAAUUGGGCAACAUUUACACAAGGGAAUGAAACUAAGGUAAUGAGCAUGAAAAAUGGUGAUCAUUAUCUGAUUAGAAACCACUUGAUUGGGUUUCCAUGUGAAAGUUUAGACUACAUCCAUCUUUAUGAUUAGGCUUCCAACCACGAAAGCCCCAUUUUUUGAAGCGUGCUUUGCUGGGCUACUAGCAUGGGCCCAAAGCACUCACAUUGGGGCAUUGAAGCUACAAAGUGGAUCAUAAACCAUUUGUGAAUAAAAAAUAGUCCAAGUAGGGUUUGUGGCUUGGAAUCAUUUUAUAAUGAGAGCCUUAAGAUGAAGCCCUAUCUAUUAACCGUGCAGUACCGUCUAACCAAUCCUCUUUUCAGCUCUACCUAACCCUGCCAAGGAUAUUAGUCUAUGUAGCUCUAACCAAUCCUCCUCAAUAGUUGAAUAUUUGUUUGGGACAAUAUAUAUGCCAAGUCAUGAUACUCUUCUUGAUUAGCAAAAACCAGUUCAAGUGGAUGAUGACAAUAUAUAAAUUAUAUAAAAUAUGUAAGAGAAUAGAAAAACAACUCAAAAUUCACAUUAUUUUCUUUAGCUGUAUUUCUCUUUGUAUUUACAAUUAUUUUCAUCUCUCUUCUUAUCUUCGUUUUCUUGGUUCAAACAGAUUACAGAUUUGCGAAAGAAAGAACAACAAUAAAUUAUGGAUUUGUUGGAAAAGAGAGAAAGAAAAAAAGAAGGAAAAAAAUCGAAUGAAUUAUUGAAGUUAAGGGACCGCAGAGAAUAUUUCUUCCCAUGAUCCUACUUAGACCGUGUCAACCCACCCCAAAAAAUAUCGUUUUGAUUGAGCAUAUUUGGUUGACCCACAAGGAUGAAUAUUUGCAUUAAGUAGCAUGACACAACCCACUUGCUAACCUAAGUUGAAGCAGCCAAGGAUGGAGGCUUACACAUGCAAGCAUGUAAGGCAUUUUUCUUCAUUAUCACUAACACUAUUACCAUUAUUAUUAUUUUAAAAAACGCAAUUAAGGUAUGUAUGUCAGUGUAUCAGUAUUUUAAAUUAAUCACACAUUGUCAUACAUUGUCAUAUAUUUUAAUUGUAUCAUAUUGUAAUUCGUAAUUGACUUGAAAUAUUAUUGGCAUUUUAACUUUCCACCAAGACCAUGGAAUUUAUUCCGUGGACCAUGAGCUCAAAGCGACAAAUUGACCCAACCAAACAAAGAGAAAGCAUAAGAAUUAAAGGCGUCCUGCAUCUACAUUAACGAGGCAUUGGUAUUUGGUACGGCUGAAUAAGACCCAUAUGUAGUUUACAACUUUACCGGCUUUUGCUUUGCAUUAUGUGAUAUAAUUCAAUUUAAUUUUCCUAGGCCUACCAUUAUAUUAUUAUCUUUCCCUUUAACGCCUCAACAGAACACUUCUACCAGUUAACGUUAAGCCCAUAAAAAAACCGCGUCUUCUUUUUAUUCCAUCAACUCCCAGUCCAACUCAGCCACCAGUGUUUUUCCUUCAGUUUCUUCUCUGGCUGUUUACAGUUUCUUUUCUUCAACUGGGUCUCUGUAACAACAAUCAGCAGAAGAGUCAACGAAACUGAUCCCAUCAACUUCUCUUUGGGUUUUCAGCUGGUUAGGUAUGUGUGCUCUUCAUCAAUUCAUCGGUCUUUCUUGAUUUUGAGAAUUUCUGCUUAUUUGUGUCUUUUGGUUGGUUCUGAUGCCUGGGCUCAUGCGUUCUGGUUUUGAUUAUAGAGCAUGAUAUAUAAGGUUGUGGGAAUUUGGAAGGUUGAUAGUUAAUUUCAAUAUAUCUAUGUUGAAUUAUUGCUUCUUCUUUUUUAUAUGCAAAUAAGAGUCUACCAUUUAUGCCAACUUCUGCGUCAAGUCUUGGUUGGCGGUACCCAUACAAAGAAAGAAAGCAUCUUAACAUGUAGUAAUAAUUUAGUAGAAAACCAAAAAAAAAAAAAAAAGGUUCUUUUGCAGUUUUUGAGUUUCUCUACUUAUGCCCAGUUGAUAGUAUGCUUAUCCUAUGGCUCUAUCUUUAGAGAAGCAAGCAAGACACAAUUUUUAUGGAUAAAAAUGGUGGAUAUAUUAUGUCUACUAAACGAGUUACACAAUUUAUAUCUGGAAAGUGCACUGAGUUCGUUGUGAAUCAGGCAAUGUGAGGAAGUAACAGAUCGUACAUUUAUUUCAGAAAGAUAUGUAGCACUCUAACUAUUGUGGUUUUCAUAUUGUUAAUCAAAUAUUAUCAUGUUUCCAUUAUCAAUAACCCAAUCAGAUUUUGAAUUUCACUUGUCAUGCUAAUCCAUCAUUUCUGGAACAAGCUUACAUAAUGUGUUUUGCCCAUCUUAUGACAGAUAACCUGCGGCAAUUUUGCCCUGCAAGAUGUUCUCAUUGCCUGAAUCUCAUAAGAGACCAAAGAAUGGUUCAUCAAACUGAUCUUGUUAUCAUCGGCGUCUCUGUUGGCGUAGCCCUUGGAAUUUUGAUAGCUUCACUCAUAUUUUUUGGCAUAAGGUGGUAUAGAAAGCGUGCUCAUCUUCGGCGAUGUGCUAAUGAGCGUAGUUUGACAACUCUUCCGAUACAGGCAAAUGGCUUAGGUACAAGCACUGACUAUAGCGCAUCUCUUUCAACUUCCAAAGCUAUUCAAGGAUCCGAGAACCUUCAAAAAAAUUCUCCGCUCUCUUGGUGGAAUCAUCAAAACAAAGAUCGAUUUGUUUCUGCGCCAGGCGUACUUAGAUACUCUUACAAGUAUGUUGAACCUUCUGCGCUAUAGAAAAAUUACAUAAUGCUGUUACAGUUUAUAUUUCUCCAUUUUGUGGGUACUAAAAAAUAUUCUAUUAGGUUAAUAGUAGAACCUAUACUUGGACCUUGUGAGGUAUUGAGUUGAUAUGCUAUGAUAUAUGGUGCAUCCAAUGUAUGUUAUACUUUUCAGGGAUAUACAGAAAGCUACUCAAAAUUUUACUACCCUUCUGGGACAAGGUUCUUUUGGUCCGGUGUAUAAAGCAAAAAUGGCUGCUGGAGAGGUAGUAGCUGUGAAGGUGCUUGCUUCCAAUUCUAAGCAGGGAGAGAAAGAGUUCCAAACAGAGGUAAACGCUACAUCAAGUAAAUCCUGUGAGAAACCAUCUUCCUUCAUGCCCAUAGAAUUGAUACAAAAAUACUCACGUAUGUUGUAGAAUUCACAACCAAAAAUGAUUUCUUUGCUCUUAUGGUCCAAAGAAUACAUAAAAUGGAAUGUAACAUUUUCAAUAUUUUACUCAAAAGCUUGGAACAAUAAUAAAAAACAAUGCAAUUCUGGACAUGAACGCAACAAGACAGUCCUCAGGAGUCCGGUUUCUGGUUUCCAAAUUGACAAUCUGACCAGUUAUCACUGGUUAACUUAUGAUUGGCCGUCUCAAUGUUUAUAUCCCACAAAACAGGUUGAGUUUCCAUUAAUUUAUGUGGUCUUGCUGCAGGUAUCUCUGCUAGGAAGACUGCAUCAUCGCAAUCUAGUGAAUCUACUAGGAUAUUGUGUAGAUAAGGGGCAGCAUAUGUUAAUCUACGAGUUCAUGCGUAAUGGCAGCUUAUCAAAUCUUCUGUACAGUAAGUUCAGAAGCUCCUGUUUUUAUCCAUAUCAAAAAUCAAGAUUUCUCUUUGUUGUAGUAACUAGAAGCUAGGUGAUAUCUAAUUCAAAUGGAAGGUGGAAAAAUUUACUGAGUCUAUGUUGCUUGGUAGUUCCAAAUCGUGUAUUUCACCUAGAGACAUCUCUGUAUCUUUUUUUUGUUUCAGUAACUGAGAACUUGACUAAAACUUCUUUUCGGAAGCCUUUUGGGUUGAUUUAAGAAUCAUCUUCACGUAGGUGAAGAACAACAGGUCUUGAGCUGGGAUGAAAGGCUACAAAUUGCUCUGGAUAUUUCACAUGGAAUUGAGUACCUUCAUGAAGGGGUAGGAUAUAUAUCUGUAUCCUUGUUUUGUUAGUGAACAAUUAAUUUUGUUCACCUCUCUCAUAUGAAGUUUAUUUGAACAGGCAGUCCCACCAGUCAUACAUCGUGAUUUAAAGUCUGCUAAUAUACUUUUAGACCAGUCAAUGAGAGCUAAGGUAAGAAAAUAACCGUAUAUGAUGCAUGCUAGGCAGCUGGCACAUGCAUGGUAGUUAAUAGUGAAUGUUAUCAUAUUUAUGUUUUCAUUUCAAUCUGUCCUCACCUUCUCCUGUGCAUUAGGUUGCUGAUUUUGGAUUGUCUAAGGAAGAGGUUUUUGAUGGCCGGAAUUCUGGCCUGAAAGGUACUUAUGGCUACAUAGACCCAGUCUACAUAUCUACAAACCAGUUCACAAUGAAGAGCGACAUCUACAGUUUUGGAAUUAUCAUAUUUGAGCUAAUAACAGCCAUCCACCCUCACCAAAACCUAAUGGAAUAUGUUAAUCUUGUGAGUUUCAUGCACUCUGCAACAUAAACAUAUUGUUUACACAUAAUUCUGUUGCGAAGCUUUUUAACUUUUUUCUCUUUUUCCUUUAAGGCUGCUAUGGCCCCAGAUGGUGUAGAUGAAAUACUUGAUAAGCAACUAGUUGGAGAGUGCAAACUUGACGAAGUGAGGAGGCUAGCUAGAAUCGCACACAAAUGCUUAGAGCAAUUACCAAGAAAGAGACCUUCCAUAGGAGAAGUUUCACAGGGUAUAUUGAAGAUAAAACAGAGGCGUCUUGCCAAAGAAGAUACCAUGUCUUUCGCAGGCGAAGAAUUUUCAAGGGCUGUAAGCCGAAUAGAGAUUCAGCAGGUGGAGCUGAGUAGGAUAGCUAGCAUGAAAGAUAGAGCGACUGAAUGACCAAUAAGAAUUUUGUUUCCUUUUUGAGCUUAUAUUGGUUUUUCUGGUUUCGAAUUCGAUCCUUUGAGACGUUUUUGGGUGAAUACAAUGCAAGGCAAAAUCAAGUUUUUAAAUUUAAGCCCAUCGUUCAAUUUUAUUGUUGUUAACAUAUGCAAAUUAACCAUAAUAACGGAGGAGAAAGCACUUAAGUCAUCACCUAAUAACAAGGGGUCAAAACAUGCAUUGCAUCUUUAACCUCAUAAGAUAGUUUAUAUAUACACAACGCUGUUCCUUCUGCCAUUUGGCAUGGCAGAUUUAUUCACUCUCAACACAGUCGACACAAUGUGGAAGACAAAAAAGACAAAGGAAUUGAAACAUACGGUUCUCGCCUCCAUUGGCCGACUCCCAAGGGUAAGACUCAGGAUGCCAGCAGUCCCAUAAAUAAACUUGUGAAAGGAGGGAAAAAAAAAAAAACAAAUAACACCCCGACCCCGGUGUCAAACCCUACAACAAGUACUCUAAUAACUCCAAUUUAUUUAUCUAACAAUAUUCCCUCAAAACUGGCAUGAAGUCCCCAACCUCUGUCUCUGCCUCUGACCCACAUUCCCUGCAUUGCGAUUUGCAAAAGCAGGGCGCAGCAAUCUCUGGAAAUUCUCAAGAAACCGCAUCCAUUCCUCUUCAUUCAUAUCUGCCAAAAUCACAAAAUUACUGCUCAUAGGCCGCUGCUCAUUCACGCUCCUAUUUCCUGAGGAUGUGCCAGCCAAAUAGCCGUUCUUCUGCAUUGAGCCUAGGUGUCGCCAACUCUUCUCACCAAAGCUGAUGUUUUUCAAUGAUGUUGACAGCUUUGAAACGUUUGGAAUCCGAUCCUGCACUACACUAACACAGUCAUCUGACCUUGGAGGUAACUCAUUUCCCUCGUGCCCUUCCAUACCCUCCUCCACACUCUCCUCUAGUUUGGAUAGUAAAUAUCUUCCAUUUCCACCUUUUGAUCCAAAACGGAAAGUCCUUUCAGUUUUCAUUUUCUCUUCAGUAGUUGGAGCCAAAUCCAGCUCCUCCUCCUUCCCACAGUCUAGCUCAAACUGGAACUCCUCCCUGCCUGCUUUUGGCUCAAAAUAAGAUAUUUCCUCAUCCAACAGUGUCUUUGCUUCAAUGCAUAUUAUCUCGAGUUCACUCGGCUCCUCCUCAUGGCCCCGAUAUUCCCUACUCAUCAUCUCACCAAUCUCAGAAAGACAGAGGCCAAAGGCUGCAGCUUCCUUGAGAAAAAUCGUGCACAGAACCAAGACUCGGAGGCAUGCCUCUCGAAUCAUGGGCAGCUCCAUUCUGAGCAUAUCAGAGUCCUUAAAAGGGUCAAGUUUAUUUAUAUAUGCAAGCUCAUCAUCUGAGAAAGGAAUUGAUGCCUGCGGCCAGUGUAUCCACUCAAAGUAUGGAUCCUCUAAGCUUUCAGGUAGACAAAGGCCAUGAUCAAUGGGUACAAGCUCUAUCCGACCAAACCUCCCACCACCAUCAAGCUUCCUAACCAGAAGGUUCCCUGCAUGCCUGUCUGUGUUAAGAAUCCGAAUAUCUAGAAUCCCUAUUCUAUGCACAGCAGCAACUGGGAAGCUGGAAGUCCCAUGAUCACUGGCAUCAAAAUCAUGAGGAAUGAAUUGCUGCAGUGAUGCAAUCUUACUUGCUUGCUUUCCGUUUCGAUGCACAUUACCCUUCACUCCAUCAUUCACAUUAAAAACUGAAUGUGUGAUCUUCACAAGAGCAGUGUCAGGCACAUUAGCAAAAUUAUUGUAAUCAAGAAGGAAAGCUGCAACUUCUCUGAAACCUGUCUCCCCAACCCGUACUGAACGUUUGAGACCUGGCUGUCCAAGUACUUUCCCAACAAAACCUUUUGGGUUGUUUGGAGCAUAAGGUUCCUCAUCCGUCGGUUUCACAAUGGCAAUAUUUUCACCACUGCAAUUUCUAAAGUAAUAUGCACCUCCAAGCCCACCGUGAACAGGAACUGGAUCAAUGCCAUUUCUUAUUGCCUUCACAAUAUCCACAACUAAUUGUUUUGUUCUGGAAAAUUGAUCCGAGUACCCCAGUACCUCAAUUGGACCACUCUGAUCCCUCUGCUGAAGAUCCUUCCCAGUUGGCGAGAGACAGGGGGUAGACAAGCUUCUGUGCAAGAAGUUCCGGGUGAGAAGAAGCGGAGAAUCAUUUCGAACAAUGCUGAGAUCAUUCUUCAACACCAUGUCACCACAUACCAAUGAACUCUCAUCAGUUGGGACAUCAAGUGCAAGCCGUAAUUUCCUCUUCACUGUGUGGACAUUGUCACCCCUAUCUAGCUCUAUGCCCAAAACAGAACCACUUUCCGUCUGCACAAACACACGUCUCUUGCCAGAAUUUUUUCUUUCCAAUGUCUUUUUCCCAUGGUACUCACCAUUAAGAGGUCCUUUGAAGGUUGCAACUGCCAUCUGGUUAUGUACAGGUUUACCCAAUUCAGGAGACAUGAAAGGAAGCAGAGAAGUGGCAAGUUCCAACGCCGGCAGCAGAGGCAGCGGCAGCAGAGAGCUUCUCUCUCACGCAGACGCCAAACUCAAAUGCCGGCACUAAUUGAAGGAAAAUGUUUGUAAUGUAAACAAUCAUAAUCAAACUAGUAGAAGACAACUGAUUUUCACACUGGAAAAGCUAUAACGAAGAAGUCACCCACUUUGCCAAUUUGCUACAUUGCAGAGGCCACCUGAUAAUGACACUGGCAGGCUAGCUAUUCCAGAAUAACACAUUCAUUAGAUAAUCUUUUAAAGAAUAGUGAUUUACAAAGAAAUAAAAGUAUAAGAUAAAUCUUCUUUUUACAUCUGUUUCUUCCAAUCCCUAAUACUUGAAGAGUUUGAAAGGAAACAAAUAGACGUCCUUAUCUGAAAACGAUUCACUCAUUUGGUGACCCGGUACAUACAUCCAUAUUUACAAUCAUGCAUGCAUGCAUACACACACACACACACAGACAGGUAUAUAUGUGUGAAAAAAAGGGAAUCUUUUUCUCUGAAAAUUCUUAUGACAAAAAGCAGUCUGAUCAUCAACUUGAAACCCAAAUUACAACGCCAAGAAUCAACUUUAAAUUUCUUGUCCAUUCAAAUCUCCUACUCAAAGCUCUUCACUUUUUUUUUUCUUCAAAAUUUCUCCUCCGAAUCAGUAAUUUAAAAAGUGCUGGGAAUUUUUUAACUUGUCUAAUACAUAAAACUUAACGAAGAAAGCACAAAACAUAAAUAAAAAAAAACAAUGCCAUAAGAAUAAUACAAAUAAUCGAAAUUGAUCCCAAACUCUACCGUAACAAUAGGACACAAACCUGAGAUUCAAAUGGAAGCGAAAUCGAAGCUAAUCGCGGUCUGAAAAUUGUAAAAACUCACUAAACAAUAGUGUUUUCUAAUGGAGAGCUCAGACAAAAACGAAAGAGUGAGACUCACCGGAGACCGCGAUGCAGGGCAACCGGACGGCGGAGCUUACCGGAGAUCCACCGCCGUUGAGACAAGACUGAAUCGAAGACCGAGGGCGGGGAUUGGAUGAAAGAGAUAUCAACGGCCAGAUUUGAUUUGAUCGGACCUCAAAAUCAAUGCUGUUAACAGUUCUUCUCUCUCCCGCUUUUGGAGUUUUUCGUCUCUAACUCCCAUUCGCGAGAAGCGGAAGGGGGUUUAACGAAUAAUUUAACUUUCUCUUUUUUAAAUUCGAAAUAAAGGAAGAAAAUUACGGGCAGUAAUAAUAUGUGCGCGUUAUUUUGCCACGUGGGUGUGCGUCGUUCGUUCAACGGUAACGUGGCGGGUUUUCAUCUGAUUUGGGUUGUGUGACGUUACUGGGCCCUGAGAUGUCCAAUGGCAGUGAAGGAUGUGACUCCAUGAGAGUUCGCCGUUACGGACACGUGGUGGUUUCUCUUGACGAUGGUGGUGGGAAAGAAAGAUCUAGAACUUGAAAUUUCCAAAUCAUUGUUGGGCCUCAUUUACUUACUGGUCUUUUAGUCUUUAACCCCGUCGACGGCGGUCCAUUAAUGGAUUGAACGAUGGUCUAAAUGUUGGGCUUAAAACCAGUCCAUUUCUCAAUUUUUGAUAUAUAAAAAUGUGUGUAUGAAAUGUGCGCUAAAUUUGAACUUUUAUUGUUAACACUAUAUAUGAGAUUUAGUGUUCGAAUUUCCCUCCUUCAAUGUCGUUUAUAUCCAAAAAAAAAAUUUACCUACUAACAGAAGGUAAUGAGUUACGAGUGACGGAGAGUUAAUAAUUAUUUAUUGGUAAUGUUAUAUUGGAGUUAGAAAAACGGUGGAGGUGCGUCCACUCAAUCUACACCAAAGUGGUAAAAAAUGGGUUACCACCUUUCCCCUUGCGUUACCUUUUUCUAUUGUCCACAACCUUGUCCUAACACCUAACUCAAAAGAAAAAGCACAAAAAAAAAAAAACAAAGUUACCAACUAACAAAAAAUUGAACUUUCCACCCUUGUUUUUUGCCCUAGCAUAACGAAAAGGUAGUCAAGCCUUGAUGUACUUUACAGCAACUGUCUUCUGAUUAAAGAGAAGGUCUUUACAUAGAAUCCAAGUCCCCAUGGAGUAAAUAAUUGACCAUAAUAAAGUUAAAAGUGUGUGCAUUGUCAUUUAGAAGAAAUAAACAUAUGACAAAAGGAAAAAAAUAUUAUUGUGAAAUUAUGGGAAAAAGACAUAAACACCAUCAGUCCCUUUUAUUUGUUUAUUUAUUGUUUUCAAUACAAUUUUUUUCCUUCCUCAUUUUGUAAGUGGCACCGACUUCGUGUCUAUUUAAUAAAGAAAAAUCAUUUGAAUUUGAAAUCUAUUCUAAUAUUAGAAAUAGAAAUACCACUAGUACAUCGAUUCUCAAUUAGGGCAAUAUUAGAAAGAGUCAAAUGCUGGUCAACAACAAUAACUCAUGCAAGCAGUUUCUUCUUCACAGUCAACUUUCAUUGAUUCUUCUGCCCCAACCCAAAACAGUUCCCACUCUUUCUUUAAACACUCCUCAUCACCCAAAAGUUUCUCUCUUUUAUAUUUGAUUCCUCCUUUCAGAUUCUCAUCUCCUACAAAAAAAAAAAAAAAAAAAGAAAAAAAGAAAAAAAAACCCUUCGGUCUUUAUAGAGAGUCACACAACACAACCAUACAAAGCCCCCAAAAAGCCAAACUCAUCCAAUCCAACCAAAGACAUAUAAAGCCACAACCUUCACCAUUGGACCCCAAAAAAAAAAAGACACGACCUUUACCUCACGUGACCAAACUCAAACUCCAUCCCAUUGCUUUCAAUCAACAACUUUACCAAAUCUUGGAAAAUAUUAGCCAACGCUUAAUCUACACCUCUGCCCAACACCCCUCACAUGUCCCAUUUCAUUGGGUCGUCUUAUCCACUCUCUGGAGUGGAGAGUGGGCUUUCAUGAGACAAAGAUUUAUGAAAAACAUAAAAAUACUUAAAUGUAAUAAAAUACCAUGUCUGCUCCAUCCAACUCAAACACUCAAAUGUUGUGUGCAUCUCACUCGCACGUGCCGCCCCCCUCUCUCUCUCUCUCUCUCUCUCUCUCUCUCUCUCUCUCUCUCUGUGACAUCCCUUUCUACUAACCACUGCAGUCCUCUCUCUGUUCAUCUUUGCUUCUGCAAUCUAGUAGGAGACAGAUUCUUUUAGGUGGGUUUUAAUGAAAGGAUGGGAAAGAUGGUGUUUAAGUCCAAAAUGAAAUGGGUUGGUUUGCUUGGUCUGGUUCUCUCAGCUAUAUCUCUCUUUGUUCACUUUUUGCUGGCUAGAUUCACAGAAGGGGGUGUUUCAGAGUACCACUCCUCAAUCACAAUCUUCCCCAGGCGAACCAUUGGUGAAAGCUUGAAUUUUUCGAAGACUGUAAUUGCACUAUCCCAACUAAGAUCUCAUUUUUCUUUUUCUUUUUUUACAUUUGCUAUGUUUGCUCUGUCCUUAAGUGCUCUCUCUCUCUCUCUCUCUCUCUCCCUCUCUCUCUCUCUCUCUCAUAGAGAUUCAUGUUUUUCUUAAAUUUGAUUCUCUUUAUAGCUUUGCUUAUUGUCCAAAGUGUUAUCUGUCUCUGGGUUUCAAGUACUCGUUUCUGCUGGGCAAGACUUGUUCUUGCUCUAAAGAGUGGGAAUCAGUGUUUUUCUGGUGAAAUUGGUUUUGGGGACAAUAUUGCAUUGGGAUUUUGCUGGUUUUCUGAAACCCGCCUUUUACAUGAAUUAUUUUGUUAGUUUGAGUGUGAAUUAGUGUGGAUCCGUUUUUGUUCAUUUAUCUAUUAUUAUUUUCCAGUUAACAUUGGAAGAUUUUGGAUAUUAUCUGGACUGUUUAGUUUCACUAUUGUCUGUCUGUUGUCUAUGAUGGCUACUUAUCCCUCUACUUUCGGGUGCAGAGUCCAAUGUAUAGAAGGCUAUGGGGACCCGUUAGACAUCUGGAAUCUUUGCAUCCCAAUGCAAAUCCCAGAGGACACUAUGCUGGUUAGGCCACUUUUCAUCUUGCUAGUGAUUUCUGUAUAGGUGUAGUGCGCCCGGGAGGCUUAUGUUAGAUAAUUAUUAGUUAAAGGUUUCCUAUGCAAAAUUAAUGCUACCAAAAGGUUGAUGAUAACCCUUCUUUCUCUGUAUUUAUCUAUUUAAAAUCUUACUUUAGGAGAGUGCUGCCUUCCAUGUUGGGGUCAUCGAUUUAAUCUGGCCAGUGAGCAUAUUAUAGUAGAGUUUCCUACAAGCCUACAAGGAAAUGUUUCAUGUCUUAACUUCGGAUAUUGAAACCCUGAAAUUUUGGGUUCAAACUGUUAUUUAUUAAUGUAUAAUUACCAUAGCUAAGUCUUGGGGUAGGGAUAGAAGAUACUUUUCCAAUUUUCUUACAGUCGAUACCUGCAGAGUCAAAAUUAUGUUAUCGUCUAUUUUUUGGUAGUAUUAAUUCUAUAGAUGCCUUCUAAAGUUAAAUAUGUGUCACAGAUCCUGGUUCCGAUACCAGCGGGUUUAUCUUUGUAAGGAUACAAGGCGGGUUUCAUGAGAUCAGGAAUUCGGUAAGGGUGUCAUGCUUGAAUAGCCUGUUCUCCGUUAUAUUUAAAUGUCAUAUAAGUUUACAACCAGAGAAUCUUAUUGAUUUUUCAGAUAUGUGAUGUAGUUGUGGUUGCUCGGUUUCUUAAUGCAACAUUAGUCAUUCCUGAGAUACAAUCAACCACAAGCAGCAAAGGCAUCAGGUUUCUUUUCGGACAAUCAUUACAAGGCUUUGUUUGUUUAUGACCUAAUAUUGAUGUGUUGAGUACUUAUUUCUUUGUUGAUUUAUUGUGUCUAAUGUUUUCAUGUAGCUCUCAGUUUAAGAGUUUUGCCUAUCUCUACAAUGAGGACCAAUUCAUGGCGGCUUUAUCAAAAGAUGUCAAAGUUGUGAAGACCCUUCCUAAAAAUCUGAAAGGGCUGAGGAGAAAAAAGAACAUUCCAGUUUUUAAAGUGCCUUACUCUGCUUCACCGUAUUACUAUAAGCACCAUGUUCUUCCAAUUUUAAAGAAGCAUUUAGUAGUUGAACUAGUUGUGUCUGAUGGAGGAUGCUUGCAGGUACCAAUGUCUGUUCUCUCUAUUGCAUUGUACUCAUAAAUGCAGAUUCCUGCACUGAGUAUAUCUUGGUUUGAUGAUAUAAUUGUUACUAGCAAUAAUCUCCUUUUCAUUUUGUGACGUUACUACUUUGUUUGGAUUUAAUGCAGGCUAUCCUGCCACCUGAUCUUGAAGAAUAUCAGAGGCUGAGAUGUAGGGUUGCUUUUCAUGCCCUUCGGUUCCGGGAGGAGGUCCAAGAACUUGCCACUAAAAUUUUACACAGGUCAAUUACCAGCCGUCAUUACUCUUCUCUCUUCACCCUCUAUUUAUACAUAUCUAAUGUUUUUCUCAUCUGGAUGGCUUUUAACAUAUAUUUACUAUUGCUUUAGAUUAAGGGCUCCUGGACAGCCAUUUAUAGCAUUUGACCCUGGAAUGACCAGGGAAGCUUUGGCAUAUCAUGGUUGUGCUGAACUCUUCCAGGUAAUUGCUUCAAACCUGGAUUGCAUGAUGAACUCUCUUUUUGGAAUGCUUUCACAGCAUUUGAUUUGCAUAUGUUUGAAACUCUUCCCAAGGAUGUGCACACUGAACUCAUUCAGCACAAAAGACAUUGGAUGAUAAAACGUGGAAUUGUCAAGGGGAAGCUUUCGGUGAAUUCUGCAGAACAACGCCUUAAUGGUUCUUGCCCACUAAUGCCAGAAGAGGUAAGAUACAACAUGCCUACAAUACAAAAGUAGUGUUCAUAAUCAUACCAACCCCCUUAGUUCUUAUAUAUACUACCAAGUCUUUUUAGUGUUAAAUUCACUAGAGAAAAAUACUGCCCACAUCCUUUGAUAAGAAAUGACUUCUCAUGGAGCCUUUUAUUUUUAUUCCUUGGAUUGCUACAGAUUGGUAUUGUUCUUCGUGCAUAUGGGUACUUGUGGGACACAAUAAUAUAUGUCUCUGGGGGAGAAAUUUUUGGUGGCCAAAGGACAUUGAUCCCUCUUCGUGCAAUGUUUGAAAAUGUUGUUGAUAGGACUUCCCUCAGCAUGCCUUGGGAGCUCAGUAGGAUUUAUGGUCGUGAGGCUAACCUUGUUGAUCGCAAUCCUGGGAGUCCACCUAUGAUUGAGGAAGAGAUGAAGAUUGAAGCAUGGAAAACUGCAGGGCCACGUCCUCGCCCGCUUCCACCACCUCCAGCUAGGCCCAAAUCCUAUAACAUUGAAGGUUGGUGGGGUUGGGUAGCUGAGAGUGAUAAUGAGCCUGAUAGUACAGUUAUGGAAUUGAGGACCAACGCCCAUAAACUACUGUGGGAAGCAAUUGAUUACGUGAUAUGUGUUGAAGCUGAUGUAUUCAUCCCUGGAUUCGAUCUUGAUGGUAAGGGGCAUCCAAAUUUUGCAAGCUUAGUCAUGGGACACCGACUCUAUCAGUCAGCUGCAUCAAAGACAUACAGGCCAGACAGGUAUGUUGCUUUAUCCGGACAUAUGUGUGUGCACAUGAUUAAUAAGUCGAAGAUAUUUUACUGUUUGCUGCUUUUCUUUGACAUAAACUAUGAAAAGUAAAUUUUUUCUUGAAUCAGGAUUACGAUGUAGGAUUUAUUGAUUUGAAGCAUUUGAGCUGUUAGUUUAUUCACAGUCAAGGUGUUCUGAUCCAAUACUUCUACUUUCUUGGUUCUUUUUCUUUCAAAGUUUGAUGUGUUUAUGGACACAGAUAUGGCAAGUGGCUAGUAAUCUCAAUGCUACCUAUCUGCGUCUCUUUGCUUGUUUUUUUUUGUUUUUUGUAUUUUUUGCAAAUUAACUGACAAGUCUUGUUUGUAGCCUGGUUUUUUUUUGGUUUUUUUUUUUUUGUAUUCUUGAUAGCAUGGAAAUAGGGACUAAAUGAAGUUGUGAUCAUGGACUGCUAGGUCUAAAAUUACUCUAUGUAUACUUAAAAAUUAUGAGAAAUUGUUAUGUUCAUUUGCUUUCUCGUAGAUUAUGGUUGACUAUGUUUUCUAUAAAAUUAUUUCUUGUGCUUUUAUGAACACAGAAAAGAAGUCACCAAGCUUUUAGAAGAAAUUAGUGACCACCUUUACCAUGCAAAUCAUACUUGGCUGAUGUCAGUGCGCAAGAAUUUGAGGAAGAGAUUAGUUGAUGGACUAAUAGAAGCUUCCGCAAGAUCAAAACCACUGUCUUUUAUCUCUCAUCCUGUCCCAGAAUGCUCUUGCUUGAGGCAUGAUCCUGCGGGAAAAUCAAUUAAUGCUACAACAUCAGCUCAUGCUUCAACUUCUACUAGUCAUUCUCAAGUACUUGCUGCUCUUGGAGUUGUGCACUAUUGCCCUGCUUGGAUGGAGAAUGAUUUGAUACUGCAGUCAAAAGACAAGGAAAAUGAAGAAACUCUAGAUGAAGACGACUCCACGUCAUCAGGAUUGUUUUUCCGGAAAAAUAAUGGAUAUCAUGAAGGUGUUAAUGGAGACUUAAGCAACAAAGAAGAGACUCAGUUGGAUGAUCAAGAAGAGCUUGAGGGUGGAGAAAGGUAGUGAGGCUGAUUAACGACAUGGUCAUCCUACACGGCAGUUCUGUACAUAAAAGAUAUCUUCACUAGUAUGAUCCAAGCAAAUUUGGAAUCAUCUUCAGCUCCAACUUCAUAAGGGGAAAUGCCAGUUUUCUAACUGUGGUUCAAGAACACAAGACUCUGGGCUGAUUUGACUCUCGUUGAAGCAUUUACUCAUUUUUGUUGGGUUGUUUAAGCCCUUUUUACAAUUAUAUAGGUCAUUAUUUAACCCCACAACCAGUUUUGAUGUAAACUCGUAUGUUCUCCAUGAAAUUGUAGCUUUAGCUUAACCUCUCUAAUUUUGUAGGGAGUUUUGUUUGUUAGACUUGUUGAUUGAAUUAAAUUCUUUGCAGUGGUCCUCGUCAGAAAUUAUGCCACCAUUUGGUUGUUGUACUCGUUCAAACAUGAAUCCACCAUUUUGUGUGGGCGCCUUGUGAACAUAGAUAAUUGGAGUUUGAAGUUCAUGUUGAUUAAUCUUUUUUGCCCCUCACGUGUCUGGCAGAAGAAUAUGAAAGAAGACUGCACUAUGUAGUAAAAAUAUACAAAUUCCAUAUCCUUAUGAUUUUCAACAAGCCCAUCACAUAAGCAGAAACUGACUAAAAACACCUCUCUUUUUUAGUGAAACUCCCUCAUAUUCUUCAACAUGCAUGUUUAUAUACAACAGUUAUCAUUUGAGUGACUGCUGCCUAAUGUGACUAUUCUUGACUAAAGUAACAUGAUGACCAUCCUUGACAAAAUCAGGUGCUCAUGUUGUCUUUUGUCUAUGUUUAGAAGCCUUUUGAAGCUCUAAUGGCAAAUCAAACGAAUUGUACAUCCAUCAUAAUGUAGAAACUGGAAAGAACAUAUACAAACUCGCAUUUAACAAACUGUAGAAAAUAUAAACUCAAAAUUCUACUUCAAACUCGAGGAAGGAAUUUCGUCCAUAUUAUCUAAUGCAGAAAACAUCUCAUUCAUGAGAAACUAAAACAUAGAGCAAGGGUAUUGGGUACUUGUGUGCACACACUCCAAGAUCUUGUCAAUAACACAAUGACAUGUGAAAAUUUAUUUUACAUUUCGUUGCGUUAUUGACUGGAGAUAGCAAAAAAUGUUGUUCCCAUUGCGUGAGAGUUUCUCUCCAGGUCAGGUCCCACUCCUCGAUGCGACAACAUGAUAGCUGUGGACUGAUCAUGUUGUAGGGUAGGGUCCAUCAGGAAUCAUGGGAUGCAUCUCUAAGCCCAAGCCCACGUGGUCACAAGAAGAACAAUUAGCCCAAAUUAUGCCCUGGUGGCUGGCGGGUCACAUUAGUUCCAGUGGUGGCCACUACCAGAAUGAAUAAAUCAGUUAAUUAAGGUUUAAUAGUGGAAUUAAUUAAUAUUAAAAAUAAUUAAAUAUUUGUUAAGGUCUUUGGUUUUUAAGUUACUCGUUUAAAGAAUAGAAACAGUGCCACCUAGGGCUCCAAUUCCAUGGUUGUCUUUACUGUAACAACUGUCUGUACAAAAUCCAAAAUCCAAAGCUCCGCCAACAAGACCACACCUUUUUAACUAUUUCCAGACCCGUCGGACCCAAUUCGGGCACUCCCCUUCGACCAGGACCUCCCGCAUUUCACUACCGCCACCGCUCACACUCGCCGCACUCUCUUACAAACUCCUCCUAAGUACUCUCUCUCUCUCUCUCUCUCUCUCUCUCUCUCUCUCUCUCUGUGUAUCGUCAUAUUGGCUUCAUUUUAUUUAUUUAUUUAGGGAUAAAUUUAUUAUAUUUGUGGCAGUUACAGUAUAUAUCGGAGAUGGCGAAAGCUUCCAAGGGCCACCACGAUGAAUUUGAAGACGAUGAUGAAGAGUCUCAUGGAGGUAUCUCUCUCUCUCUCUCUCUCUCUAUGUGAGCUAGUUGUGGCUGCCUUGAGAAAUGAUUUUUUUGUUGUUGCUGUAAAGGAAUGAAGCUAAUAAUGAAUUGAUAGGGAAUUUGGCAGUGAAGGUAGAAGGGCAAGGCAGGGAAAAGAACCGGUCCAAGCAUUCCGAGACUGAGCAGCGUAGGAGGAGCAAGAUUAAUGAGAGGCAAGCUCAAAGCCUAAGCCUUUUUUUUUUUUUCCUCUUUGCAUUAAAUCACUCCUUCAAUUUUUCUUUUUCAAUUCUGCUUUGUACGUGUUUCCAGAGCUCGAAAAUUAUAGUUAGAAUAAGUAGAGGGAAAUUGGUUUUGCGUUGGAUAUGUUAUAGUUGCAGUAAAAGGUCUCUGUGUUUUCAUUUUCUUUUUUCCUUUCAUUUUUCAGACAAAAUGGGGCCUUACCAAUUGCCACAAUGUACCUACAGGAAAAGUUGGCAUUAUAUUUUCGUAGAUGUCGUACUUCAGUUGUGUGUUUUGUUGAAUUUUGUAUUAGGAAGAGAAAAAGAAGAGAGUUCAGGGUGGUAAAGGAGGACUUCUAAGCUGUAGAAAAUUCUCUUACAAGUAUUAAAAACUUUAAAAGUUCAAAAAUUUACAAAAUGUUUGACCUUGUGGGUACACAAUUUCAAGCCUAUUUGGCUAUCCAAAAUUGAAUUUGUCUAUUAGUCAUGCAGGUUAGCAAAUUUGAGGAUCGAAUGUUUAUUUAUUUAUUUAUUUAUAUUCAAUGAAAGCAUUAUGUGUUGACUUUUAAUUGUAGUCUUUGAUCCUUUUCUUUUUUGGUAUUAAGUUAGAUUGUUGGCGAUAUGAAGAUUUUAUCUUUCUGUUACUGUUGUAACUCUGUUUGCUGCUCUUUUAUGCUAUGCGGGUCUUUCUUUUUAAUAGCAUGGGCAUAAACUCUUCACUCACCUGGGCAAUACAUAUUUCUGAGGCAGAUUUCAGAUGUUGAGAGAUCUCAUACCCAAAAAUGAUCAGAAAAGGGAUAAGGCCUCAUUCUUGUUGGAGGUACACAUUCCAUUUGCACUCUGCUUAUGUGUUGAUAAUACUUUACCCUCAUUGUCAUAUUAUUUUGAUAGAACAUGCUCUGUAUCAUAUUCAAAUAUAUUGUAUCUAUAUGCAGGUUAUAGAGUAUAUACAAUUUUUACAGGAGAAGGUAAAUUUGUAUGAGGGAUACCAAGGAUGGAGUCCAGAGCCCACAAAAUUGAUGCCAUGGGUAUACUCUAAUGCUUGAUAUCUGUGUCUGUGUGCGAGAGUGUUGGCUUGGUUAGAUAUGCAUGUGUUAUGGUCUUGGAGUCAUUAUCCUUUAUCACUUUUGUAUGGCAUUGUCAAUUUCAAUAGGUGUUACUUUGACACUUGAAAAAAGUGUAAGUGCUGGGCCUGAGUAUGUGCAUUUUGAAUAUCUGCAUGUGUUAGAGGUACUUCUUAUUGGCAUGCACUAAGAGGCAUGUCCAACUAGAGACAGAAGAACCUUGCCUUUAUACCAAGAAAGUUAGUGUCAGACUUUAUCUUUUGCUAUAUGUUUUUUUGUGUGUAUUUUUCAAAUUAAUAGCUGGAAGGUGCAAUUUAUGCCCUUUAUUUCACCUUAUGGGUGGAAAAAGAAAAUUGGAAACUAUGAAACUCUGUUGUUCCCUUAAAUCAUAGCAUGUAUAUGGUACAUGAACCAACACCAAAUAGACGCCUGCACACAACAGUUGCAACUUGCACCAAAAUCCAGGUAGAGAGGAUUUUUACUGUUACUGAAGAACAAGAUCAUACCUGAGACAACUGCAACCCUAUAUAUUUGUAUGUGGGCGUAUUUAGGAUUUUCGGAGGUUACUUCUGAUAUUAAGAAUUAGUAUGACUCGUAACAGCCCGCCCAGUGGAAACUUACCAACCUACCAUUUAUUUGUUUGCCACAGAAAAAUCAUAAUAGGCCUGGAGAAAAUUUUGUAGAUCAGUCUCAAGUUAUGAACAAUGGUUCUGGUCAUGAGAAUAAUGCAGUUGUCUCUCCAGCAAUGCUCCCCAACACCCAGAACUCAGUGGAAUCUGACUUGGGCUCUGGCGUUGUUUACAAAGCAUUGGAUCACAUACCUGGGUUAGCUACUCGAUCAGUUCCUAAUGUGCAACAACAAAACAUCUUUGACCCAAUUGGGAGUGUUGGACUACCCACACAACCUCUGCAGGAAUCUAUUUCUGAUGCUGAGAACAUGACUUCCAAUCCUCCAUACCAAUUGUGGCAGGGUAUAACAUCUACAACUGCUUCAGACGAUAAACUGAAGAAACAGGAUGAAAAUAGUGGAUCUGGUAGCAUCUCAAGUGCCUACUCUCAAGGGUGAGCUUCCACAAAGAUCUCUUGAUAACUUUAUUGUACCAGAUGCCAAGCUAUUGUUAAACAUGUUUAUUGUGUUGGAAUAAAUUUCCCUGGUUGUAUUCUAUGGCAAUCAUGCUUAUCCUAGGUUGAGAUUUUGAGUUCAAAUUUUGAAAGCGUUACCAGUGGAGACUAGGAAUAGGAAUUUCAUAAUUGCCUGAAAAUAUUGUCAAAAUGUUCAAAUAAGUUUCCAGGAGAAGCCAUAUAUCAAUGAUUAGUACUGAUAAUAUGGACAGUAAGGCAAUAAGUUUCCAGGAGAAGCCAUAUAUCCUUUCAUUCUUCAAAAUUGGCUUUAAGAUGGGUUAGCUUUUAACAUUUAAGCCAUGAUGGCUGUUUCUUUUAUUUAUGUUGUUGUAGGAUAUGUUGGAUCGUGAAAUCUGUAAUGGUAUCACAAACUAUUGUUUUCAAUGCUUACGUAUUCUAUCAAUUUUGUAUUUUGAAGUACUCGAUUUGCAUAAUAUAACAGGACUCUUAUAAUCUACUUCAUUAUGGAGAGAUAUCAUUUUGCUGUUACUGAGUUAGCUUUUGUGCUGAGCAGGGUUUUGAACAAUCUGACACAGGCACUGCAAUCUUCUGGUGUGGAUUUGUCCCAGGCCAGCAUCUCGGUUCAAAUUAAUGUCGGGAGUCGAGUAGACAGUGGACUGACAUCCAUGGCAUCUAGUUCAAAGGUUGGUUUAGAAUCUUCAACCGUUGCGUUAAACCCCAUCCUAAAUGUGACUGCUGCAUCAGCUACUGAUGUGUUUUUUUACUAUUAAAUGUGAAAUCCCGUAGGCAUUUUAGCACAUUGGCGGACAGCAUGUCUCCUAUUUUAGUCUUGCCAUAUGGACUAGUGUACUGGCCUCUGAAUUUUUUUCCCCUUAUUUUUUUAUAUUUGUUCAGGCACAAUUGAACCAAUCCUUGAACAAUCAAAUGACACAGACCCAAGUAAGCAGUUGUGAUGAGGACUUUGAACCGGCUCAUAAGCGGUUCAGAACAGGAGAAAGCUAGAGUAUCUGGGUUCCAGUUUUUCUUAAUUUCCUUGUUUUAUUGAGGGUGAAAGGGGGUUGCUCUUGGGCAGGUCACUUUUUGUUACAAAAUUUCAUGGUCCACAGACAACUAGGUCGAAGUUCAAAUUGUAUAUGGUUUGUGCUCCUUGUGCAUGAAUUUUCCUAGAUAGACGUGUUAGAUAUUCUUUUGUUUGUAGUUUGAAGUUUCAGAUGAAUGAUUCCAUGCAUUGUAACAAGAAGCGGCUCUUAUGUUCUUUUCUGCCUUUUAAUGAAUUUUUUUACAUAUGAAUUUCAUCGCCAUGUUCUCUUUUCUUGCCUCCUCCUUCAAUUAAACCUUAAUUGCUUAUUAAAUGGAUAAUGGAGUUUUGGAAUUAGCAGCAGCUAAUUGUGAUUUAGAAUUUGAGUAAUGUGGCAGGGUAAAAUUGAGAUAGUCUUGUGAUCUGAGAAUAAAAUUUGGUGAAAUUUUCAGCGGCUCUAGCGUUUGCUUGUUGAAAUUCUAUAUGCUUGGGGAAUCUAUUUCCAAUCCCAAUACCCAUAAUUAAAGCUGCAACGUUAUCAAAAUGUGAAUUAAUCGAAGAAUGAAAUAACAUCAAAUGGGACAAAUGGAUGGCUUUUCACCAACUUCCUUCUCCCCAAGUUUAAAUGGACAUUCAUGAGGGACUUUGAGCUUUCAGUCUUUCACCUUUUUGGAAAUGGUUGUGUGCUGCGAAAGCCAAGUUUAAAGUGCAUGAAUGGCAGCACCCAUAUUCAUUGAGUGGAAGUAGAACAACACCAUAAGUGCGUGUCCAUGUAUUGACUAGAUACUCUAGUUUCUCAGUGGACGGUAGCUUCUUGGAUCACACACCAAGUUUUCUUGGAUCACUCAUUAGUAUUAUUGCUAUGCUGCUAUCACCUCUUUCUACUAACUAAUUAACCUACUUCUUUCAUUUUUCUCUUUCUCGCUAUAAACUAAAGGAUUAGGAUCUACCUAAUAAAAAAGUGUCUUGAUUUGUAAAUUAUUGGUUUUAUGUUCGAACCCUCAUGACACACAUGACAUGUUGAUAGUGUGUAUGAGAAAUCCCCCUAUCUUUUGUUGUUUAGACUAUUGCUUGUAAUUAAAAAAAAAAAAAACUAAAGAAUUUUGAGAAGGACAAUAAUCCGGUGACUUUCAACCAUUGAUACAAUGAGACCCACAUUUACAUCAAUGGCCACGGACGAGUGUCCCAAACACUGCUAUGGACUAAAACCACAUGCUAAAAGAACCUUGGGAUGAUGAAUAAGUUAAUACUAUUGUUAUUCUUCUUGAGUAGUAAGUGGGCAAUAAUUUUGGGAUCGUAUCAUUAAGUAUGAUGUGUUCUUUAUUCAACUUUUUGGAAGCAUGGAGCUGGUGGACUAUAAGUUUUAUAAUACGAAUUAUAUUUAAUGGCAAACUAAACAAUGAAGGAGAUACAAGGUUUGGUGCAGAGUCCUAGCUAAUUGAGGACAUGAAAUGAUGGGGAUUAUUUGCCAAACCCCACCAUUUAUAUGUAGGCUGAAACAUCAGCUUUCCAGGUGCAAAGUUGUUGUCAGUUUAAGAGGUCUGGGUUCAAUUUUUAUAAGCAUUUGCGUCAUGAGGCUUGACCUCCACCACUCCAAUAGGGAGUUUAUUAGUUUAGGCAUGCCUAAUUCAUGUGGUGAAAUCUGAUUUAGUACCAAAAAGUAAUUUAAUAUUAUCAGUGGCAUCAUCCAGAUGAUAUGACCACAAUUAGUUUAUCAACACUAGAUUCAUUUACAGAGAGAGAAGCAAGGUGAAUAUCUUGUUGCAAUUACAGAAGUACAUGAGGGAUUUUGAGGUAACCAUCCUAAAAACUCUCGUCAGGAGAAUGCAAGAUAUUCCCUAAUUACAAUGAGCUUAUUUGGUAUUUCACCCCAUAAAAUCUGAUUUAUUAAUGAAAAUUCUAUAAACUCCCAACUGCUUUCUGAAGAGCAUCCAAGCAGAGGCUCCAAGAUCAACCCCAACCCAAUUAUCUGUACAUGACACUAUCCUUUGCUGUAUUAACUUAAGACCACAGCAUAAAGUAGCCCCUAAUUACUGCUUGUAUAAAUUCUCAAUGGCGCAUCGCAUAAGUUAAAAAAGAAAAAAAAAAAACAUGUAUUUAGCAUGCAAGAUCAUGUGCUUCUCAAUGGCUCAUCUAACAGUUGUAAACAUUCAUGCGGAUUUGAGUAGAAAUAAUCUUCUUCCUUUGGUUUAUCUGCAAUAGAAACUCGUUUCUUCGGCCUCCCCAUCCGAUCAGCAUGAGCUUCCUUUACAAUAGAAGAGAACUCAUCCCAGCUCAAUGAUCCACUACUGAAUUGUUCUAUUAAACCAAUCAGAAGUCUUCUGUCCAAUAAAACAGUCUUUUUGAAACCUAAGAAUCUGAAAUAUGAAGAAGCCAAGGAGAAACAUUAUCUCAGAUCAAAAUAAUUCUAAGACCAAGCAAGGGGCAAUUAACAACAAACAUCUUAUCUGGCUAGAACACUAAAUACCAAAAGAAUAUUACCUCCGAUGGCCUUCAACAACUUUAGCCAUAUUUCCAUCGUAUGUAGGAAUAAAUAUAUCACUCUCUAGGGAGACAAGAUAGUCCAAUGCUGCCCUUUGAGAAGAGUGGUUUGGGAAAAGCCUCAAGUCCGAAGGCUCCAGCAGAGUCUCUUUUCUGACCUGUUCCAUAAAGUUCAGGCAAAUUGUAAUGGAAAAGCCCUAUGAUGUAUAAUUGUUGGAACGGUUGCUUCUUCUUCGUUCUACUUACCAAGUUAGGAAAAGCAGAUUUCAAACUUUCCAUCCUUCUGUUUCCACCAUAUAUUUCUCCAGCAGCAAUAUAAAUUUGGACAUUGUGGUCAAUACCAAGUGCAACCAAAACUAGAGCAGUUUCCUCUGGUGUUAGCGGGCACAAACCUUCUAGCCUUUUCAUUUCAGAAUUUAUGUCUUUUAUCUUCCACAAGGGGUUAGCAUAUCUAACAAUGUGUAAGAUCCCAUAAUUAAAAGAGGUUGAUAAGCAAAACAACUAAAGAUGCACAAAAGAACAAAACUAAAAAAGGACCUACCUCAUUCUUGUGAGUUCUUCUUCCUCAUCAUUGUUGCAACCAUGACUACAGCCAGAGAAUGCCAACAUAUCCAUUUCAUAUCUGAGAUGAAGGGCCAGAAAAGGGCCUUUUUCUCUCAAAAUUCUGAGAAGCUUUCUGCCAAUUUCCUCUAUCUGGGAAGUGAAUCUCAGAGCAUGGAAAUUAACUCGGCAGCGCAACUUCUGAACCUCAAGAGGGAGCCCAUUAUUAGCUAACCGAGCAUCGGUUUUAUUCAAAUGUACUACUUUAUACUUCUGCACCAGAGGUAGGAUCUGUUGGCAAACACCUCUAGAAUUAGUGAGAAUGGUCAUAAACCGAAAAAGAAAAAAUGAUGCUCAAAUACUUGUCUUUUGAACCAACCUGAUGAAAGUAGUAGGAAAUGUUGGACCAACUAAUAGGUGGCAACGAGUAUACAGCUCUUUUCCUGACCCUUGGCGGCAGUUCCUUUAAUAUCCGAACCUCAUCUCUCAAGGAUGCAAUGAAAUGAUCAACAUCAAAGAUGUCUUGAAACUCACUGCCACAAUAAGGGGAAAGCUUAGAACCUAGAUGUUCCCCAUUCUCAUUAGGGGCCUUUACAAUGAGAACAUCCUUUCCUUAAAAUUUUAAGGGAAAACUAAUUAACCUACCUUGCCGCCCAAAAAGAGUUUUUAUCCAGCUCUGGAACAAUAAGAGUCACAUUUAAGUAUCUGGCAAUUGCAACCAUAUCACAGAUCUGCAGCAAAGUGAGAAGUGAGAAAAAUAACAUGGUGGUGAAAUAGCAAUAAAACAUCCAUCUAAGAUAAGAAUGUUCAUAAUUGUGAUGAAGGAGCAAGCAACUCACGGCGGCUCGCAUUUGAUUCAGUCCUCCAUUGCAAGAAACCAUGAGAUAACCAUUAUUCUUGUAAACCCCUGAAAUAAAUAAAAGUAGUUCAGAACUAACAAACAACAUUCGAAUUCCGAACUUUUCAUUGAAAGAGAGUAUCUAUAAUGGAAUAAACCAAUUACCAAUGAGCCAAACAAAUUAAAAUCCACAUGAACAAUGGAAAUACAUAAAAGAGGUCAGCAUCUUCAAGAAGAUUAUCAUUCUACAUCAACUGUUUGGAAUGAUAUUAAAGUAUGAUUGUUACUUCGGUUGCCUGAAACAUGAGUUCUCUAAGUAGUAAAUUACACACAAAAGCGAUCAAGGUUUUUAUUAACAAGCUCAAAACUUACUUUUUGGUGGGAGAGCAAUUGGGAUUGGAAGCUUAACCAAUUCAGCAUGCGCAGGCAACUCUAAUUGAGUGCAGGGAGGACAAACCUUGAACAAACUUGGCCCCCUUAACAACCAUACUCCAACCAGCUGAACUGCAGAAGCCCACACCAAAGCUGUAACAAUCGCCCGAAUGAUCAACAACCAUGCGUUCGUCUUCAAUAUCGAACUCUUCAAUUUUUUAACUCUACCCAAGAACUUAAAUCCCAUCUUCCCCUCUGAUCUAUAAUCACACUUCUCAAAGUCCUCUGCUUUGCACAUUGUAAUUUGUAACAGAUCAAAACACCUUCACUAACUACUGACCAUCAGAAAACUGAACUCUUCAAACACCAAACUUAUUGCAAUUCAACACAAUCUUUGAUAGACAAAGGUGAUGGUGAUGCUCCAAUGCUAUCUGUGCACAAGACAAGGUGGUCCUCCAAGAGUUAAUAACAUAGUCGAAACGCCUCGAAAGAAUAAAGGAUUUAAACUUUCUUUAAUUCUGAUGAAGUUGGCACUAAAAUAAUCAAUAGACCAACUCUCAGAUAUUUACUUCGAACCACCCAAAACUUGUCACCUAUGACCCUCCACCAAUACUCAUCAAGACCCAGAAAGCAAAAAUAGAAAAUUUUAACUAAAGCUUCUCCAAAGAUUUCAAAGAAUGCAACUUUACGCUUAAUCUUUCCAAACCCAAUAAUCACUUUGAGUUGCUCUUAAUUUGCCGGUAAGAUUCCGGCCAAUAAUCCGGCGAGAGUCGCCGGAAAACUUGUAGAAUGUGGUUGGAGAAAGCAGAGAAGCACAGAGCGGAUGAGGAAAAUAGCGUAUAGUUUCAAUGAGAAACAGAAACACAAAAAAGUCUGCAAUCAAGGGUCAAGUGACCGCAUUUAUAGCAAGCCGGGCCAAACUAGGAUUUCACACCCUAGAGAAUUAGAACUCUGUUCACCGUCUCCCAUUAUAUUUUGUUUUUAUUUACAUAAUUAAACUUUUAUAAACACUGAUAUCACUAUCGUUUCUGCUUUAAACACCAGAAUACAUACAUACAUGGUAGUAAUGGAUAUAGAUGGACUCAAAUACAACUCACCCCAAGUUUUUUAUAUUUGGUUUUAGAUUAUUGUUUGUUGGGAGGAAGUGGAUUUGCAACCAAAAUCUAAUUACAAAUUUACAAGUCAGCAGACAUGAGAGAUAAUAAAGUGUAGUGGUAUAGAUAGACCACCAUACUUUAUUUAGUAAUUAUUUUCGCAGCAAAGUUGAUGGAUGCACUACACUGCAGUUGUUUUUGCCGUAGAACUAAAGUAAUUGUUUUGUUUUGUUUUUGUCAAAUGUGUUUUGACUCUUAUAAAAAAAAUAAUAAAAGAAAGAAAAAACCGUCAUUCUAGGUAAUCUUCCAUUGUGGUAAAAUGGAGGUACAACUUGAAAGAUUGAUUAUUUUACCUAACUACUAGAACUUUUUCAUUCACAUUGGUCAUUCAAAUGUGUAUAAUGUGUUGAAUAAGAAAACUGAAAUGUAUACCAUAUGAGAUUAUGGAAGCUUAUUCAAUAUACAAUCAUUGUGAGCACGAGUACACAUUUUUAACCAUCCAAAUAUAACUAACCAUGAGGUUGCUAUUUCUUGUAAAAUUUGUGCCAAAAAAGUCAUGCUAGGUUACCAUUUGGAUAGAAGGUACAGCAAAUCUUGAUUUGGGCCUUUUUAUUUGCUCAUGUCGUUGUGGUAAUGUUAUAGGUAGAUAGAAUCUAACAAUUCUUUACAGCUGACUCUGGUGUGAAAUUAAAAAGAAAAAAAGCAGAGUUUGCAUUGCUAUUUUAUUGUUCAGCAUUCCCUCAGUGAUGGGCAACUUGCAACUUUCUUUUAUUGAUUGGCAUGGGCAGAGUCCUACUGAUGUCCUCUCACCACAAGUGGACAUUAUACCAGUACAGCAAUUUACUCUUUUAUAUGAGAUGGAGAGAUCAAUUAUUCUAAAAUGAAUAAAAUACCAACAAAUAAAUUUAAGAAAACAGAGCAUCUGACACUUUUGGCCUUGUCAAAGCAAAGUCAUGCUCUGUUUUUUCUUUUUGUUUGGAGAAAGAUAUGCAGUCUUGGAGUUUGCAAUUGUGACAAAUCUCCCGUGAUUGAUUGUAUCUGUUAUUUGACAGAGCAAUUUGCUUCUUGCAUGAAUAUCACUUGAUUUUGGUCUCUCAAAUAAAAAAAUGCAAUAAAUAACAUUGUGUUCAUUAGAAACAGCGGCAUCUUUUGGCCAAAAGAGAAAUAAUCCUACAACUGUUUUCUUCAUAUUUGCUGUGCUACAACAAACAAAUGAGCGGUGCCCUCAUCUGAGUCUUGGGCAAACAAUAAACUUCACCAUAAAAUCAAGCAUAUAAAGUGUGUUUUUUUUUUUUUCUCCUUUGUGUCCACAUGAUGUAUUAAUAGUCACGGAGUGAAAGCUAUAAUAUUAUAAUUGCUCAUCAUCACAAUGAUUGGGUGAAAUAAUCAGUAGAGCAAUGAUGGGGUUAUUAUUAUAAUAUGAGGGUAGUGGUGGUCUUUUUAGUUCUAUACUUCCAUGAUUCUAUCUUCAUCAAAGAAAGAGAUAAGUAAAUGUGAGCUGAUUUUUCCACUUCUUUUUUCUUCAUUUACACUUUUUUUUACUUUUUAAUACUUUUAAAUUAAUUUUGUUCUUUUUUUUAUCUUUCUUUUUCAUAUUCUAUCCUUAUCCUACAUUAAUUUCUUUUUAUUUUACUUUUAUAUUAUUUCUUUUUCUUUAUACUUAAUUUUCCAACUUGCAUUUCAUUUUCUUUUCUUUAUAUUUUUUAUUUUUCUUUACGUCGUUAAAUGAAUAUGAUAAUAAAUUUUUAUUUAUUUAAGAAAACCCAUAAUGCGUAAUGAAGUUAAUAAAAAGUUGAAUUAAACAUUAGAGAAAAAGAAAAGAAAAGAAGGGCGUAGUAGGGGAGGGGACGAGCUGCACAACGAUUGUAGAAGUGGAAACAACCCAGCAACCCUGUCAAUCUAUAUCCCCAGCCAUUUUCCCCACUGACACCCAAAGGCCCCAACUCUCCAAGCCACACUUACCUCCCCAACUCCAAUCCACCCACCCACGUCUAAUAUAUAUAAUAAAAGCCCUUGUAGCCUUACCACUACACAAUGGUCAUUCCCACUUCUCCACCUUCUGAGUAGCUCCUUUCCUUCUCUACUAUACUACGCCCUUCUUUCCUUUUUCUUUUUAAGUUUUUAUUUUUAUUUUUUCUAAUGAUAUAUGAUUGAAUUUUUAAUGUAUUUUAAAAUUAAUUCCACUUUUUAUUAACUUCAAAAAGCUUUAUAGGUUUUCAAAAUGAAAUAAAAAAAGAUUAUCAUGUUCAUUUAGCGGCAACUUUAAUGGAACAAACCAAAUUGAUUAAUGAUCUUAAACAUAGGGAUUAAAUUGGCCAAAUUAAAAACACAUGGAUUAAAUUAGCCAAAGUGAUAAAACACAUGGACUAUUUUGACAUUAAAGCCAAAGAAAUAAUAUAAAAAUGAAGUAAAAAGAAAUUAAUAUAUGACAAUAAUAAAGUAGGAAAGAGAAAUAACGAAAAAGAAAAAGAGUAAUAAAAAAAUAUUAAAAAGCAAAAGAAUGUAUAAGUGGAAAAAAGAAAAGUGAGAAAAUCGACUCCAAAUAAAACUGUAAAAGGGCAGCUCAGUACAUUAAUUACCACAAUGUUUAUGUCAUUCAUAGAGAAUUUAGCAUAUGCUCAAAAUCCACUGAUGUCAAGUACUAAGAUGGCCUUCAUUAUUUUGGUGCAUUAUUUGUGCACUGAGAGAGUGGAAUUACUAUGUGUGUUUAUGGACAUGAGUUUCUACUCUCCAAUGAUGAGUGAUAGUCAGAUGGUCCAGGCAAAUUGACUUAGGAUCUGGUUGUUGAUCAGUAAAUGAUCUUUGCAGGGCCUCUCAGCUGCCAAAUAAAAUGGGCCUCAUAGUUUCUUUUGCAUUAAUUCUUACAGCUAUCAUCUUCACUAUGAUAAAUGUUUCUUUGGGCGAAUGGAGGUUAGACCAGUUAGUCAAACGAAGGCAGUAUGCCUGUCCUAUUAUAUUUGAAUUCGAACAAUCUUUUUCGCACAUUGGAGUAGUUUAGAAUUAUUGCUCUUGUCAAAAGAUAAAUAUUUAUUUAGAGUAAUUAUAAUUUGUAAUAAGUGAGGGGACAGGACCAAUUUGGUAUGGGCUUUGAUUUUUUUGGGCUUACUCAAAGUUAGGUCAGAAACAUAAAGCCCAAAUUCUAAGGCCUAAUCCAAAUUUUAAAUCUGAAAUUCAAAGUAGUUAAAUUUCAUGAGUCAUGGGAUUGUGGCCCAAUUUCUUUCUUCCCAAAUUAGGGUUUAGCAAGCUACUUUUUUCCUCAUCCUAGGGUUUUAGCACCUCUCUCUCUCUCUCUCUCUCUCUCUCUCUCUCUCUCUGCGCGGAAACAUGAGGAAGCUGAAGUUUCACGAGAAGAAGCUGUUGAAGAAAGUGAACUUCUUGGAUUGGAAGAGAGAAGGAGGUCACAGAGAAGCCCAGGUUCUGCAACGUUACCAUGUCACCGGUCGUGACGAUUAUAAAAAGUAUAUAAUAUUUGUAUAUUUUUUUUAAUUUAAUGUCAUUUUUAUGGUGUCAUUGGUCGCUCAAUCUUAGUUUUGUUUUUCCCGAUUGAAAAUUGGAAAAUAGAUAUUCGGGUUUAUGCCGGAUGGUGCAGAAGCUGGUGAACAUAUUGAAGCAGAUGAACCCAAACGACCCUUUUCGGAUUGAAAUGACCGAUAUGCUAUUGGAAAAGCUGUGAGUUAUUUGUUUAUUUACGUGCUACAGAAAUUGUUCUGUUAGGGAGUAUACUGCAAAUUUUGUUUUUGUUUUUUGAUGCUGAAUAAACUUGAAUUGGUAUGUUCACUUAGAAGUAUUAACCUUUCAAAGCUGCAUAGUAAAAACCCAUAACAAGUUAUCAGCUUUUUGUUAAUUAGCUCUAAAAGUAUUUUUCUGCUGGACAUUAUGUGUUAUGUGUAGGUGAUAGUAGUGUUGAUAUCGAAAAUGAGAAAUUUGAAGCAGUCAAAUGUAUUUCAUUGCUGUUUGAUAUGAAGAGAGAAGUCUUUGGGAUUAUUCUCUUGUGUAAUUUGUUGUGGAACUGAAACCAAAAGUGGUUCUAGUUGCAGAUGGCUUGACUUUUGCAUGAUCCAGAUUCAAUAGAUUUAUCUUUGUUUAGAUGCAUGGUACAAGAAUACUGCAGCGCCAAUGGUAGAUCUAGUAUCAUCUGUGGUUUUUAAAGUGUGAUUCAUAGUUAAAGGGUUUACGUUGAUGACAGGUACAAUAUCGGUGUGAUACCAUCCAGACAAAGCUUGGCAUUGUGUGAUCAUUUAUCCGUGUCAUCCUUUUGCAGGUAAUUUUCAAUUACUCCAUUACAGGACUUGCUUGUCAUACCUUGACGGGAAAAUGUGAGAGUGAAUUCUUAUAAACUAUUGACAAAAAGUUUGCAACAAAUUAAAAGGUGUCCUCUUUGCAAUUGCUAUUGGCACUACCUGGAGGGUAAUACUAAUUUGUUUGAGUAUAGUAUGAAAAUCCUUACAUCUUUCUUGUGAGUCAUGAUGGCUUACCACACACAAGGAGGAACAAGAACUCUCUUCCAAAUUUUUGCAUGCACCGCUCUUGUUACUUUACUGACGAUGUCUAUGUUUAUAGACGUAGGCUUUCAACUGUGGUGGUCCGAUUGAAGUUUGCUGAGCACCUGAAGGAGGCUGUCACAUACAUUGAGCAAGGGCACCUCCGAGUUGGUCCAGAGACUGUUACUGACCCAGCAUUCCUAGUGACAAGGAAUAUGGAAGACUUCGUUACAUGGGUGGAUUCAUCAAAGAUUAGGAGAAAGGUUCUGGAGUACAAUGACAAGUUGGACGAUUAUGAUGCAAUGAACUGAAAUUAAAAGGCUUGUGUGCUAAUUUUAAGGUUCCUUUGUCCCCUUCUGAAGAGAAGCGAAUUCUUAUCUUGCAUUGUAUAUCAUGUAUCGAACACCUCACAGAGUUUGCUGUUGAGCGCCAAAUGUGGCAUUUUUGUGGCUGAAUACUAUCAACGUUUUUUUAUCUUCAUGUUGAAAUGUAUUUUUUUUUUAAAUUUCCGUAUGAAAACUGUUUUUUAUUGUACAUGUAAAAUCCUUGAUGCUUUUUUUAUUACAAUGCGCUCCUAUCAUGAAGAUGCAAAAAGGCAGAAGUAGUUACUCAUAUAUUGUUUCUCGACAUGGAAGAUCCCAGCCACUGCUGGUGCUUGAUCAUAAGAAUUGCAGCCGUAUCAAUGUCAACAGGUAGGCCAAGUAUUACGUAUUAUUAAAAAUAUGUAUUUUAUAUAUUUAUUUGAACUAUAGAAAAAUUUGUGGGUUUCAGAUCAGCAAGCAACUUCUGACAUGGAACUCCCAAUUCAGGCAUGAUAAGAGGACGAAACUCGCAAUUCAGGCAUGAUAAGAGGACGAACAAGAACUAUAAUUGGAAAAUAACACAUUUUUGGGAGAAAAACAUUUCUAUACCAGGGAGUCAUAUGUAUUGAACAAACUCAGAAUAGAGAGUUGCGGAGUUUGAACCCCUUCAUACGUAUGGGGUAUGGGGUUAUGUAAUUCACAAGCAUCACUAUUUUUACAAAAAAAUUAAACCCCGUAGCCAAAUACAGCAAGCAACACAUACAACGCCCCUAGGUCUAACAAAAAAUCCUCAGCCUCUCCCUGCAUUGAUUGCAGCGCGCACAAAGUCCUCGCAGUUCGUAAUGCCGCCAGAAAGCACAUCAGCUAAUACACCAAUUAUAUCGAAUGCCUCCUGCAAAUCACUGGAAGAACUCAUCUCAUCGAGCCACGACAGCAACUCCUUAGAGAAAUCCACCAUCUCCUUUACAUUCAAAAGUCGCUCUUUCAUCACUACCUCCCAACCUUCCAAGCUUCCACUGUCAUCUUCCCCUUCUGAUGCAGUAGAAGUACCUUCUGUUCUGGUCAAUGACAGAUUUGCUGAUUUUUGUACCUUGAAGAAACGUUGCAGCUGUUCAAUUAAGCCAGUGUAGACGAGCAUUGGUCUAAUGACGGACAAAAGCUCAUCAGCACCCCCAAUUUCUGCACUUGGACUUUGGCUUGUAUUUCCCGACUCUAUCUUGACUAUAGGUGAUGAACUGGAUGAUGUGCGACCUGCUGAACGGCCAUGCGUGUGCUGCAUGUAGGCAUGGUAUAUUCCACGCUGCAAGAAGGCUCGGCGGUGUUGCACCCAGGAUUCAUGAGAUUCCGAGAGAAGUGAAUUCACCAUCAUAAAUUGGACAGUUUCUUCAGAUCCCAGAGACGGUUGUUUUUCAGGAGUAGAAGGUCUGGAAUCUAAGCUAGAAGAUGUCAAAUAUGUUGACACAGACUUGGCCAUUGUAUGACGCUGAGAUGGGCUUCCCUGAUCAAGAAGGUGACGCGCCAUUUGGAUCAUGAAAGGAAGAAAUCUGGAGUUGCUUUCCCUUCCACCACCUCUGCUUUCUGCACUAAAUGAUGCCCCAGUCGCAAAUCGAGCUAGCAUCUAUAUAACAAAGGUUCAUAGAUGUUAGGGUCAGAUUUAUGAUGCCCAAUCAAUCCAUAGUAGAAAGACAUGGAUGCGGUCACCUCAAGGAACUCAUUCAUACUCACGGUACUUGAAGCAUCACCACAAGUUAAUCAGUUCAUGUAAGAUAGUAAAUGAAAUUGCUCUUGUGAUAUCAUUAUCCUAUCCUAAAUUUAUAUUAUUCCUAACAUGCAAAAGGUUUAAUCAAGGAAACCAUCAGUAUACAUUAAUCAUUUUGUUAAUGCAAUCUUCUAAACAUAGAGAAAAUGCAAUGCACAAGGGAAGAACAAGACCAUCACAACAAAAAGGCAAAAUAACAAAAGAGAAGAAAAUGAAAGAAAGUGUUAUACCAGAACAAUGUCAUAUGUUAACAGCCGAAGACGACUUGCAUCAGCACGUCCUAGAGCAUUGAGGUUGUCCCAGUACUGGUCAACAUAGCGAAUAUACUGUGCUAAUGGAACAGAUGGACCUCUCACAGGGAACAAAGAAUUGCAAAGAGAUUCAUUGUUUCUGAGAGUUGCUCCUUCCCACUCUUUCUUUGGAUUUUUCAGAGCUGCGUCUGCUCUCUUCGCUUCCUGGUGGCACUGGAAAUGAAUAAUGUUGAAAUAACUAACAGUUGUAUAAACACACUCCCCACGAGCACUACCAGAAGGCCCUGCACCUAAAUUCACUCGUUUGCUAUAAGAGUAAACACCAAGCAAGUCAGUAGGCCUUAAACUGUAACCCUCUCGGCAAACCAUGCAUGCUAACCCAUCCUCCUCCUCCUCCUCCACAUCUUCUAAACCUUCAAGCAGUGGUCGAGCAACAAUAAUACGCUCACCACCAUCUGAAGCUAGCUCCUGUCGCAUUCCAAGCCCCUGAGUUUAUGAAGAAAGAGGUAACUAUCAGCUUACAGAUAAUAUUAAUGCUAACAGGGAGGUCAAAUAAGAAAAGAAAUGCAAACACGACUAAAUACUAUCCUAAUUCUAACAAAAUAAUCUUCAAACUAACCUUCUACCAUCUCUUACAACGUAUUAUAGCUUCCACUCACUGACUAUAAAGAAGAUUACACUCAAGUUUUAAGUUACGAAUAACAGGGCAGGAUACCCCAUUUCCCAACAUUGCAACGAAACUUUUUGAUGUAUAUUUAACUUAAGAAUUACUGUAAGCAACUAAACUAAUCGAUCUACUAAAACCUUUGAUUCAGUGGCACCUGCUUUCCUUUAAUUUAAAGAUAAGCUGGGUAAAAAAACCAAAGUCAAUGGUAAUUACCAGAAGUAAUUCCUCUCUCUUCCUUAAAGCUCUACGUCUCAUUUCAUCCCUGGUGGCAUGUCUCAACAUCAGCACCUUCUCCUCCAAAAAUCCAUCUCCUUUUCCCUCCUUAUUUGAAAGCGUGUCCAACAAGUUUUCAGCCCUCGCUCCUAUCUCAUUUUCCCCUGAGACCCCUUCUAAAGCAUGAAGCAAAGGUAAUAUCCCUCCCUGAUCAAUACACUUCUGAGUGGCCAAAUGUCCUGUUGACAAGCCCCUCAGCAUAGACAAUAUCAGUGGAACAGAUGGCAAUUUUAAGCCUAUUGCCCAUUCUGUAGUUGAUUUAAAACCAGCCUUCCCCGCUACUGAAAAACUAUCCCUCAGAUGUCCAACUGCAACACCAGUAAUACCCCUCUCAAGAAUAAUGUCUUUCAAUCUCUCUCCACAGGAGCUUGUUUUGAGAGACUCAGAGACCCUUACAAAAUUUUCUAGUGUGAAUCUUUGUUUUGCAGCUUGCUGGGCAAUGUUCUCAUCUUUUGGGUUAUCUUCAUGUUCUUUCUGCAGCCGAUCAUAUUCUCUCCAGUCUUGCAAGGGUGGGCUGAAGUGCAGGAUAAGAGCUUCCAUUGCAGCAGGUUCACCAUAUGUUAAGUAGGGCAAGAUUCUCGCAACCAUCUCAGUGUUCCUCUGCUGUUUGUUUGAUUUCUUAAGGCCCAAAGGAUGAGACAAUCUCUCCAGAAACAUGAGGACUAUUUUCUUGGCCUGUUCACCUGUCUCUUCACUAGUGACAGUAAGAGCACUCUGUGUGAUGUUAAUGUUGUCACUUUCAUUAGCUUCCAGUGUCAGACUCUCAACAAUCAGAAGUAUGCCUUCAGCCGGUUCCAUGGCAUCCACAGAAAAGGCAUGUCUUGCAGUUUCAAGAAGUAAACCUAAAGCUCCUAACCUCAGCAAGGCCCGCCUGUUCUCUCUUAUUUUGCAACAAUGCAUGAGGAGAUUUAGAACAGCUACCAAUUGCUCUUGGUUGGACUUGAAAUCAUCCCGCAAACGCUGUACAUUCAUAUUAUAAGUCAGAUAUUUCAACAAUAAGUGGCAAAAGGUUUCCCUUACAAAAACAAAGGAAUGAAAAACAAAAUAAAAGAAAGACGUGUAAAUCCUGGACAUGGAAAUCUAACUAAAGGAGUAUAACUAUACCCACAGAACAACUGAACAUCCAGACGGCCCUUUUCUUUAAAUAAUAAAAAAAUUGAGGAUGUGAGUAAUCUGACAACUGUAAGAUUUAGAAUCCAUAACCCCCAAUCCAAAAAGAAAAAGUAAAGAUUAGUAACGCAAAUGUCAGUGAUGGUUUAUAAAAGCUGUUUCCCAAGAAAUAAAUUUUUCAAUCCACAUGCUUAGGAGUUCAAUGUGUAUCUUACACAGUUAUGUUUUACUGCAACAUAAAUGGAAUACAUUUGACUUGAAAAAAUAAAAAGGAACUCUUCAAAAUCUGGGAAGGACAAUAAAUGCAAGAUGCAACACACCUGGAUCAUGCUCAAUAUAAUUUCCAGCCCAUCAUACUCACGAACAGCACCUGCAAUAGCAAACUCGACCUCUGGAUCUUGUGACUCCUCUCUAUCUUCUUCCAAUUCUUUUAUCAUAGGCUCAGUUGCUUCACCAUCUAAUCCCUGGCAAUUGUAGCCAAAAAGAUACAUCAAAAGACAUCAAGGUAGGAGAAAACAAAGUCAGUAGAAAAAACGUCACACUACAGAUACACCAUAGAUCCGUUAGGAAUGAAGGAUGUAAGGUUGCAUCUGGAAGAACAAAUUUAAAUAAGGGAUUUGAAUGUAAAAACCAAGAUUAAGUUGGCUGAAAUAUUAUGGAGAGUACCUAUCUUUAGAUGUUAGCUAAAGUCAUGGAUUAAUUCAAGACUUUAACUAGAAAAUGAAUUUGUAGGUGAAUUAUAUCAUCUCAAAUUUAUGCUUUAAAUGAUUUGACAGUGCAAGAACUUCUUUAGUUUUGUAUAGAAUUUUAUAUGUCACUGUUAGAAUUUGGUUUCUGCAAUCUGAUUGUAAGUUUAGGACCAAACUCCUAUAUAUCAAAGAUUGACAAAUGAGUGGAGCAAAAAGGUGUUUCCUUCGUCAUUUAGAAGCAUACAGUAAUCAGUGAACACACUUUUAUUUGGUAAGUAAUUAGAUAAGAAAAUAUGUAACAAACCUGAAGCCGAUACGUCACUGUCAUAGGUGGAGAGUCUCUAGCUGAUGGAACAGCAUUAGGGGAUAACAAUGUAGUAUUAGCCAUGGCGUUUGAAGAUUGAUUUGACUUCUUCCAGACUUGCUCAUAGACUUGAGCUAUGCUCAAAUCAAGAGAAAUAAUGUUUCCAGCAACUAGCAAUUCCAUCCCAUAGUCAUCUUCAAGAAGACCUAAUAGAUCCAACUGAUGGCAGAUUUUAUUCUUGACAUCCCGCAUCAGAGGACCAAUCUCAGAACUAGAAUAGGGAUUCUUUGUCAUAGACCCCCUAAUGAACUCUUCUUGCGUAUGUGCCUUGUUUAGAACCAGCAGAUACACCGGCUCUGGCUUUGAAGGGCAGAUGAGAUUGCAGAGCUGCUCCAGUAUAAACUGUACAUAUAAUUGAAAAUGAGUGCUGACACAUAGGUUGGUGAAAACAAAACUGAAUCCCAUGCUUACAAAUAAAAUAAAAGACAAAACAAGAUAAAUGUUAAAACACACAUGCAAAAAUGAGAAUGGGGAAAACUUGUAGAAGAAACUAUGCAGAACCCAAGAAGUAUGUGACUUUUAUCAAUAUAGAAGGAAAAAAAAAAAAACUAAUAUGAACUGGAUAAUUAAGACACUACAUUAGUACUUUCAUGGGUUAUAAAACGAUCUAAAAUCAUCAUUUGGAAAAUAGUACAUAAUGCACAACAAUAAAUUCGUCCAUACCAGGCAAGUUCGGCCCUUUCUCUCCUCUCCAUGGUUUUGCAAACCACAGAUACAGGCUCGAAUGAACUGCCGUUUAUUUUCACUGCUUUCAAGCAAAAGGCUAUCUAAAAGGUCUUUUAGAAGCCGAUUGCAAUCACUAAUUAACUUCGUCUUCUGCACUACCAAGCCACGAAUAACAAUAAGAGCCUCAAGAAUCUCCGACAGCAAAUUGUUUCGCAUGAAUCUGACAUCAAGAUGAAUUAAGUAAGAUAUCAAGAAUGAAAUCAGUUAAGCAAAAAAUUAGAAAAUAGUAAAGAAAUCAAUCGUACCUGGAUCUAAUAUUUGGAACCUCCAAAAAUUUACCAAGCAACUCUAUAAGCUUGUGGAGUAUAAAUCCCUGUGAAAUGUCAAUAUGCAUGCUCCUUUCUAGGGACUCGACAUUGCCCACUUCUUGAGUAAUUAGUUUACAAAUUGUGCCCAGGCAUCCACGCACAGUCAAAAACAGACGGGCAUCUUCUGAAUCUAUCAUCUUGAACAGUGACUCAAAAUAUUCCGCAGCACUUUCACCAGCAGAAAGAGUUGCUGGUAACAAGGACACUAGUAAGUUCAAUAACCGAAAUCGUCUUGAUGUACUUUGGGCACAGAGCAGACUUAUCAACAUGCACAUCUCCGACCUUAUAGAUUGAGAACAAGCACUAAGAACAAGUUCAGUAACCCAUGACCCCAGCUCAAAUGCUGAUAAGUCAUUCUUUGCUGUCUUACUAGUACGCCGCUUCCACCUGAGUGCAUAUUUAAGAGCAAGGAAAUCUUGUCUUUGAGGUCGAGGCCUCUGGCUACCACCUUUAGUUGACUGGGACACUUUGUAUUGCCUUCUAACAAAAUCAAGAUAUGAUGCCCCCUUCUCCCACUCAGCAUAGCUUAAUAAUUGAAUAUCCUGAGUCUUUUGUGAUGCAUCCCAGUUUUUAUCUAAUGAUUCUGGAGUAGGCUUGCCCCCACUGCCAAGUCCACCCAAAGAUCCAGAUAUAGAAUUACUUUCAUCCUUGAUCUGCGAACCAGUAGUAGCUUUUCCCAUGCUAGGCUCUUUAUCUGGUACAUCAGGUUUUGGAGGAGUACAUGCCUGAGAUAUAAUCCUCAGACAAGGAAGAAUAACGUGCUCAGAAAUGGCAGGAUGCUUAGCACCCAAUUUGAUAGAAGAAAAUAACAGCUGGAAAACAACACGCAAUCUCGAUUCCCAAAACUCAUCAGCAAGCGAACAUACUUCUGACAGCAAUGAUAACUCUUCACGGGUGGCCAGAGCAAUGUCCAUGGAGCGAUGAUGUUCAAGGCAGUACAUCACCUUUUUCUGUAUUAAGCUAUUCAACUCGGUCACUGCAUUUAUAUCACCCUCAGAAAAUGCACAAAGAACUGUUCUAGCUUGCACACGAGCCGUUUUAGGACCUUGAUGAAUGUUAUUUUCAAAUAGUUCUGUUAAGAUGCUAGCAGCAACAAGUUGUCUCUUGGAACUUGGAUGCUUUGACAGCACCUGUAAUACCUCUAGACACUGUGUCACAAACGUAGUAGCACAGCCGUAGCAAUUAUUUGGAGACCUGGAAACCACAAAUCUUGAAGCAGCAACUCCACUAUCUGCACGUUUCUGGUGCAAAUAAUUCAUCAAAACCCGGCGUAAUCCUUGCAGUGUCUGAACACUUUUGCUGACAGAAUCAAAAGCUGCUUUGCACUUCUCACCGUAUAGGACACCAAGAAGAGCUAUUUUUCGGUUAAUCUUACAUGCAGGCCCAGGUAAGGAGACCAUCAUUUGCUGAACAGAAUCCUUCUGUUGCGAAUCUAUUUCAUUCUCGCCAACACUUGAAACAAUCUUGAGGAGGGGCUUCUUGAAUCCUAAAAGUUGCUGAUAUCUCCUAUGAGCAUUUUCUGAUUCAGUUUCUAUAGCAGCCAACCCUCUCUUCAUAUCUUCAUCAUUUUCCAUGUCAUCAAAAGUAAAACUUGGCUUCGCCAUGAAAUUGAACUCAAAUCUACCAUAUUUACUAUAGCCACACUCGUUGCAGAGAAAGGAAUCCAGAUUUUCAUAAUUAAUGUUGCGGCAUUGCCUGCAUUGAUAUGCAUUCUCGUGGCAAUUGCCGCAUAUACCAUGCUUAUCAGUGACCGGUCGACUGCAACGUGGGCAUUGCAAUGGUUCAAGAGACAAAGCCUGAAGAUUUUCAUAAAAGGAAUCCAGCUCAAUCAUGAAGUUACAAGCUGUUAUUGGAAUGGGAAACUCCACUUUAAGUUCAGUCUGAUUGAAAGCAAGAUGACAACUCUUGGCCCGUUUCCACAGAGACCAAUUAUUCUUCAAUUCUGACAAGUCAGCCACAGGUCGAUUAUUGUAAUACAGGUUCAAAACUUUCACUGAUUUAGACUUCCGUGCAUCAUGAACAUUCAUGGUCACAGUCUGGAUGGUGUAACUCCCAGUACAUUUCACUAUGAUGCGGUUGUCAGUGAAUUUUGUUUCAGAUUUCAGACUUUCUAGCUUCAUCCUGCUGUAUGGUACCUCAGGAGAGCUGCAGGCAACACAAGGCUCACUCUCAAGAUAGUACCCAUCAAAUUCAACUAAUCCACUUAAAGUGUUGUAUAUGCGGGAAUUUGGAUGAUUUGCUAAAAGCUCAUUUUGUGAAUGAAGUGUUUCAAAGAGGCAUCUGAUUACAUCUGGGGUUAAGCAUCGAUCCACAAGUUCACUGCUCUGUUGCUUUGAGCUGAUAUCUGGAACUUUACCCAGCAACCAUGUGACAAGUUCAGUAUACUCAACAAUAUUUUGACCAUACAUUGGUAGACAUUUUACUUUCUGCAAGAGAGCCAUCAUCAUAGUUUCCUUGAAUGAUUGCUUAGCAUGAUGCCAAACACCAAAAAGAACACACUUGGCCUCUGCACGCACAGAGCUAGAAUUCCAUUCCAGCAAAAAGCAAUCAAUGAAUUGCUUCAAGACAUCUCCACCCUUGUCACUGAAGAUAUCUAUCACCGACUCCAUAUCCAAAUAGGACUUGUCCGAACCAGAUUCUGUUCCUUCUUCACCUUUCUUCUUCUUUUUGGGAUCCUGAGAUUGUGACCCUGAUUUGUUUGAAUUAAUACCUGAAUCCACAGCUUCAUUUUUCUGUAAUGAAUUACCAAUAUCCUUUCCUGCGUAGAAGGAAAGAUUCAACAGCUUCAAAAUCUGAAUAACUGACUCUUCUCCAAGAUAGAACACUCCGUUUAUCAAGAAUGGCAAAAAAUCUGAAUGCCUCAAACAGUACUUCUGCCAGUUCCGAGGUCGUGCCGCAGCUACUUCAGCCAUAGUAGAGAGACAUUUAACUAUCUUAACACUUCUCUCAUAUGACAAAGGAUUUUGAAACCCACCGGAUUUGUUCACAUGUUUGAAAAGUUUUUUCAUCUCACUUGAAAACUGCCAAGAGUCUCGCACACUAUAAUAAUGAGUUUUGCUUCCAGAGAGAUGGAGGAAAAGCCGCCUUGCAUAUCUUCUCACAAAAGUCGUGUGAGGAUUGUUAAUGUAACUGCACAGGACAUCCUGAUAUCCAUCUAGCUUCAGAUCCUUGCCAGAGGAGAUCUUUGACACCUUCUCUUUCUCUCCAGUCUUGUCUUGCUUUUCAGGUCUGACCAAAGUGUAUACCAGCCGAAAGGUAUUCUCCAACAACAACCUAUGGUAGUCCAUAAAAAUAUCUGUACGGUGGGCUUUUGCAUAUGAGUCUGAAAAGAAAGGAGAAAAAUUACCAGCCACAACAUCCCUUCGAACUGUUAACAGAGCUCCACAGCCAGAACCAGGUCCUGCAUUUUCAUAAUUAACAGAAGGGGACUUAAAAACAUGCAUUAGCUGCUGCAAUAUGUCCAUUAAGUAAUUGACAACAGACUGCUGCCUAAGGGAAUUGCAAGCUCGAAGCAGCUGGGAUGCAAAGUCAUUUUUCUCUUGAUCAUCCAAGGAAGAUGAAGCAGCAACUGAGGUGGAUGGCGAGAUCUGGAUGAUGGUUUUAUCAUGUGUUUCUGCUGUCCCACUAGGUUUUGGCAUGGAACUGUCACUGCCCGGCUGGUGCCAGUUUCGUAGCAUCAGGGUAAAGAACAUGAAUAUAAGUAUUGCAACUUCCCCAAAUGAACCGCGAGCUUUCGCAACCAAGGGUUGGUUAAGAUUAAGCUCAUCCAGAAACCACCGAAUUAAUUUCUCUAAAUCUAAGCUUUCAGGCUUUGAGAUGUCUAUAAACGGUCCACCAACAGCAGAAGAUAAUCUGUAGAAGAGCUGCAUAAUAGGAAUCGCCCGGACCCCUGAUGUUGACUGCAUCCAUCCCUUUAAUUGUUCAAGAAGCUCCGAGAGAAUCAAGGAAUUCAAAGCUCGUUUCGAAGCAGAAAUUGAAACCGGGUCAUUCACUGAAGCAGAAAACUCCCCAGACUCAUUGGGCUCAAGGACAUGAAUUGAUGGAGCAGAAUUCUGGGUCCUCGAAUCUGCAGUUACUGGCAAUAUGCUUGAAUCACUUACAUCAUCUGGUGUGAAGUGGAACUCAUUGCCAUCUCCCCCUAGUGAUUCCACUUCAAUGGGUAUUGCUGUCAUAGGAUGAUCUCUAGAGUGAGGUGGAGGGAGACGGUCUGCAUCCAAAACUUCAUAGCAUGCCUCACACAGAUCAAAAUCAGGACAAACAGUACAAUGCCAUCGCCGUCUAAGUAUAGGAACAGUGGUGCAACCAUCACAACAGUAUUGAACAGAUGAAGUGAUGGAAUCUUCUUCAAUCAUUACUUGGGCAUUUCUGCCAGUAGUGUCAGCAUGCACAGGGGCAGAUACUGCAUUUUCUGCAGCAUCAUCUGUGGCCAACAUAGUUUGCUUGGGAAAUGGAACCUGAAGCAACCUUGAUGAUAUAGCCAAGCUGGAAAGAAAAUGGUAGUACACGUGACUAACUGAAAAAAACUAAAAAACAAGUUGAACUCACCAUGAUGUAAUAAUAACAAUUACCUGGUUGAGGUCUGAACAGCCUCAUUGGGCGAAAAGAGAAGCUUUUUAAAUAAUACAACAGCAGGUCCAACAGAGUGUACCCCUGUAUCCUUUCCAUGCAAAGCCAGGCAUUCAGCAUAACAAUAAAUGAGUUCUACAGAAGAUAUGACAAUGUUGUUCAUUGUUUGUGUGUCAAGCUGCUCUAAGUCCAAAAUUCCCCACAGAACUUGAAUAAGCCCAUCCACAACUUCAGAACCUGCAUCAGGGAUGGGAAGAAAGAUCCUUUAAUUUAAAAUGAAGGACGCAGGAUGAGUGGAGCAAGCAACCCAAGAUAACAAAAUGGUUAAAGAAAAAUAAAAAAGGCAGUAAAUGAUCUGAAGAAAAGAAAAAACCAUUAUGUAUGUAUAAACUUGCAACACCACUUAAAGAAUUGUAUCUCUUCUUCCAGUAAGCACUUAAGGACACUUAAAGAAGAGUAAAGAAUUGUAUCUCUUCUUCCAGUAAGCACUUAAGGACACUUAAAGAAUUGUAUCUCUUCUUCCAGUAAGCACUUAAGGAGGUCAAGCUGUACAAGUUAACAAAAUGGCAGCAAUAUGGAUAAAAUCAUAAUACUUUAUAAAAGAUCAUCUCCUUUUUCCCCUUUUAAAUAACUACUUCAAAGACAACAACAAUCAACCCAUGUCUGUACAAAAAUUAACAAAGCUCAAGCCAUAGUAACAUUCCAACAAAACCCAGUCAGGCGUAGGAAAAAAUCAAAAUAUUAUUAACAUGGAAAAGAACUGCUGUUUUAGAAUGUCAGAAAAGUACCUCAUAAUACAGUGUAAAACCGAUAUAGGUAGGCAUUACAAUAGCACAUCAAAUAAGGUGAUUCAACUCUUUAUAUGAUGCAUGCAAAAGAAGAAACUACAAAUGAAAUAAUGCAAACUGUACUUGAUCAAAUCUUAUGGGAAGUAAUGUAUCAUAAAAUUUCAUACAAAUAACUAAAAGGAAAAACAAUAAUCUGUAUAUAAAUUGGAUAUUCAUACAUUAUAACUAGGCUGCAAGAAGAACAAAAAAUAAACUGUACCACCAAUGCCAUGAUAUGGCAUGAAUAAGCUACAGCUACUUAUCACCAAUCUCAAAGAAAUCAGUGAACAGGUAAGACACAUUUUAAGUUGAUAAGUUAAUAUACAGCAAGGAAAAGAACCUCAGCAUUAUCAAAGCUCGCUAAGUUGAGGAAUUUAGGCAGCGAGAUUCACUCAGUUUCUAUUCCCGUAAUAGGUUGAGGUACCAUCUACGACACAUACUUUUAUGAUGUGGUUACUACUUAAGGAACAUAUACUACAUCCACCACAAGAGAAUGUGAAGUCUUAAACAUGUAAACAACUUGGGGCAUCAGAGAAUGUGUGAAAUACCAUUUUUCUCUAAGAAUGUAGCCAGAUUUGAGCGACGGUGCAAUGCAAUCUUAGAUACUGCCCGCAUCUGGGCUGUAAACUCUUCAACUAUCCAUGCCCCUGCAGUACCACCAACCCCAAGCCUUGAAGAGAGUACAGAGGUCGACUUCACCACCCCAAGAAGCCGCAUGGUGUCCUUAACCUGAAGGAGAAGAUGUCAAUUACUGAUUAAACAACACAUUUCUUCAUUUACUAAUGCACAAAUAAGGACGAUCAUGCAUUGCAAGAAAAAAUGUUAAUGUAUCAUAUGGAUCAAAAGUGGGUAAUUACAUGAUAGUAGGUAUCUUUUUUGGGGAACACAGCCUGCAAGACAUGGCAAGCAGCAGCCUGCAACAAGGGCUCUCGGUCACUCUCAAAUAUUUUUUCUAAUAACUGCUUGCACCUCAGUUUCAUUAGCUCCGGAUUAACUUCCUCAGCUUUGGAGCAACCCUGAGACCUGCUCAAUGAAUAAAUGCUGGAUAGAAGCUUAAGACCAUCUGCUAUGACCUGCUCCUGUAUAGGAGCAGACUGCAUUGAUCGGCGUUUUUUCCCAGAUCCUGAAAGCAAGGAAUUACAACCAAGCACACGAGCUUCCAUAUCAAGUACAGCAUCCAUCUUUUCUUUCCAACCAAAUUCAUCUUUGGCUCUACCAUAUACUUCAAGGCAGUCAAUUCUAGGCAGAGCAGAUCCAUUGAAGGUUGGUCCAACAGAGAUUGUAAAUUCUUCAUCAGCAAGGAGCGACUCAGCAACUGUAAAUGGUAUAUCAUACCAAGACCGCAUGCCUUCAUCUAAUUUAAUGACCCGGUGGAAAAUAGUAAUGUCUGAAGGUAUAUGGUUUGCCGAUGUAUUACCAACAUGCACGCGAAACCCAACCAUGAUGAUAUCAGGGUUUGAAUUGAAGACAGAUAUCUGAGGCAGAAAAAGAAACAAUGUUAGAACCAUUGUAUUUUAAGUUAAACAUGAAAGCAAGUUCAUUAGAAUAGAUACAACCGAAAACAGAGUGGAUUUGGAACAAGCGGAAGAAAGGAGAUGAAACCAGAAACAAGAAAGGAGAUGAAUACCAGAAACUAGACUAAGCAUGCCAUGUAAGAAAGGAGAAAGGAGAUGAACACCAGAAAAUAGACUAAAUGCCAUGUACGCCAGGUCACUAGACCCUUUUGCAACAAUUACCUUAAAUCCCGCAGGGCUUGGACUUUCUAGAAAACCAUCCUCAGAUGCCAAGCUUUGCUUAGCCCCUUCAGAAUCACCAUUUCUGAUGGCAUCACCACCCAGUUUCACAUCUGCUGUUAUGCACACUGUUUUCUCAAAAAAAUCAAGUGGAAAUUCAGGGUUAACACCAGCAUAAGCCUUAUUACUGAGAAUGCCGGAACCCAAUUUUUUGACUUUCUCUGCUGUUACACUAGCACCAGCAUCAACUCCCAUUGGAACAUGUGAGUAUAUCUGAAGGCUACCAUCAUCGUGCAAAACAAGACAGUGAAUCUUAUCUUUGGAUAAAGGCUUAUAAGCAGUUGCUCCAACAAGAGGUGAAGUCGAACCCACUGCAUGUCUCAAGUUCUGUGCGAAUAACUCCUGUGAUCCCAUCGAUACAGCAAUGGCAGAAUUUAAUUUUAUACUUGAGAAGCAAACGAAUAACCCACUGCCUGCCAGCAAUUCCUUCCAACGAUGAAGUCCAGCAGACCGCAGUUUACCAUCUUGUUCCUCCUCGUAUAUAGUAGAUACCUCACUCAGAGAUGUGGCAUUGGGGCUUAGCCGACCAACCAAAGCAGUGCCAUCUUGAUAGGAUAGGAAAAGUAAUUUGUACACUGAUGAAAAGUACAAAGAUGAACCCUUCGCGUUUAUCUCUUUAUCCUGUAUCUGGAUUACUUCCUUCAAAGGUGUAGCCCCAACAUUACCGUCCACUGACAACUCUAGCCUGAAUAGCCUUCCAUUUUCUGAAAGAACAAUAAGAAACAUCCUCCCUAGAGUUGCCAAAAGAAGUGUUGCAUCCACAAUCAUAUCAUCUGGCAGUGUGAAGUAGUGUAUGGGACUGAUGUUGUCCUGAGAUAGAUCAUAUAUUUUGACAAACCUGUUGGUAACCACCAUUAAUUGAACCUGAGAACCUGGAACCCAAUCAACCCGUCUGAUAUAUGCACCUUGCAGUGCCAGUUCAAUGGCAAGACGAUCAGUCACUUCACCACGGGGAUUCAAGGUAAGGACCUGGCAAUCUUCAUAGCCUGCUACUGCAAGAUAAUUCUCCACCACUGGAUUGAAAGUAAGCUGCACAAUUUCAAAUCGAACAACAUUCUUGGAGAGGGGCUUAACAUUGGUUUUGUCUGCUGUCACUGGUGCAAUGGUGGCCUGUCCAAUCAACUGCCCAACAUCAAAUAUAGCAACUUUAUCACCUUCACCAACAGCAAGUCGCCCUCGAAUACUGACACUGAGCAAGGAUUUGACAAGAGAACCACUAGCUAAAUGUGAUUUAAGUUCCUUAGCAUUGGAAUAGUCUGCCUUUAUUUUCAGGUCUAAGGAGCCGCUUUUAUAUGCCUUCUUCAAUUGCAAGAGGUCAACACCAAAAGAAAGCACCUUGUCUUUACCAAGAAUGAUCUUAUUAUCUUUUGACAAGUUGGACUCUCUUCUACUAGUUAUAUAGGGGAACAAUGAGGAGCAAAGCUCGAGCACCUGACCUUCAACAUCAAGUUCUUCAAGCAACGGUGUGAUCCCAUCCUGAAGCUCUCUUGGGAUGGAUAGUCUGAGAGAGUUAUCUACAUCGGUACUAGUAUCCUCGUCAAGAUCUGAAUCACUUUCUGGCAGCUGCUCUCCAUCCUCCGUGAAAGGUAAAAAGGACUGGAAAUUACUAGUACUACGGAUGGGGGCGCUACUACUUCCUGUGUACUUGCGUGGCUUUAGGCAUUGACAAUUGCUGCCUCUAACACCCCCAGCUCCACAAUCACAAAAGAAACGACUAGAGCGAGAAUAAACAACACGAUGACCACGGUGACAAACUUUUGCACACACAGAGCAACAGCCUUUUGAGACAGUCAGAUCACAUGUAUAACAGAAGUACCAGUGUUGUUCCAUGAAAUUGCUACCGCUAGAAGUAAAUGUGCAAACUUUAGAAGCAAGGGCCCUUUCACUGUUAGUAUCGUCUUCGUCAUCCUUAUCCAGGCUAGCCACCUCACCAUCAGAAGUUCCAUCAUCCUCAUCCUCGUCUACAGAAGUUGCAUCACAAUCAAGAGCGAUGGACCCACCUUCUUCAUUAGUAGAAAGGACCAAUGUCUCGGAGUUCUUCCUUGAACCUAUGGGCCUUGAAGCCAUAGGUCCCAUACCAAAAGCAUUUCCAGGCAGAGAUUUUCCUGACAACUUUUCUGGGGUAUUCUUACCAGACCCACAAUCACUUAAGACACUACAGAAAAAGUCAAAAAGAAACUUCAGGCCUGGUAGCAGGCAAUCAUUGCCGGUCAGCUUCGGCAUCAGCAUUAUGGUCCUCUUUAAAAGUAAUUUCACUGAAGCAUCACCCUUUGAUAGCUGAACAACAAAAUGGAAAAAUGAUUUGGCAACAUGAAUAUCAAAUUUCAAAAAUGCAGGAUCAAGGGAGACCAGCACAGCUUCAAAAAUAUGACUCUGCAGUUCUGUUGAUUUCAAAUCAGAAGGUGGCGAUACAAUGCAUAAAAUAAAGUUCAUGGUCGACUCCCUCAGAGAGAGAGAACUUCCUUUUGCACUGUUAACUCCACCUGAAGCUUCCACAACACAACCUAAGAGCCUCUUCUCCAACCACUUGGAAAGCAAAAGUAAGUCCAUGCUGAGAAAUUUGUUUUGGAUCUUGUGUUUAAGAUCAGGACACAGCUCUCCAGUUAACAGAUCAACAAAAAAGCUAAGAACCUUUAUGUUAACUGUCUCAGAGUAACAAUUAUGUAGAGCGUCAAUUAGAACCAGUAAAUCACCACGCUGCACGCCGAAAAGCGCCUUCACCUGCUCUGGGACAUCUUCUACUCCAAGAUAGAACUUAAAAAUAUCAACCUUUGUAGGGUCUUUUCUAAGGCUAUCCAUCAUAUCAAUAGCCUUGGUGAUUAUGCACUCAUAAAUGCUGUUGUCGCUUACUCCUCUGGCAUUAAUGUCCCUUAGAAAACCCUCCAAGUGCUCUAAUAGAAUUAAAUUGGCAUAGUCUGACCCACCCAAGCCUGCACUCAAGCUUUCAUAAAUGGUUUCACAUUUCCCGUGAAUGCUUUCAAAGAUCCUAUCAAACUUGAUUGUCACAACAGUAUCAAGAAUUUGACGAAGUACCUCAAUCUCCACGCUGACAUUUCCUAUCACAUCUUUUAUUUUAAGCAAACCAACAAGAAUGGAAAUUAUCCCUCUUAUGUUAAAAAUGCAAGAAAGAAGAAUUCCACUAUGAGUCUGAAGAUUAAAUGGGAAACCAUGUAACAUACAUUCCCAGGAGACCCUGCACAAAAUUCCUGAAGCUCUUUUAUCAAUAAUAGCAUCAAACUUUACCAACAGGUCAAGAACAGACUCCAGACGAAAAGAAUAAGUGCCAGUCUUUCCAAGCUCAUCCUGAAGGCAUCUGUCAAAUCCUGAAUGUUUAAAGAGCAAGAGUGGUGAAAACCCAUCAGCAUCCUUCUGGCUAUUACCAAACGUAGCAACAAAAGCGUUCUGAUAAGCCUGUAAAUAUCUUUUCAACAAAGAUGAAAAUAUCUUAAACAACAUUGAAACAUGACCAGCAUCCAUCAAAGAAGAAAUCAUCCCUUCGGCAACAGCAAUAUACUCAUUGUCCUUAGACAUGUUCUCUAUCCAGUUUGAAACCACUCCUGUGACUCUAUUCUUCGCACCAUACCUCCAGAUGCCAACAUCAAGCAAGGAAAGUGCCAAAGACAACCACAUUGCAUUUCUCAAAAAACCCCAGCCUAAUUCCUCAAUGUAUUCAGGUACAAGUUCAGCGUCUAAGUGCUGAAGCAAAUGAACUAUAACUUCAGAAAAAUUGUUUUUCACACCAACACCAUGAUGACCUAGAAUUGAAUGGCUGAAGUAAAAGAAAUUUGCUAUUUCAGAAGUGUCAAGAGUCUGUGGAUCACUCCCUAAAGGAAGCUGAUGGUCUGUUGCAGUGCCAAUAGUUGGAAAGUCCCAACAAAGUACGAAAAUGUAUCUUUCAAUAAUGAGAUCCUCCACCACUGCAGCCUGUUUACCUUUCCAGAACCCCAGAAUUGAUGACAUGGUUGAACAGAUGUCAUCCCAACUCAAGCAUAAUCUGUCAAUAUUAAGACUGUCUGUGGACAGCGAAGCAGGGAGGGCAGAUAUAUCAAUCAGUUGAUGAAUUAAGGGACUGAUGUCAGGCUCUUCUUCACACCAUGUAGUCAUUACAUUUUUAAAUACAAUUGAGACCCAAGAUGACAAAUGAUCGUUCACCCCAGGCUGUGAACUGGAGUACGGAGCUUCCCUCAACUUGGAUCGUAGAUGUACAAGCAAAGAUGAAGGACAAGUCUGUGGGUAAAAUAUCAUAUGGCGAAGCACUAAAAUCAACCUUGAAACCAGUAAAGCCCAGCAAGACAAAUGUGUACUGUUGAAACCCGAAGCUGGAGCACCAAUUGUUCUGAGAGCAGAAAAUAUUAACUUUGCAUGUGAUGCCCUUUCCUCUUCAGACGAUAAGUGAAAUGCCACAAGAAGAAUCUCAAUAUGAAAAGGAGAUGGAAGGGCCUCAAGAAGCUCCUUAAAGCUAGGGCAUUUUAAAGAAAUAGCUUUUGUCUUCUCAGAAACAAAAUCCACAAACCCCCUGAAAAUUUGGUUUCUCAACCGGCUGCCAGCCAAACCCACCCUACAGAAAAGGGUGUGAGCUAGCAAGGUAAGGGUCUGAUUAUUGUAAACAAAAGUAUCAUUCUCAACAUUCAAAACUUUCUCAACAAAGUACUCUUCCAGUGAAUCAGAUAAAGCAUGGCGUGUGACAAGGUCCUGAAACAAAUCAAAACAAAGUUCAUGGGCAUGCCCAAUCUUUCUCUCUUCAUGUGAUAGAGAAUAGCCCUCAGCACUCCUCUCCUCAGCGCAUCCCUGACUGUGGAGUAAGGAUAAAAAAAUAUCAAUAUGGCUUUUGCUAAGCUUUGAGCAGCCAUCCGCAAAAACGGAUGGAUGCCAUUCAGGAGAGAAGAUGCACACUUUAAAAAAGCUCAACAGUUCUGUAGCAGCUUCCAUUGGCAUAUUACUCUGGCUAGAGCUAGAGUUAGCAACAACUGGUGGCUGAUCAUAUCCGUCAGUAGAUCCACGGCCACUUUCAGAGAAAAGGUCUCCAAAAAGGGCUUCUUCUUCAUGGCAAACCACAUUUUCCAAUUCAGAGCUGCAAGUAGUUUUUGCACAACUAGAAUAUGACCUCUCCACCUUUGGCCUCAGUUUCACUCCCUCCGAAUGAAGGAACAAGAUAAGAUGCAUUAGAUCAUCCAUCCAUUGUUUUGAGGAAGGGAAUAUCAUCUGUACUAGAUGUUCAAAUGUGAACCUGUGAAGUAAAGGAACUUUCUCAGAAUGAACAAUGCAUGAAGGGGAACCAAGAAAAUUGACACUACUGCCAACAAGUUCUGUGUCUAACUCCUUCCAAUUGACAGCCCGACUAGUCUGUCUCUUAAGGUCGUGAAUGAGCAUCAAUAUGUAAACAACAAUUCGUGGAGAAUAAGCUAGUGGGGGCUUCAGGUUAGCAGCAGACUUGUUAUAUCUCCAUACAGAAGAGUCUAAAUUAUCUAGUAUGGAAGCUACCACACACACUUGGACAUUCAAGAAAACACUGCUGUUGCAGAAAGUAACCCGGACGAGUUCAAGGAAGUCUUCCAGUAGCAACAGAGUGAGGCUCUCAAAACUACCAUCGGCUGCAACAUUGCUAUUUACAAACUCAAAUCCAGAUCUAAACAACACAGGCACUGCAUCAGCAAAAGUACCAACUGCUUGCACCAAUGAGGCAUCAUAUUCAAUAUAUGGGAUGUCCUUCGUGAGACUUCCAAGUAGCUUUAUAAUCCUCAAACUGAAAGACAGCCUCUUAUAGAAGUUUGUCCCAGCCAUCUUCUCAUCAAACAUAUCUGGGAGCACAAUGAGUUCCUUACAGAGCAAGAUCAAACGUUGAAUACACCCCACGUGAGCAACUGCCCAAUGUUGAGAUAGAAAAACCAAUUUGUUCAAAUCCUGGUGGACAGUAGGCCCACCAAACCCACUGGUCUGCCUAUCAGAUUGUAUGCACUCAGAAGCUAAAGACAUAAACAGACGAUCCACCGGUUUCUCUGACCUUGAGCAAUUGACACCUUCUCAUACACAUAAAAAGUAUAUAACAUCAGUACCAGUAAGACAUGAGGCAACAACACUAGAAGAAAUCAAGUCUUACAACCAAAACAAUCACCUUGAGGGCCACAUUUAAUGUGGUUAUCAAACUCAUUACCACAAGAACUACUGGUAACAGAUGGUAACAAUUCCACCAGACUAUCAACAGAGCAAGGUUGCAGUGUGUCAGGUGCUUUAUCCAUUUCAUCAACCAACGCUAUCUCCAAAAGCUGCACCAUCAUACUCUGCAAAACAACAAGAAUUGGACUAUCAAAACAAGAUAGAGCCACUACUCACCUCCCCAAACAUGUGUAAACAGGUAGCAAUGCAGAACACUAAAUACAUAAAAAUUAAAAUAAAAAAAUAAAAAAAAAUUUUAUUUUUUUUAAUUUUAAAGGGAUUUUUGGAAUAAUCAGAAACCAACCCAACAAAAGAGGACCUCAUCCAUAAAUCCAAAAAAAUAUGGGUACAGGGGGCAGAGAGAAAAUAAAAAUGAUCUCCCUCUCUCCCUCCUUCACACAAGACACAAGACAACAGAGCAAAUUGAUGUUUGCAAUUAAUGCGGCUAAGCAGAAGUAAAAUUCAAACUAAACUAGUCAUACCAUAUCGAAAGAAGAACUACUAACCUGAAUGCUCAUAUCUUCGCUGUUAAAUUCUGAUCUCUCCAAAUAACAUACAGCAAAUUCCAACGACAGUUGCACAAUGGCAACGAUUAUUGCUUCCGCUUGCCCCACUACAAAGAAAUUAAGUACAUUUAUUACCACUAGCAAAAAGUACAACCACUUACAUGUAAAAGCAAAAAAAGCUAGAAGCUACAGGCAUACAGAGAAAACUAGCAACAACCCACAAUCAAGUACUUGGAAUUUGAUAUACUCUACUUCUAUAUUCAAAAGAUAGCAAGAGAAACUCAAGCGGAAAGAGUAGGCCACUAAUUUCACGUAGAAGAAAAUGAAAUGAAGCCAAGUACCCAAUAGAGAUCGAGAGGAGGAAGCGAUGGCAUAGGCAAUCGAAUAAACUGCUUGAAUUUGAGAAUCGGCCCAUGAUUGGAACCCUAGCUUCCCGUCUCCGGCGGCCUCAACGCCGCGUUUAAGAAUCAGAAAAAGGUUCUCGAGGCCAGGUCUGAUGGAGUCGGAGGAGGAGCGCAGCCUCUGCAAGAGAUCAGCAGAGGAGAUGGGUUUGUUUUCCGAGUAGAGAGACUCGACGAGUUUGGGGAAGGCCUCGGCCAUGAGGAACGAGACGAUCGGGUGAAAGACAAGUGAGAAUUAGUGCAUCGGAGAAAAGGCAAGAAAGAGAGAAGAAGAAGAAGAAGAAGAAGAGUGUUUGGGUCGGUAGUGAGGUUGAAAAAUGAAAUGGGUCUAUGGAAUAAAAAUGUAAAUGUUUUAAGGCGGUCGAGAGGAAUUUAGUAAAAAGCAAAUUUGUGGUGAUUGAUGGGUUUAAGGAGACCUUUUUACUUUUACUAUUUACUUAUUAUGGAAAAGAGUUUGCUUUUUUCCCAAGCAAAUGUGAUUCUUGGGAAUAUUUUUUUUUAUAUUUGAUAUGCAAUGUAAUACAAAUGUUUGUCGUUUAGAUAGAGAAAGUGCAAUACCAAUGCGUUAUUGAUAUAGACUUGUAGUGAUACUUAUCUUCUCGAUAAAGAAAAGUAAUACCGACCAUAAACAGUAAAUCAGUAAAAUUACUAACUGAAUUUGUUUGUAACACAUGAUUGUAUGAGGAAAUUAACUAUUAGUUUUAGUUGAAGUCACAUGAGAUUAAUAAAUGGAUGAGAAUAAACAUAGUAUGUUCAAAUCAUUAUGUAAGAAGAAGAAGAAGAAAAAAAAAUUUUAAUCUAGUAUGGAUUGACGAAAAGAAAUCUCAAAGAAGAUGCAUGUCUUAUCAUCCAAGAAAGAUGAAUGAGACAAAAUAAACUUUUGACGAAGACCAUAAAAUUAAAAUAAAGUAAAUAGAUAACAUUCGAACACUCAUGACAAUUAUUAUCACUUUGAAUGAAUCGGGUGUAAAUAAACUCAACAAUAGGUGUUAUAAUAUGCGACAGAAAUUAGGCUUCUUCCUCAUUGUAAAUGUGCAGCACAAUUAGUAAUUAUAAGAGCAUGUCUAGUGGGGUGUUUAGCCCAGGCCAUGGCUGGUUUAAGCCUAAAAUAGUAAUAUUGGAUUGCUAAUGGGAGGAUUUGGCCUAGGUCAAGAAACCCGGGCUCCAUGGGGGAUCUAUAUUUGUGUAAAUGGUUUGGUCAAUUGAGAUUCUUACAACUUUGUUCCAUGGAGAUAUAUUCUAAUUAUGCAAAAUGAAAUUUGAUAUUGAUUGAAUAAUGAGUUUCUAUAUGUCAAUACAUAUAAAAGGGUUCUUUAUAAUUGGACACGAAAUAUACGGGAAGAGGAGUUCAAACGUUAUAUUUCGGUGUGGCAAAUAGCUUGUCAUGCACAUAAAUAUUUUACUCACCAUCGUUCAUCAGUGAAGAAAAGGAAGAAGAAGAAGAAUAAGGCUUAUUAUCACAAAACGUCCCUAAGGUUUACGAAAUUAUCAGAUUGCAUCCUUAAUGUUUUUUUUUUGUCACUCGUGGUCCUCAAGGUUAGUAUGUGCGAUCACAAAUGAUCCCUGCAUUAGGUUCCGUCAAAAACUCCGUUAGUGUGCUGACGUGGCAUAUAUAUAUAUCACAAAACAUCCCUGAAGUUCACGCACCUAAUGUUUCGAAUAUGGAGUUUAUUAAAUUCAUAUAUGGAAAACAACAUAGAAUCGUAAUUCAUGUGUGACUUUUAUACCCGCACAUGGAAAAGAAAUGAAAAGCUAGAGCUUAGAAGAUAAGAAGCAAGACCCAAAGAUCAAACACUUUAAACAAAUGAAAAUGAUCUCUUUUGUAGACGUACAAACCUUACACAGACUGACUUUGAUGCUGUACCCCAAAAAAACAAUAAAAGAAAGGAAGGAAAAACAGUUUAUCAAGGUUAAUGAGACGUUCUUGUUUUUUGUGGCGGUUUUUCAACUUUCAACGGCGGUUUUUAUAAUUUAGCUCCGGUUUUUGUACUUUUCGUUAAGAUUUACUGUUCAAAAUCAUGGCAGACAUCAAACUGAGCAUCCUACCCUUUCUAAUGACAACCAACAACAACUUUGGAACCCCCCUGCCUCUCCCUUUGUCAAAGUCAACGUGGAUGCAUCAUGGAAUCCAAACUCAAAGAGGGUUGGCAUUGGUAUCCUAAUUAGGAACACUCAUGGAGACUUUAUCAAGGGUUCAUCCAUCCCAUCUGUGGCGAACUCUGCUAUUGAGGCUGAGGCACAAGCUUGUCUUGAAGACUGUAAGCUCGCUGCUGAGAUGGGUUAUCGUCAAGUAACUUUUGAAUCUGAUUGCAAGGAAGUAAUCUCUCCUUUGAAGGGCCCCUUAUCCAAUGGAAGGUGGGAAAUCUAUCCUAUCCUAAGUACUGUUUGAGAUGUUUUGAACUGCUUCCAGACCUACGUUUGGACGUGGAUUCCUAGAACCGCCAACCAAGCGGCAGAUCAUUUGGCAAUGCUUGCCAUUUCGAGGAUGAGCCCGGAAGUAUGGGUCAACCGACCCCCAUCCUCUCUAAUGCAUAUCCUGAACAAAGAUGGUUUACCAUGCCCCCCAAGGAGUGCUUAAUGUUUGCGGAUGUGUGGGCUUCUCGACGUAUCCGGUUGUCUUAUGACUACGUCUUUUUAUUAGUCCUUCUUCUAUGCAGCUGUGAUGUUUUAUUUCUUGUUGUUCGUUGUGCCUAGCUCCUUUAUAGGUUGUGUACUUUCUCUUGGCUGUUUGCCUUUUUAUGAAAAUUCCAUAUUUCAGACCAAAAAAAAAAAAAAAAAAAAAACUCCAAAGUGACUUUAGCUGCGGAAAAAGCCGUCGCUAACUGCAGCUAUAGGAGCUUUUAUCUACGACUCGGAAAAUCGCCGCUAAAACGUAGAUUAAAAUUUCAACGAAAAUUUUUAUGCAAAAAAACAAAACACCUUCCUUUUUAAUCUCUUUUAUUGUUCAUACACAUAUUACAUGGCAUUUCUAUUUGAAGUCUCGUCCAAAUAACUACAAUUGGAUACAUGAAGCAGAUGAACAAUGUCUUCAAGAAAAUUAUUUUUCACAUCAACACCACGACGACCUUGAAUUGAAUGGCUGAAGUAAAAGAUAUUUGCUAUUUCAGAAGUGCCAAGAGUCUGCAGAUAGCUCCCUAAAGGAAGCUGAUUGUCCUUUGCAGUGCCAAUAGUUGGAAAGUCCCAACAAGGUACGAAAAUGUAUCUUUCAAUAACAAGAUCCUCCACAAUUACAGCCUGACAUGGUUGAACAGAUGUCAUCCCAACUCGAGCAUAAUCUGUCAAUAUUACAACCGUCUGUGGACAGCAAAGCAGGGAGGGCAGAUAUAUCAAUCAGUUGAUGAAUCAAGGACUGACGUCAGGCUUUUCUUCAAACAAUCCAGUCAUUACAUUUUGAAAUACAAUUGAGACUCAAGAUGACAAAUGAUCGUUCACCCCGAGCUGUGAAGUGGAGUACGGAGUGUCCCUCAACUUGGAUCGUAGGUGUACAAGCAAAGACGAAGGACAAGUCCGUGGGUAAAAUUUCAUAUGGCGACGCACUAAAAUCAAACUUCAAACCAGUAAAACCCAGCAAGACAAUGUGUACUGUUGGAAACCGAAGUUGGACCACCAAUUGUUCUGCGAACAGAAAAUAUUAACUUUGCAUGUAAUGCUUUUUCCUCUUCAGAGGAUAAGUGAAAUGACAUGAGAAGAAUCUCAAUAUGAAAACCAGAUGGAGCUAGAGUUAGAGUUAGCAACAAUUGCUGGCUGAUCGUAUCCAUUUGUAGUUCCACAACCACCUUCAUAGAGAAGGUCUCCAAAAAAGGCUUCAUCUUCAUGGCACGCAAUAUUUCUAAUUCAGAGCUGCAAGUAGUUUUUGCACAACUAGAAUAUCACCUUUCCACCUUUGGCCUCAGUUUCACUCAAGGAAAAAGAUAAGAUGCAUCAGAUCAUCCAUCCAUUCAUUGCUUUGAGGAAGGGAAUAUCAUUUGCACUCGAUGUUCAAAUGUGUGCCUGUGAAGUAAAGGAAUUUCUCAGAAUGAACAAGGCAUCUAGGGGAAUCAAGAAUAUUGACGCUAUUGCCAUCAAGUUCUGUGUCUAACUCCUUCCAAAUGACAGCCUGACUAAUCUGUCUCUUAAGGUCGUGAAUGAGCAUCAAUAUGGAAACAACCAAUCAUAGAAAAUAAGCUAGUGGGGGCUUCAGGUUAGCAACAGACUUUGUUUUAUCUCCAUAAAGAAGAGUCUAAAUUGUCUAGUGUGGAAGCUACCAUGCAAAACACAGUUGUUGCAGAAAGUACCCCAAAUGAGUUCAAGAAAGUCUUCCAGUAGCAACAGAAUGGGGUCUCAAAACUACCCUCGAUUGCCACAUUGAUAUUUACAAACUCCAAUACAGGUCUAAACAACCCAGGCACUACAUCAGCAAAAGAACCAACUGCUUGCACCAAUGAGGCUUCAUAUUCAAUAUCUAGAUUUCCUUUGAGAGACUUCGAAGUAGCUUUAUAAAUCCUCAAACUGAAGGACAGUCUCUUCAAGAAGUUUGUCCCAACCAUCUUCUCAUCAAACAUAUCUGGGAUCACAAUGAGUUUCUUACAGAACAAGAUCAAACAUCUACUGAACCACACAUGAGCAACUGCCCAGCCUGAGAAAAAUUUAUUUGUUCAAAUCCUGAUGGAUAGUAGGCCUGCCAAACCCACUGGUUUGCCGAUCAGAUUGUAUGCACUCAUAAGCUAAAGACAUAUCCAGACGAUCUAGCGGUAUCUCUGACCCUGAGCAAUUGACACCUUCUCAUACACAUAAAAAGUACAUCAUCAGUACCAGUAGGCCAUGAGGCAACAACAUAGAAGAAAUCAAAUCUUACGACCAAAACAAUUACCUUGUGGACCAAAUUUAGUGUGGUUAUCAAACUCAUUACCACAAGAACUACUGGUAACAGAUGGUAACAAGUCCACCAGACUAUCAACAGAGCAAGGUUGCAGUGUGUCAGGUGCCUUAUCCAUUUCAUCAACCAACGCUAUCUCCAAAAGCUGCACCGUAUUACUCUGCAAAACAAAACAAAAAUAGAGCAACUACUCACCCCCUCCCCAAGCAUGCACAAACAGGCAGCAACGCAGAACAGUGAAUACAUAAAAAUUACAAAUUAUAAAAAAGGAUUUGUGGACAAAUCAGAAACCAACACAACAAAAAAUGACUCAUCCACAAAUCCACAAAGUUCAGGGUACAGGGCACAGAGAAAAAGUAAAAAAAUUCACUCCCUCUUUCCUUCACACAAGAAACACUUAUUGUUAAUGUUGCUACUGAUUUGAAUCUAUUAAACAUGAAAGUUUCAGGCUUCUAAGCACAAGACAACAGAGCGUACAAUAAUAGAGCCACGGAGAGAGCCCUCAAAUUGAGUUGUUGAAGUUAAUUUUCAGAAAAUUUAAGGUGUUUUGAGGGUUAAGGAGGUUUCUAAGUUCAAUAAAAAUCAUUAAAAACUUUGAGUACAAAAGAAUCCAGUAUAGCCGGGCGGCUAUACUCUUUUUACACCGGCCAAGGCCUAUGCGCCACGUCGCAACCGGUUACAGCAGAGCGUCACAGCCAACUUAAAAAAAAUUGGGGAAAAUAAGUAUAGCCGCACGGCUAUACUAUUUCUAGAAGAAAAUUAAAAAAGAAUCCAGUAUAGCGGGGCGGCUAUACUCUUUUUACACCGGCCAAGGCCUAUGCGCCACAUGGCAAACGGUUACAGCGGAGCGGCUGUAUUAUAUUUUUAAUUACAAUUUUUGAAAAAAAGUAUAGCCGUGCGGCGAUACUAUUUGUAAUAAACAAUUAUGGAAAAACUGAAAUUUUUUUCAAAAAUAUAUUAUUUUUAUUCAAUAAUAUGUUAGAAUUAUGUGUAUAAUACGUGAAUUUUGCGUCUUACUAAAAUUUUUGUUAAAAUUAAGUGCACUCAACAUGAGAAAUAGUGUAUAAAACAUUAUUAAAUGUGAAAGUGCAAAAAUAUUUAUGCGGGUAAUAGCUUUGGAAAAGUAAAAAAUCAAAAAGGGACAGUAGAUACUCGAGCAAUGACCUAAUAAUAACAGAUAGGGCUCUUGGGCUAUGGAGAAAUUUAAUUAAGACACCCAAACGAGUUCACAAAAGACUUAAUAAAUAUAAAUGAAUUAUUUAUAUGGAGCAGAGUUAAAAUUAUCUAUUCAAUUCACAAACAAUCUAUUUAAAAAAAAAAUGGCUGUGUAUCUGUCUUUCUUGUUUGAUUAAGAAAAAAAAAAUUCACAUCUGAAAUUACUUGCCAAUUCUAGAAUGCACAUUUAGAGAGUAGUAAACCGGCAGUAAAAUGAUAUCCAACUCCUAGUAUUGUAACUAAACGCAAGAACAUGGAGCUCACCAACCAAAGAGUAGUCAAAUCCCUUAAAACUGCGAACUUUAUAUAAUUUUUCAAAAACUUCAAUAAAAAACGAAAAUUCAAGUGGAAAAGAGAAGGUCACUAAUUUCACGUUGAAAAAGAAAAGAAAUGAAGCCUAAUCAAGAGGGAGAAGAUGUGGCAUAGGCAAUCGAAUAAACUGCUUGAAUUUGAGAAUCGGCCCACGACUGGAGCCCUAGCUUUCCGUCUCCGACGACCCCAACGCAGCGUUUUGGUAUCAGAGAGGAGCGCAGCCUUUGCAAGAGAUCAAUUGACAAUUAGAUUAGGGGUGUCUAGCCCAAAAUGCUCAAAUUGGGGCCUUUUUUUCUUGUUUUUUUAACAACUGCACACGGGUGUACUAUUUUUUUUUUUAAUUUAAAAACCGGAUUAUACUAAUUUUUUUAAAAUCAGCAAAAACAAGUAUAGCCGACUGGCUAUACUAUUUCUUAAAAAAAUAAUUGAAGGAAUCUAGUAUAGCCGGGCGGAUAUACGAUUUAUAUAUAUAAAAAAGACCGGCCUAGGGCCGAGGCGCUACGAGUCAAAAUAGUAAAGCCAGGCGGCUAUACUAUUUUUUUAAAAAUUACUAAAAACAAGUAUAGCCGAGCGGCUAAACUGCUUCUUUAAAAAAAUAAAAAAAUCUAGAACUGUUUCUUUAAAAAAAUAAAAAAAUAAAAAAAAUAAAAAAAUCUUGUAUAGUCGAGCGGCUAUACGAUUUAUAUCUAUAUAUAUAAAGCAAAAUGCAGAGAAUUGUGAAACAUUCAAAAUAUCAGAAAAUGCCCUUGGUUAAUGCAAAUAUUAAGAAUUGAAAUUAUUAAUUAAAUGAGGAGAAUAUGCUAAAUUCACACUUUUUCAUAUUAAAAAAAUUAAAAUUAAAAGACAAAUUAAAUAAUGGAUCCCAUUUUUAUGGAAUACAACUACCCAUUAUUUUUAUGCCCAGCUUAGGCACUACGUGUCAAAAGAGUAAAGCCAAGCGGCUAAACUAUUUUAAAAAAAAUAUUAUUUUUAUACAAUAAUAUGUGAGAAUUAUGUGUAUAAUGUGUUAAUUUUGUGUGUCUUAUUGAAAUUUGUGUAAAAAAAUAUGUGUAUUAAACAUAAAAAAUACGUAUGUACCUAUAUAAUACAAGUAUUAUACGUUUGUCGAGUCUUUAAGACGUUUGCAGAACAUGACACGAAUAUAUUAUUGAAAAAUACGUACGUAUGUGUAUUAUAUAUUAUUAAACGUCAAAGUGUUAAAAUCUUUAUACGGGUAAUAACUUUGAAAAAGUAAAAAAUCAAAACAGUAAAGAUGUACGGCUAUACUAUUUUAAAAAAAAUUAGUAAAAAACGAGUAUCGCCGUUCGGCUAUACUAUAUCGUCCAACAAGUUAAAAAGAUCUAGUAUAGCCGCGCGGCGAUACUAUAUAUAUAUAAAGCAAAAGAUAUAGAAUGGUAAAACAUUCAAAAUACCAGAAAAUGUCUUUGGUUAAUGCAAACAUUAAGAAUUGAAAUUAUUAAUAAAUGGGGAUAAUAUGGUAAAUUCACACUUUUUCAUAUUUAAAAAAAAUUAAAAUUAAAAGAAAAAUAAGAUAAUAAAUCGUAUUUUUAUGGAACACAACUACCCAUUAAUUUUUUUAAUUCUAAAAUAAAUUUUUUAAAAUUUGUUUUUAAAAAAAAGGCCUCUCACAAGCACGGAAGUGCUUGCGGAGAGGCUAGUGUAUAUAUAUAUAUAUAUGAACCGCCCGCGCUGCUAUACGAUGUUUUAAAAAAUUAUUAAACACAAGUAUAGCCGUGCGGCUAUACUAUCUCUUUCAAAAAGUUAAAAAGAUCUAGUAUCGUUCACCCAUAAAUUUAAUAAAAUAUUUUAUUUAAGUAUAAAUGCUAAUAAUAGGCAAAUGCUCCUUUCCAUUGCCUAGGCAAGCGUCAAAAUAGUAAAGCCGCAUGGCUAUACUGGCUAUACUACGAGUAUAGCCAGUUUCUAAAAAAAAAAAAAAAAUCUAGUAUAGCCGUGCGACUAUACGAUAUAUAUAUGCACUUGGCUGGUGGUGGAGCCGGCAUGGAAGUGUUUAAAAAAAUGGUGAAUUGGAUAACGAAUAGAAAGUUGACACAUGGGAUAAACUACAGUAACAACACUUGUUAUUGUAGGAAAAUGUUCAAAUUAACAUAAGAAGUACCUUUGGUAACGGUAGGGAUAGAAAUUAGAAUUUGUUCUCUAUGAUAAACUCAUUGCUUCCAACUUUUUCUGUUUCUAAAAUCAAAUUUAAAUAUUCAUCAUUGAAGACAAUUAUUAUUUUUUUCUUCAUACAAACACAAAAAAGUUUAUUUUUGCCACACAAACAAAUACAUCACACAAUUUAUUUGAAAUCAAAUAAUUAUAAGUAAAUAAUAAAUUUUGAAUAAAUUUGCCUUAUUUAAUUAGUGAAAUUAGUAAUUAUAUUUUAAUUAUUAUUUAUUUAGUGAAUAAUUAGUAUUAAAUUUAUCAAUUAACUUCAUGAAUUAUAUUACUUAAUAAAUAGUAGGCUUAUUUUCACAAAACGUCCCUAAAGUUUACGAAACUAUCAGAUUGCAUCAUUAAUAUUUUUUUUUGUCACUUGUGGUCCUUAAGGUUAGUAUGUGCGAUCACAAAUGGUCUAUGCCGUUAGGUUCCGCCAAAAACUCUGUUAGUGUGCUGACAUGGCAUAUAUAUAUCAGUACUGAUCUCUUGGACUACAUGGGUCCAAGAGAUUUGUGGUCACUCACCGUUGGAUGUAAAUUCAAUGGUUCACUCACUUUUGCACUCAUUUUAAAAAACUUUUUAGAACCAUUGGAUUAAUAUCCAACGGUAGGUGACCACAAUCUCUUGGACUCCUGUGGUCCAAGAGAUCGGGACUGAUAUAUAUAUAUAUAUCACAAAACAUCCCUGAGGUUCACGCACCUAUCACAAAUGGUCCCUAUGAAAAUUGUUAAUUUUUUAAUUUAAAAUUCAUAAAAUUUUGAUUUUCUUUUUAAAAAUAUUUAUAAAUUAAAAAACCAUUUAUAUAAGGAUUUUAAUCAUGAGGACCACUUAUGAGCCCUAAACUCUUAGUUUUUUAAAUUUUAAAUUUUAUGAAUUUUAAAUUAUUUUUUAAAAACUCCAUUAGUUUGUUGAUGUGGCAUAUAUAUGGAGCCCACAUCUACAAUAAUAUAGUGUCACAUGUAUUUAAAAAAUAAUAUAUUUUUUAAAUAAUUUAAAAUUCAUAAAAUCUUAAAAAGAAAACCAAAAUUUUAUGAAUUUUAAAUUAAAAAAUUUCGCAGGGACCAUUGUGAUCACACAUACUAACCUUGAGGACCACGAAUGAUAAAAAAAAUAUUAAGGAUGCAAUCUGAUAGUUUCGUAAACCUUAGGGACGUUCUGUGAUAAUAAGCCUAAAUAGUAAUUCAAAUUUUCCCUUUUUCUUUUUCCCUUUAAUAUUCACCAAGUAAAACAUAACUACUAAUCAAAGUAAUUAAAAAGAGAGCUACUUAAAGGGUAUAGCUGCGUGGCUAGACUUUUAAAAUAUUAUAUUAUUCGGAGUACCGCCGCGCGGCUAUACUUCGAAGAUAUUCUUUUGAGGUGCCCUUUGUGAACACCCCACAUCGAAAAUCCACAAUCCUAUAAAGGUCUUUAUAAACAAAGCUCUAUGAUGGUUUGGUAAGUGUGGUUAACAUUAGAGAGUUGGGGUAAUGGCCACGGCUUUGGAUUUGGCGCUGAUUAAUAAUAAUUAUAUUAUAUUAAUCAAAGACUUGGGCCUUGGGGCUCUUGGGUUUUGGAGAAAUUUAAUUAAGACACCCAAACGAGAAUAAGCAAUUUAUUAUUUUCGUUUUUGACAUAUCCUUUCAAUUUAAAUUUGAAUAAAAUUAGGUUUGAAAAUUGCACAAAAUAAUUUAAAAUAAUUAAUUACUAUUUAUUGAGCAAUUUUUUAUUUCAUGCAUCUUUUCGAGAUCUAGAACGUCCCAAGUCACUUGAAGCAGCUUCAGUUCUCCAGACCCCCAAAAAACGAUGUUUUCUGCUGUAAAACUAGAUUACAUCUUCCCAAUGUAACAACACAUACAUAUUUUCCUUACAUUUUCUUAAUGUCAUGCAAACAAAACUUCAAUUUUGAACAUAGGAAUCAGUAAGUGAUGGGCGGACUCAUUUUUUAUGGGUCAAAAGCUGUAUUACAAUAGCAAUAUAGAAUGGAGAGUGGUGUUCAAGUACAUAUAACGAGCAACAGUUUUGAAAUGUUUCAUAUUAGAUGGGCUGGUUUUUGUUUUAAUUAUUAACUUCAGGGUCUAGGGUUCAAGUCACAGAGAAGGCACACCUGAGUUUUUAUUUAUUUAUAUUUUAUAAAUAUGUAUUUUUUUAAAUGUUUUCACUUGUUAAUUUUACUUUGAUGCUUUUGUCAUGCCACAUGUGUGCACCCUGUUCGACAAGCCUCCUAUAGCCAUGUUGAUGACAGAUGUCGAAGCAAGCUGCCUUGAGAAUUUCUUGGGCACGUCAUGGGCACUUCUAGGGAAUGCGUUGAAUGGACACUUCUUGGGCAUGCGUUGAAUAGCCAUGUUUCGGGCAUGCGUAGAAAAUUGCACAAAAUAAUUUAAAAUAAUUAAUUACUAUUUAUUGAGCAAUUUAUGAAAUAAGUAACAUAUUUAAAUAUUCACUAAAAAAUAAGAAUUAAAACACAAUUACUAAUUAAAGUAAUUCAAAAAGGAUAAGAUAUUACUUAAUUACAUAUAUUAAAUUAAGGAAGUUAGCCAAAAAAAAAAGUAAAGAAACUAAUUUUAUAUUUUUAAAAAUUAAAAUUUUCUUUUAAAAAAAAAACAUGAACACUUCUCUCGAUGAAAUUUCGUUGGCACAGAUCUAUGCCGGCAAAAUUUACCGGAUUAAGUUUCUCCCGACGAAAAUACCUGUGCCGACGAAAUUUUGUUGAGAGAGGUCUUUUAGUAUAUAUAUAUAUAUAAACUUAGGAUGUUUAGGUUAAUUAAUUUUUAAAAAUGUUAUCGUUAGUAAUUAAAUAAUAAAUUUGCCUUAUUUAAUUAGUAAAAUUAGUAAUUAUAUUAUAAUUAUUAUUUAUUUAGUGAAUAAUUAGUCUUAAAUUUAUCAAUUAACUUCAUGAGUUAUAUUACUUAAUAAAUAGUAAUUCAAUUUUUUCUUUUUCUUUUUCCCUUUAAUAUUCACCAAGUAAAACAUAACUACUAAUCAAAGUAAUUAAACAGAGAGCUACUUAAAGGGUAUAGCUGCGUUGCUGGACUUUUAAAAUAUUCUAUUAUUCGGAGUACAGCCGCGCGGCUAUACUUUGAAGAUAUUCUUUUGAGGUGCCCUUUGUGAGCACCCCACAUUGAAAAUCCACAAUCCUAUAAAGGUCUUUAUAAACAAAGCACUACGAUGGUUUGGUAAGUGUGGUUAACAUGGGAGAGUUGGGGUAAUGGGCUUGGCUAUAGGCUCGACUUUGGAUUUGGCGCUGAUUAAUAAUAAUUAUAUUAUAUUAAUCAAAGACUUGGGCCUUGGGGCUCUUGGGCUUUAGAGAAAUUUAAUUAAGACGUCCAAACGAGAAUAAGCAAUUUAUUUUUUUUCGUUUUUGACAUAUCAUUUAAAUUUAAAUUUAAAUGAAAUUAGGUUUGAAAAUUGCACAAAAUAAUUUAAAAUAAUUAAUUACUAUUUAUUGAGAAAUGAUAUUGGGCUUGACAAUCUUAUUCUUUGAGCUGAACCUGCAGUUUAGGCCGAGCCUACUAUGAUAUGGUCAUUGAUUUUGGGCCUUUCUUCCUUUUGAGCCCAAUCAUCACCCUAAUGUGUUAUUGUCACGUCAUUUUCCUUUUGUGGGUCCAAGAACGUUUCAGGUAUAAACACAGACCUUAAGGACGAAAAGUGAUAAUUUUAUGAAUCUCAUGGACAAUUUAUGAUAAAAAGCCUUAUUUUUAUGAUGUAUUCAGUAUUUUUUGCAUUAUGAUUUGAAUCCUUUUAGAAUUUAUGCUUCUAAUAUAAUGCUUUUAUUCAGAAGUAAGAAUUUUGAUUAUCACUAAGCUGUCGGAUAUGCAUUCACCAACUAGUUUUUUGAUUUCAUUGUUAUUUUUUGUUCUUAAUUUUGGAGGGCAUUUGAUUGUGAGCGAGGAUUACCAUCUCAUUCAUUGAUAUUAGAUGAGUGUGAUUUAAUAUACAGCACACAUCUCAAAAUCAAAUUCAUCUUUUGAUAAUGCUUAGGGGUGGUUAGCAAAAAUACUUGCUCCCUUAAUUUUUAAAGUGAUCACAGGUUUUGAAUCCCCUCAUCCCCUGAGAUAAAAAACAACGCUCUAUUGAGCGUUAAUAUUAGAUCAGAUGGUGUUGAACUCCAAGUAUUUUAAAUUUAAUUAAAAAUAUGUAAGAAAUUUGUAGCUUAAGUGAUUAAGUAGUUACCGACAUCUAAGGUCUUGUAUUCGAAUAUCCCUUUCCUAAUAGCGCAUGUGUAAAAAAUAAUAAUAUUAAAAAAAGUCAAGAAGAUGCUUCUCAGCAUGUUUUUCGGCCAAUUUCAAAAUUACAUAUAUGCCCUCUAUUAUCUCCAUGCAAAAAUGCAUUAAUGGGUAUAUAUUAUGGUAAUUGCCAUGGACACAGGUGGCUCUAGAUAGAGCUAUUUCUCCUUUUAUGAAAGGAAUCUCCUUAAGAAGGGGUGGACAUGGAUGACAACUCUGACAGAGCAACGACCUUGAAGAGAUACUCAACGUGGCUAAAUAUGCCUGUGAAAUUUUUAAAAAAGAACAAAAACAAGAAAAAGAAAAGAAAAGCGUUUCCCUUCAUGCAUUCAUGACUCAUGAUUCAUGAAUGAGAAGACUACCCAACCCAAUUUCCUCAACCCUAUUUUCAGUAAUGACAAAACAGAAAUUGCAAAACUCCAAUUUCUCCAAAUAUUAUAUAGUGGUAUCUACAUAUAUAAAGCAAAAGAUAAAGAAUGAUAAAACAUUCAAAAUAUCAAAAAAUGUCAUUGGGUAAUGCAAACAUUAAGAAUUGAAAGUAUUAAUUAAGAGUGCUACUACUUUCACCCACCUGCCUAUUUUCCCACCCACCUUAUCUUUAAACUUUUAAAGACAAAUUUAACCAUACUGUAAAAUGACUUAAAAGGACUUAAGGAAAAAAAAUAGAGAAAAAAAAAAAGACGUAGACUUUUCAAGUUCUCACGAACCCUAUCGUUUGAUAGAAAGAAAAAAAAACACAAGAAAGCUACGACUCCUUGCUCAUGAUUCCUCUUAUAACUUUUCAGUGCUCAGAACUUAAUUCUCAAAUAAUUUUCUUCUCUUUUCUAUUCAUUCAAUCAAAUUGUUUAUGAAGAAGAAAACGACAAGAGAAUCAAUGUUGAAGGGAACAGUUUUGGCGAAAAAAUAAGGAAAUCCUAUUUGAACAUAAUUUCUAAGAUCUUUACGAUUACUUAAAGCAUUGGGAGAUGAGUAUUUCUUGGACUCUGAUUUUUUUUCUUAAACUAAUUAAAAAUCUGAAAACUUGGGGAUGAAUCAACAAUUCUAUGAUUUAGGCUCUGUUGAUUACACAAAGAACGUUCCUUACAAAAUCAGUUUGGCUGAGAAUUUUUUUGAGGUAUGAGAAGGUGAAGAAGGCUUUUGGGGUUAAUGAGUCAUUGGUUUUUGAGGAAUGCAGUGAUUUGGUGGGGGAUAUUUUGCAUGAAGAUGUGAUGAAAAGUGUGAAAUACAUGGUGAAAUAUUUGAUGAAGAAGGACAAGUCUUGUUGUACCAGAGGAAGCUUGAUUUGAGAGAUGGUGUGGUUUUCAUUGAGGCAAAGAGAGGUGUAUAGUAAACAUGAGAGACAAAAAGAAAUAAAGUGUGAGAGAUGGAAAAUAAGAUACAGCAAAAAUGAGAGAGAUGUGUGGGCCGUCAGAGAGAGAGAAGACGUGAGUAGAGAGAGGAAAUGAGGUAAUAAUUAAACGGGCAUUUUAGGAAUAUUGGUGGGUGAAAAAAUAGGAUUGUGUUUUUUAAAAUUUAUAUGAUGGGUGGGAAGAUAAGGUGAGUGGAAAAAUAGGAUUGUGUUUUUUAAAAUUUAUAUCGUGGGUGUAAAGAUAAGGUGAGUAGAAAAAUAAGACAGAUGGGUGGAAAUAGCAGCACUUUUAAUUAAAUGAGGAUAAUAUGGUAAAUUCACACUUUUUCAUAUUAAAAAAAUUAAAAAAAAAAGAAAAAUCAGAUAAUAGACGGAACACAACUACCCAUUAUCUUUUCUAAUUCUAAAAUAAAUUAAAUUUUUUUAAAAAAAAACUUCUCCCAAGCACGGAAGCACAAAAGCGCGUGCGAAAAGGCUAGUAUAUAUGUAUUCGUUAAUUGCCAGAUAUUAGAUAUUAUUUAGCUCCUUCUUGGAAAAUGAUAUGGGAUCCAAUAUAAUUUAGGAAAAAUCUCCUGUCGAAUUUUUUCUAAAUUUAUAUAUCAAUAUAUAUGGACAUAAAUAUUCUUUUGGAAGAAAUGUGUAGAUAGAUGGUAAAUUGGCAACCAUUUUCCAAAUUAGAAUUUUUACCAAAUUAUUUCAUCGUAAUAAUUUUUAUUUUAUUUUAUCAAAACUCUCAAUAUACAAUACAUAAUUUUCAGACUGUUUAUGUUUGUCUGUACUUGCAACAACUUAGAAGACACAUGCAGAAUAUAGAGUUGAGGAAUUGGUUGGAAUUUAUGAAUUUUCUGGCUGACAUCAACAAAAGAAAGGUCAGCCAUGCAUGAUGAGAAUAUAAACUGUCAAAAUUAUGACAGAUUCUAGCAUCCAACAAAGAGACACUGAAAGCAUUAAGGCCAGUAUUUGCAGAUAAGAAUGGCCUCACCUCUCACACUGUAUUUAAUUUCUGGUUUUGGAAAUUUGGCCAAAAAGGAAAGAAAAAAAGAAAUAUAUAUGGACAGAUAAUACGCGGCGCCUAGACUCAGACUAUAUUCCUUUAAUUUAUUUUUAUUUAAUUUUUUUCUUUAAUAAUGCAUAAAAGAUAAUUGGAGCUUGGUUGUCAAAAAUCUGAGGGAGUGUAUGAGAGAAUCUGUAAUUAUGUAAUCUAAGUUGUCUUGUUGGGAUUUCUAUUCACACUCUUCUUUUUUUAUUUUUUUGUUAGAGCAUUCAAAUUGAAUUCUGUGGAUUCUGCUCUUCACUUUUCUCUCCUCCCUAUACUCUCACUCUCUCUUUAUAUACCAACCCUCACUGUCCUCUUGUCUCCACCAAACAACCAAGAUCUGAGAGAAAGAUACAAAGCUAGCUAGCUAAGCUUAGAGAGUGAGCCUUUAGAGAGACAAAAAUGGGUUCAACUUCAAAUCCUCUUGAGCUAAAUUCUCUUGAUCUUGCACUUAGUCUAAAGCCCUCUUAUGUCCCAAAAUCACUCAAUCACUUAUUCAGUGAUCUGGCAAGUAUAGAUAAUGUUCCACACAAAUUGUCUGUUUUGAAUGAGUAUCUUCUAAAACACCAAGAAGAGCUCCACAGAGUAGAGGAAUUUAAAAGAGACCUACCUCAGUGUGUUCUUCUGUUGUUGGAUGGUGAGCUAUAGCUACCCCCAUUUAUUUAUUUUUCUUUUUUCUCUCUAAGAAAAUUGUUGAAGGGUUUGAUCUAUGUUGAUUUACCUCUAAUGGUUUAUUUUAUUUUUUAUUUUUGACUGUUGUUUUUUCUUGGUUGUGAUAAUAUAUAGCUAUACAAACACUCAAUAACGAAAUUGAGAAGUUGAGUGGUCAAGAUCAGUUCGAUGCAUGUAAGAAUAGAGGCUCAUGUGAGGAUCCAGUAGAACGGCGGAGUGCGUUCCGAAAAUAUAAGAGCUCAUCACCUCCGUUUAACCCUAGGCCUCGCAACCAAGAUCAUACAAGUCAAGACCAUAAGGUAGGUGGCAUAGACAUGCAAAAAUUCAGUUUCUCUUAUUUUUUAAAAAUAUUUUUCCCUCUUGUGUUUUGAUAAAUAAUUAUUUGAUGUGAUUUGACACAUUUUGGUGAUCUUAUUGAAGGUGAAGGGAAAGGAGCCGAUCCUCAUGGAGCCAAGUCCCAGGAGGCCUUUCCCAUGUGAUCUCAACAUGGAGGCAAGCGGUUCAGAACUGGAGCUAGAGCCAGAACCAGAUCCACAGCCACAGCCAGAGGUACCUCCGCCUAUGUGGAAACACAGCAGGUUAAGCUGGACGCAAGAGCUCCACACAAAGUUUGUGGAGGUCUUGAGCAUGCUGGGAGGUCCUGCAGGUGAGAAUAUUUGAAUCAUUUUGGGUGGGAUCUAGGUUUUUGGGUAUAUAUUUUCAACAUAUUCCGAAUAUAAUAUUAUUUAAGGCUUGAUGCCAAUAUAUUGUUUGUUUAUUACAUUUGCCCUUUUGAGCAGAAGCAACUCCAAAACAAAUUAGGGAGGCCAUGCAGGUCGAGGGGCUUACGAACGACCAAGUGAAGAGUCACCUGCAGGUUGGCUUUGAAUUGUAAUUUGUGAAUCAUAAGAAUAUUACCUUACAAAGACAGACUUGUUAUUAUCCGAACUGAUGAGAAUCUAUACAUUUGGUUGGCUGCUUUAUUCCGAACUGUACAUAUUUUUAUGAGAUUAAUUAUCAAUUGUGAUUCUCCUUAACUAGCAUAUUUAUAUUAAGGGAAAGGCGAUAAACUCAUGUUAGUCUUUAGUUGUUAAUUUUUUGUCAUUGCGUGCAUAACAGAAUCUUUAGAUUGGAUCAAUUUAGUUGCAAUGACAUCUUAAUGAUAGAUCCUUCUAUGUACACAUUAAAAAUGAGAUAUUUCUCAUGCGUUGGAUCGCUUGAGUAGCAAUGAUGUCUUAAUAUACAGGGGAUCUUUCUCAAGCGCACAAGAAAAUCUAUUCAUUGGAUCAUUUUAAAAGCAAUGAUAUCUUAAUAGUAGAUUUUCUAAUGUUGAAGUUAUAUUUUUCUCAUUGAUCAUUUUAGUAGCAUUGAUAACUACUUAAUAGCAGAUUUUCCAAUGCUCAAAUUCUAUACAAGAUAUUUAUGCUCAACAUACAUGGGAGAUCUUUCUCAAGCGCAUGAGAAAAUCUAUUCAAUCGGAUCAUUUUAGUAGCAAUAUCUUAAUAGUAGAUCUUCCAAUGCUCAAGUUACAUACAUGGUAUUUUUCUCAUGGGUCAUUUUAGUAGCAGUGAUAACUUAAUAGUAUGUUUUCCAAUGCUCAAAUUUUAUACAUGAGAUUUAUGCUCAACAUAUACAGGGGAUCUUUCUCAAGCGCAUGAGACAAUCUAUUCAUUGGAUAUCAUUUUAGUAGCAAUGAUAUCUUAAUAUAGUAUAUCUUCCAAUACUCAAGUUAUAUACAAGGUAUAUAUAUAUAUAUAUAUUUUUUCUCAUGGGUCAUUUUAGUAGCAGUGAUAAUUAGUAUGUCUUCCAUUGCUCAAAUUAUAUACAGGGAGUUAUGCUCAACAUAUACAGGGGAUCUUUCUCAAGCUCAUGAGAAAAUCUAUUCAUUGGAUCAUUUUAGUGGCAAUGAUAUCUUAAUAGUACAUCUUCCAAUGCUCAAGUUACAUAUAGGGUAUUUGUCUCAUGGGUGGGUCAUUUUAGUAGCAAUAAUAACUUAAUAGUAUGUCUUUCAAUGCUCAAAUUAUAUACAGGGGAUUUAUACUCAACAUAUACAGGGGACCUUUCUCAAGUGCAUGAGAAAAUCUAUUCAUUGGAUCACUUUAGUAGCAAUGAUAUCUUAAUAGUAGAUCUUCCAUUGCUCAAGUUACAUACAAGGUAUAUUUUUUCUCAUGGGUCAUUUUAGUAGCAGUAAUAACUUAAUAGUACGUCUUCCAAUGCUAAAUUAUAUACAGGGGAUCUUUCUCAAGCACAUGAGAAAUCUAGUUAUUGGAUCAUUUUAGUAGCAAUGAUAUCUUAAUAGUAGAUCUUUCAGCUCAAGUUACAUACAUGGCAUUUUUCUCAUUGGUCAUUUCCAAUGCUGAAAUUAGAUACAGGAUUUGUGCUCAACAUAUACAGGGGAUUUUUCUCAAGCGCAUGAGAAAAUCUAGUCAUUGGAUCAUUUUAGUAACAAUAAAUCUUAAUAGUAGAUCUUCCAAUGCUCAAAUUAUAUACAGGGGAUUUUUCUCAUACGCACAUACGCAUGAGAGAUUUUAGGCAUCAUAUUAGUUUAGUGACAAUGAUAUCUUGAUUGAACAUCCUCACAUGUGCAAUUUAUGUGCAUUUUCUCAGGCUCAUGAAAGAUUCUGGUGAUUAAAUUACUUAAUGGGCCAAUGAUCUUAUGAUAAAUUUAGCCAUGCGUAUACAUGCGCGCAUGAGGGUAUUGUCAUAGUAUCCAUAUACAUGCCCCAUUCUGAUAAUCUUCCCUAUCUAAAAUGUUGGUAUAGCUUCAUAGGGAUGAUAUUUGUUCCAAAUGCUAUAGGUAUAGCAAUUCUGAAUUGAUGCUAAGCUUAAUGAGUGUACGUAAUAUAUUUGCUAAAUAUAUAUGCGCUCGAGAAACUUGAAAUUAUGGUGCCGCACCAAAUACCUUUAGAAUAUUACAAAAGGGACCAACAAAACUUAACGGGCCUCAAGAAACAGUGUGACUGCAAAACAAACCAACAGGGUCAUUUAGGCCCAAUCCCCAAACAAAGUUCUUUCCCUGCUGCUCUUUAUGAAUGAAAGUUGAAACCACUCAUUUAUUUCACAUGCAAUUUAAUUUGAGCUCUCAUAUUAAUUAUUUAAGCACUAAUUUUAAGAGUAUUUGCUAGAAUUUGAUGUUUGAUGUUGAUGAUUUAGUGGUGCUGAUGGACAAGUCUCAACUGUGUGUGUGUUUUGCAGAAGUACAGGCUCAACAGCUUGGGCGUCAAACCAGCAGCUUCUGCCAAAAGUUAUAAGAGGAAAGUCCCGUUUUACUUCAGGGACUUUUGGAACCCUAGCGCUUCUCAGCAGCAGCUCGAAAGUGCAGGGAAUGGUGGAGGUGGCUCUAGCAGCAGGGGAAAUGCAGAGCCAGAAAUGAGAAAAUCAAAGAGAACCUGGUUAGGUGAUGCUUAGUUAUGCAUCUAUGAUGGCAUGUAUAGCAUGAUUAGGAUUCAGGAAAUAAUAAGAGCUUCAAAGUUGUUUAUAAUUUCUUCUUCUAAUUUUUCUUUUUGGGUCUCAAAAGUUGUUUAAUUUCAUGUGCAUUGUAGCUGUAUAAUUCUACAAAGGGAGCUCAUAAUUAAUGCAAACAGUUGCACAAAAUCUCAUAAUACAUCGGGAUUUUUUACAAGUAAUGAAGUUUGUCAGAUGAUGAGAACCAUAGCUUUAUUCCAAGUACAAUAUUUCUGUGUCGACUACAUGCUCCUUACGAAGUAUAAACUUACAAGCCCUACUACAUAUGCUUCUGAUAAUUGCACAACCCAUACAAGAAUUUAUACAUACAAACUUAACCAACAUGUGAAAGACAUUAUUUGAGAGUUAAUUAAACAUGAUUUAUAUAGUUAAAUCACUUCUGUUUAAUAUCAAGGAGAAGUAGUUUGCUUUGAAGAAGAAGAAAAAGCAGGUGGGAUUCCAGGGAUGCGAGGUAUAGGUGGGAGUGGGAAUGGUAAUGGAGGGAGGAGUGGGAAAGAUGGUGGUGGUGGUGAUGGUGAUGCAGUAAAACCAGGUAUAGGUGGCAAGUUGGGAAUCAAUGGUGUUGGGCCUGCUGGUGGAGUAAAACCUGGUAUUGGGGGUAAAUUGGGAAUUAAUGGUGCUGGUUGAGGCUGAAAUGGAUUGGGGAUAAGUGGAGUUGGCUGUGGCACAAGUGGAUUUGGAGGCAAAAUUGAUGGUGGCUGAAAUGGGUUUGGUGGGAAGAAAGUAUCUGGGUGGGCUACUUUUUUAUCAGUUAGUUGCCCCGCCUCUGUAGUUUUACCAGGAAUGGGGGGUAAAACUGGAAUUCCUGGAAUUCCUGGAAGGGGAGGGAGAGGAGGAAGUUGUGGCAAUGGUGGAAGAAAAGGGACUGUAGGAAGAGGAGAAAGAUCAGGUAUUGUGGAGUUUUGAGUUAGUUGCCCUGCCUCUGUAGUUUUACCAGGAAUGGGGGGUAAAACUGGAAUUCCUGGAAUUCCUGGAAGUCCUGGAAGGGGAGGGAGAGGAGGAAGUUGUGGCAAUGGUGGAAGAAAAGGGACUGUAGGAAGAGGAGAAAGAUCAGGUAUUGUGGAGGUUUGAGUUAGUUGCCCUGCCUCUGUAGUUUUACCAGGAAUGGGGGGUAAAACUGGAAUUCCUGGAAUUCCUGGAAGUCCUGGAAGGGGAGGGAGAGGAGGAAGUAGUGGCAAUGGUGGAAGAUAAGGGAGUGUAGGAAGAGAUGGAAGAUCAGGUAUUGUGGGGUUUUGAGUUGGUGGUGGAAAUGUGAGCUCAUCAGUUGGAGGAAAUGAGAAUUUCCGAGAACUGAAUUCCUUGGAGUUUUGAAUGCUUGGUUUUUGGUUACAUAGGCUUGGCUGCUUUAGAGGCUUAAAGGUGAAGAACCCAGCUGAGAAAAUGUGUGUUCCUUGCUUUCUUGACUUGAGAUGCAGUGAAGAUGAAGUGGCUAUUGAGGCCACAGCACAAUAUGGUUCACUGCUGCUGAUUAAUUUCACAGAACACCCUUCAAUUUUCUUGACAUGCUUGCUCACAGAGAAAGGCAGAUGAACUCUGAACACUCCAUGGCUAUCUGUUUUCACUUCUGUCUGGAAACUUGGUUUUGAACUCCCAUCUUUGCAUUCAACACCAACAGAAGCCCCUGCAGAAAAAAUAAGUUGAAAAAUAAGUCAACUGAACGCAAAAUUCACAGUAUAAAAAGCACUUUUUAAUUGAGUUGUUGUUGGAAAAUUUGAAAUGAACCUGAAAUGAAGUGGCUGGCAUGUGAGAAUUCUGCUUGGAAACAUGUGUCACAGUAGACAGUGCCUACAACAACUGCAGAUGGGGUCUUCUUCUCAUGGCUAGCUUCUGAGGGAGUACUUAGUGAGAGAGUACUGAUCAAAAAGAGUACUGUAAAAAACCAAGACAUUUUAGAGCAUCUAUUGCCUCUGAGCAACUCUAACUCUAAGAAUGAGUAGAUGUAGGUUGCCUUUUUAUAUAAAUUCCUGAGGCUUAUAGCUGAUAUAAAUAUUCUCUACAGCAUUCAUUAUACACUUUUUUUGUUUCUUUCUGGUUGUUUCGAGGCAUAAAAAAUGAACUUUUUUCUUCAAAUUUUAUAGCCUGCUGGGCCAUCAAGGUAAUUUAUUUCACUCAUGCAAAAACCAGUCAACUGCAAACUAGAAGAAGUGAAUGUAGGUUCAUUUCCUACCACCAAACAACCCAAAAAAGAAGGUUAAUACUGUGAUUGUGAGGUAGAUAUAAAGAGGCCCCUAACUUUUGCUUUGUUUGCUUACAUUUAUUGAGUUUGUUUCUUUGUUUGGUGUAAGAAUUCUAAAGAGAAUAGUUGGGUCCCCGUUGGUUCACGAGACAAGUGGAGUAACCACAAAUUUCAUGAGUCCGAAGCUGUACACUAUCAACAACACAGGUUGAAGAUGUUGUUGGGUUUAUUUAUGUAUGUUCUUCACACAGAAACAAAAUGAUGGGCGCCUACUAUGAGCUGCUCUCAGUAAUAUAUAUCUGUGCAAAUUGAAAAACUCCCCAAGUACCAAACAAAGUUUACAACUCAAUGUAUGGAUCAGAAUCUUAUUAAUAAGGCUUUUUGGUUCAGAAUGUUAUGAUAAUCAUUAGAUUCAUUUAUUACAAUUUGCUUUAAAUUUUCUAAUUGUUUUUAACAAGUCUUUUCAGUGCAGGUGAUCCAUAAAUAGGUAAAGUAAACAGUCAAGUGAUUGCAACCGAAGAGUCUUUUCCUCAGUCUUUUGACACAAAGUUUUCUGACAAAAAAUAAAUAAAUAAAAUUUAGAUUUUAGCAACAAAAAAAUUUUCACUUUUGAAAAAAUCUAAAAAAAUUUCGAAAAAGACAUAAAAACUCCUUAACUUUCAAACCAAAAGACAUGCAAAUAUAAAUGAUUCCUUUGGAAAUCCAAAAAUAAUAAGGGCAUUUUUGUCUAUUUUUGCUUAUUUUCAAAAUAUUUCUCUCUAUUUUGGCAUUUUCCAAAAUAUCCCCAAAAAAAAACGACAAAGUUUAGACAUCAUCAGCAAUUAUAAGUCACUUGAGCACAGAUGUAUAUUCAAUAAUUGGUUUGGUUCAAAAACUACCAAUCUACAUAGUACAAUGAUUGUGGGACUGAUUAUUGGGAAUUUGUGAGACUUAUUUUAGCAGAAAAUGGACAAUGCAUAUGGCAUGCAAUGAUCCAAACUCAAAACAAAGAAGCUACGACUUCCAAGUAUUUGAGCAAUUUCAAGCCAACUCAGAAAUCUCUGUACUCUGUAGGCUUAUAAGACACUCUCCCAUGUGUUGAUGUUGCAUACAGAUUCCCUUUGCAUCAAUAUCCUUCCAUUCCAACAGUCUGUUUUUUUUUUUUUCUUUUUUAAAUUCAAUUUUCCACAUUUUUUACUGUCCGUCAAAUGCAUAGCAUUUUGGGUGAAAAAGAAAAACAAGAACUUCUACUACUGACAAAAGAGACACCAGUCACACCACAGAGGCACAAACUCCAGAAUUAUGAUAAUUACAUCCUGCAUUGGAAAUUGACAGAUUGUCUUCACGUUCCCCACAGUUUUGCAUUGAGCUGCUAACAAUCCCACAAACUUGCACCGUUUCAUUCUUUGUCCGUGGGCCACAAUUUUUGACAAAUUUGACAAUCUAAUAAGGCGGUUCCUGACAAUCCAAGGUUAUCUCCAUGACAACCACAAGCCACUGUUUCACUGUUAUCUUGUGAGGAAAUUGAAAUGUAACACCAAAUUUUCUUUUACACAGUGCAAGAGAUAAUGCAUGUUAAAAGUUAAAAAAACAAAAGGGGGAUGUUUUUGUCUAAUUCUAUGAUGUACAAAACAUCUCUUUGUCCUUCACGGGUUCCAAAACACAAUGUCACCUCUUCACUUCACGGGCGACCUUAAGCCUGUGGGCUGAGGGCCUUCGUGUCUGCUUGUUGAAUGUGGAGUUUUUCAGCCGAUGGAUACCAUUCCCAAAUGGAUACGUCAAGCUUGAAACAUACGAUGAGAUUCUUGAUUAGAUCCUUGAUGGCUUGUCCAUUAUUAUUGAAUUGAAACAACAAAGUUUGAUUGGUAACAAGGUUUGCCAACUCGAAGGGUAAGAUUGUAGCCAAUCAACUAAACUUUUUAGUGUCAGGUGCAUCCACUGAAUGUAAGGUCUCAUAUUUGAUUUACAUAAAUACAAAGAUGAUAUUUAUUUGUGACGGGUGUAUAGCUUUGUUGUGGGUACGCUUCUCAUUGUAAAAGUAUAUUUGUAAUAACAUCAGUAAUUUUUUCUUUUGUAUUAAAUAACAUUAGACACCUCAUUCAUGCAGGGAAGUUCUUUUAUCACAUUGAAUGUAUAAUGUAUAGCAGCAAUUUUCAUCCGUACAAUAAUGUAAUCAUCAGCAUGUGAUAUUUCUGUUUGUUCUUCUAUCUGAGUUUGUAUUUAUUCCAGUCUGAAUGCUUGAUAUGGAGAAAGAAAGUACUUGAUGAGCCAUCUGUCCAUGAAAUCAUUGGUUUCUAAAACAGCAUAAUAUUUGUAGAACAAAACCAUAGAUUAAAUUGUUAGAUUUCUUUAUGCACAAACAAGAUCUUUCACACAAAACUGUAAUACGUAUAAAGACAUGAAGACAUAUCUGGAGCCAUUUUCCUUGAGUACACAGCUUCUAAACUCAUCCAAUCCGUAGCAGCAGCAAUCCUAGCAAGAAUAGGAAUGGCUCAAGACUUCUGCUCUCUCUCAGAAUCUGUUUCAGCUCUCUCUUUAUAAUGAGAAUAGGUUUAAAGAACGUGUCUGAUGAGAGCAGGGCCUUAAGCUUAUAUAGGGCUAGGUCAAGUCGUCUCUAUUCAUCACCUAGGGCUGACUUGACUAAUCUUCCAAGUCCACCAGAUUGGUUCACGCAUAAAUGGAAAUAAAUAGGACCCCUUAAUAGGCCUCAAAACCCUUCCUUAUUUCACUAAGUUUUGGGCCUCAAUGUACAACUUAAUUUAAACUUUUAUUAAAAUAUAAUAUAACUUAGUAUCUAGUACACCGAUCUAAAUAGGAAAACAUAACAUAAAUAAACCCAGCUGCAAGUUUGUAUAUUGGACUGGAGUGGUACCAUUUGCAGAACAAAACAAUGUGAUACAGCGCAAACUAUAUUGGCCAGUUUGCAGAUUCGAAGAAAUAAUGCAAAAUAAUCACAACCAUCAUCUGUAUGCAAAAACAAAAAAACAAAAACAAAAAAAAAACAAAAACAAAAAAAACAAAAAAAAAAAAAAAAAAGAAGAAGAAAGAAAGAACAAUCAACGAUGCUUGUCAUAAAAAACAACUGCAGAUGGGUGCUUCUUCUCAUGGCUAGCUUCAUGAGGGAGUACUUAGUGAGAGAGUACUGAUAAAAAAGAGAACUGUAAAAAACCAAGACAUUUUAAAGCUUCUAUUGCCUCUGAGCAACUCUAACUCUAAGAAUGGGUUGAUGUAGGUUGCCUUUUAUAUCAAUUGCUGAGGCUUAUAACUAAAAACUAAUAUAAAUAUUCUCCACAGCAAUCAUUAUAAUUUUGUUUCUUUCUGGUUGUUUUGAGGAAUGAAAAAUGAACUUUUAGUUUUUUUUUUUCUUUCAAAUUUUAUAGCCUUGCCCAUCAAUAGUUUCUUUAUUUCACUCAUGCAAAAACCAGUCAACUGCAAACUAGAAGAAGUGAAUGUAGGUUCAUUUCCUACCACCAAACAAUCCAAAAAUAAGGUAAAUAUUGUGAUUGUGACUGUGAGGUAGAUAAAAAGAGGCCCCUUAAUUUUUGCUUUGCUGGUUAUUUGUCUACUUAAAUUUAUUGAGUUUGUUUCUUUGUUGGCGUAAAUACUAAAGAGAAUAGUUGGUUCACAAGACAAGUGGGGUAACCACAAAAUUUCAUGAGUCUGAAGCGUUACACUAUCAACAACGUUGAAGAUGUUGUGUUUAUUUAUGUAUGUGCUUCACACAGAACCAAAAUGAUGGGGGCCUAUUAUAUUGGUUAGAAGUACAAAUAUAUAUCAUCUCUAUAAAAAAAUCACUUGAAUCCGAUAUCAUUUGACCACUCAAUUAAAUUAUUGAAAUUUAAGUACUUUCUUGAAGCACCAUGUUCAUUGAUUUUCUUGGUCUCAAUUAGAUGUCUUAAUGAUUUUCAAUUUGCGUGAUUUUUUGCAAGGAUGAUCUCUGAAUGAAGAUGUGAAAAAUAGAUCGUUUGGAUCGUUGAAAAAAAUUUCGCAGAGAAUCCUACACCCUCAAAAUAAAAUUAUUUGAGAAAUCCCUCAAUAGAAGGGGACUAUAUAAUCUGUGAAAAUUGAAAAACUCCCAAGUCCGAAACAAAGUUUACAACUUUCCAUGGUGUCAGAAUAUGUGGUUUGAGCAGAGCACGGGAUCUUCUCGUGACCUAAUGUGGCAUAUUAAUAGGGUUUUUGCUUGGAUUAAAAUAAUAGCAAUGUGAGACCUCCAAAUCUCAUGGAGGUUUUCUACUUCUAUGAGCAUAGAACAACCCCUGAAUCAUUAGAUUCAUCUAUUGCAAUUUGCUCUAAAAUUUCUAACUGUUUUUAACUGCAUAAAAAACAAGACUUUUUGUGCAGGUAGUCCAUAAAUAGGUAAAGUAAUUCCGGCCAAAUUAAAAGUGUCAUGUGAUUACAACCAAAGAGCCUUUUCGUCAGUUAUUUGGCACAAAGUUUAGAACCUUGUAUCACCACUAUCAGUAAUUAUGAGUAAUUUGAGCACAGCUGGGACAACAAUAAAACAAUGUAUAUUCAAUAAUGCAUCAGUGACAAUUGACUGCUAUGGAUAAUGGGUUUGGUGAAAUAAAAAACUACCAAUAUACUACAUACAACAAUGAUUUUGGGAUUUGAUUAUUUGGAAUUUGAGAGACUUACAUUUAGCAGAAAAUGCACAAGCAUAUGUGCGUUUACCCUAAACAUGUUCAAACCUCAGAGAUAGGCUUUAGAUUGUGUGAAUUGUGAACGUGCCACUAUUAGUGGUGUAAAACCCUAAUAGACUUGAAAGAGAAUUAAGUAACUUGCGCACCAAGAAAACUCACUGAAAUCAAAUAAUUGUGAAUUGAAAUGGUAAACUAAAUCAAAGUUUCUUUUCCAUGCCUCAAGACAAAUGACAACUUUAUAAUUUCUCUAAAACAAUAAGGGUAAUAAACAACAAAUAAACAAGUAAACAAAAGGGAUCCAGAUCAAGGGAUCUUAUUAGAUAAUAAAUUGCCACCACCUUGGAUCACUUCUGAUUGAAUUCAGAGGUUAAGGGUCUAGUGGCAAUAGCAGUAGUAUAUCACAUCACCUUCAAUUGAUGAAGAUCAAUUGGAAAUCGAUACCAGAGACAGAUCUGGCAGAGCAAUUAUCAAGAAAGAUAUAGCAUUUGAGAAGGAAUUAGGGUUUGUACUGAAUUUAUUGUUGAAAAGUUGUGUUUGUUAUCGUGAGCUAUCUAUUCCCUUUUAUAUGAAUUUUGACUUGGUGGAGAGAGAUUACAACCUAUGUCAUGCCAUCAUGAGGAUCAAAUCAUAAUCCAUUGGAAUUAAUUAUUUAGUUGAUUGCCUUAAUCGUCAAGUAAUAUCAUGAUUUCUCCUUGAUUUUCUAGGUAAUUAUCAAUUAAUAGAUAAUUCCCUUUCCCAGCCACUUAAACUGGCCCAAGGAAUCUUAACCGGAUUGCAAUACUAAAAUCCCCCCCAAAUUGGCUUAAAUCUCAUCUGUAUAAAAACUAGGCCUAAACAUUACCCCAUAAGCCCAAUAGACUUGAUUAGAGGGAUUUGGGGUUACAUGCAUGAGCGUGACACCAUGCGUCGUUUUCAUUUCAAUCACUUCAAUCGCGCCAUUUUGACUUCUACUUUAGUCUUUCGAACCUUUCUAUCUUCUUCUCACUACGAAGCCUAGAGAUUCUUAGCGAUUAUCGAUACCUUCAACUUUUCCAAACUUUUGUUACCGAAAGUCUCAAGUUUCACCACCCCCUAACCAAUUCUCGUUUCAGAAACCAUUUCUUUGUCUCAAUGGCCACCUCUGACUCCAACGUCCCAAAGCCUAUCUCUGAAAAAUAUGCUAUUAUAUAUGCAUGCCCAAGACAUUUGUGCAUAAUUGGGUAAAGUUGCUGAUGAUGGUCCAACGCUCGUACAAUUUAACUGAGCGUCCAGACUUCAACACUGGGUCCAUAAAGAACAGUCUACUGCAAAGGUUUGAGUGGAUUGGCGAUCUUCAUGACCAGUAUCCGGAGCUUUGGGAAAAGCAUCGCAUUUACGAUGCCAUUAUGCUUUUUCGUUUUGACACUUCGAGGGGUAUUUGUUCUCAACAUAUGCAGGGGAUCUUUCUCAAGCACAUGAGAAAGUCUACUCAUUAGAUCAUUUUAGUAGCAAUAAUAUUGUAGGGCUUUUUCGUUCUGGCAGCUAUAGAUUAGUCUGGGCUACUGUAAAGAGUAAAUUGGAGAAAACUCCCCAUGUGUCUAAGUUCAAGAAUAAGACCCCAAAAGUGCUUCGAAAGGGUAGCUAAGCCUUAGAAAACACCUUGGUCUUCUUCACCAAUGAAACCAACAGUUGCUUACAAAUAAAUGCUUGGCUUGGCUUGAGAAGCUUGUGGCAUGGAAGCUAAGCAUUCAUGAGUUUAGCAAGAGAGAGAGAGAGAGAGAGAGAGAGAGACCAUAUUUUCUACGAGAAACACAGGUUUAAAGCAAAGGAUUUCAUGAGAAUUUGCUGAGGAGACAAGAUUUUUGGGAGCUCAAAAGUCUUCUUGCAACUGUUCCAGUGGUAACCUCUCAUCUAUGGUUAUCACUUCUCCUUCUUUCCUCCCAUAUUUCAUGGCAAGAGCUGAUAAAGGAAGAAAAUAGAUAGCAACGUUGGUCUGAAGGAUGUCUUUUCUCCUAGCAACCUGCUGGCGCUAAUACCCUUUGGUCAUUUGAAUGGUUUGUCUUGAGGUUUGCACCUGGUCACGUGCUAGAGCCUCACAGCAGCCUACAUAUGUGAGUCAUUCCUUGGCUUUUUGUUGUGGUUUUGUCUCCAACCAUGUGCUGGAGACUUUCAAAUAUUUUUUUUGAUCAUUUGGGCCUUCCUAAGGUAAUGGGUUUGUCUACUAGGGAAUGGGCCAACUUCACAAAGUGAUAGACUACUUUUAUUAAGGUGAUGGGUCAAUUUUCUAAAGUGGUGGGCUCUCUUUUUCUCUCAUUUAUGCUUACCCAGAUAUUUGGACUCAAGAAAUGGGCUCGAGUUUUGGGGCUCCCAAGCAAUCUAAAACUUCAAUUUCUCGGCUCAUCAAUGGGCCUCAUGAAUGCUCGUUACCAUCCAUACUACAACCCACUCAGCAAGCCCCGAACAUUUGCAUGGCUUGGGCCUACUUAAGCUUAUAGCAUGGCUAUGUGUAAUAAUGAUUUUCUGCUUGGCAUUGCAUGUUGAUUGGCGUGCCUGAAUUUUAUCGUCUUUGAAAAGGGAUAUGAUGCUUGACGGGAGAAUUAGCAUGGGCUUGUAGAGCUAGUGCCUUUUAUGGGCUCAUUUCAAUUCUUAGCGUGACGGAUUGCAUAUUUAUUUCGCAUGGCACGUGGAUCGUGGCUCUUGCAAGCAUGCAUGACGAAUUUCGCAUACUCCAAACCGAGUCUCUUCUUAAUUAGGUGUCGCACUGGACCAGGAAUUUAUUUGGACCUCAAGUUACAUACACGAUUUUUUUUUUCUUCACAUGGGUCAUUUUAGUAGUUGUGAUAACUUAAUAGUAUAUCUUCCUAUGUUAAAAUUAUAUACAUGGGAUUUUUCUCAUGCGCGUGAGAGAUUUAGGUCCCAUAUCAUUUUAUUGUGAACUCUUUAUUGAAUAUCCUCCCAUUCGCAAUUUAUGCGCAUUUUCUCAAGCUCAUGAAAGAUUCUGGUGAUUAGAUUACUUAAUGGAACAAUGAACUUAUGAUAACAUUUGUCAUGCAUAUACAUGCGCGCAUGAGAGUAUUGUCAUAGUAUCUAUACAUGCCCCAUUCUUAUCAUCUUCUCUGCUUGAUCUGGAAAUAUUAUCUAUGAUUCGCUAACACGACACGAAUUCACAAGAAAAAAUCAAUAUUUGGGUUUAGCUUGGACUCGUUAGCCACCCAUUAAGCUAAUAGGUCAUAUCAGUAUCAUUCACGAAUAUUCGCUAACGGGUUGUGUUGGUCAUUCACGAAUUUAAACAGGUCAUGUCCGUGUUUGGUAUUUUCCACCCGUUAACUUAACGGGUCGUGUUCAUAUCAACUCGUUAAGAAAGUGGGUCAACACAAACACAACAAUAUAUUUGGUCCAAGUGCUAUGGGUAUAGCAAUGCUGCAUUGAUCCUAAGCUUUUUUAUUUUUUGUUUGGACGGAUGAUGCUAAGCUUAAUGAGUGCAAUAUAUUUUGCUAAAUAUAUAUGAGCUCAAGAAACUCCGAAUUAUGGUGCAGCACCCAACACCUUUAGAACAUUACAAAAGGGACCAACAAAGCUUAACAAGCCUCAUGAAACACUGUGACUGCAAACAAAUCAACUGGGUCAUUUAGGCCCAGUCCCCAAACAAAGUUCUUUCCCUAAUCAUAUUUACGAAUGGAAGUUGAAAGUUGAAGCCACUCAUUUAUUUCACAUGCAAUUUAAUUUGUGCUCUCAUAUUAAUUAUUUAAGCACUAAUUUUAUGCGCAUUUGGUAUUUGAGGUUGAUAAUUUAGUGGUGCUGAUGGACAAGUCUUAACUGUGUGUGUGUUUUGCAGAAGUACAGGCUCAACAGCAGGGGCGCCCAACCAGCAGCUUCUGCCAACAGUUCGCAGAGGGCAGCCCUGUUUUACUACAGGGACAUGUGGAACCCUAGCGCUUCUGAGCAGUCAAACUCUCGGCAGCAGCAGCUCGAAAGUGCAAGGAAUGGUGGAGAUGGCUCUUCAGUUGGUGGCUCUAGCAGAACCAGAAUUGAAAAAAUCAAAGAGUUAGGUUAGAUGAUGUUUAGUUAUGCAUCUGCUGAGAUUUUGCAUAUGUGUAUAUGAGGGCAUGUAUAGCAAAAGAUUAGGAUUCAGGAAAUAAUCAGAACCUGAAAGUUGUUUAUAAUUUCUUCUUUCUUUUUUGGGUCUCAAAAGUUGUUUAAUUUCAUGUUGAAUUGUAGCUGUGAUGCAUUUUUUGUUUUUGUUUUUGCUUUUUGGGUUUCAAUUUCUGCCCAAAUUGGUGCAGUUUAAGUUCUAAAAUUUCCAUUUUCAUGGACUUGUGUUUCCCAAGCAAACUGGUCUAAGAAGAACAAUUCAAUUUUAGCAUGAAGAAGCAAUUUUUUCUUCUUCUUCUCGAAGGGUCUUUUUGAUUGGACAAUGUUGAAAUGCAGCUCCAAAUUCAGCAAUUCAGGUAUAAUUCUACAGAGGGAGUUCAUAAUUAAUGCAAACAGUGGCACAAAAUCUCAGAAUAUAUUGGGAUUUUUUACUAAGUAAAUGAAGUCUGUCAGAUGAUGAGAGAACCAUAGCUUUAUUCCAAGUACAAUAACUUACAUACUCCUUACAAAGUACAAACUUACAAGCCCUACUACAUAUGCUUCUGAUAAUUGCACACCCCAUACAAACUUAACAUGAUUUAUUUAGUUAAUGAUUUCAGUUUAAUAUCAAGGAGAAGUAGUUUGCUUUGAAGAAGCCCGUGGGAUUCCAGGAAUGCGAGAUGUUGGUGGUGAUGGAUUUGGAGGCAAACUUGUUUUUGGAAUUUGUGGUGUUGUGAAGGAAGUAUCUGGGCGAGCUACUUUUUUAUCAUUUAGUUGCCCUGCCUUUCCUAGUCCUGGAAGUCCAGGAAGUCCUGGGAGUCCUGGAAGUCCCGGAAGUCCUGGAAGUCCCGGAAGUCCUGGAAGUCCCGGCAGUCCCGGAAGUCCUGGCAGUCCCGGAAGUCCUAAUAAUUUUUUGUCAGUUAGUUGCCCUCCCUUUGUAUUUUUACCAGUAAAGGGGGUUAAUUGUGGAAUUCCUGGAAGUCCUGGGAGUCCUGGAAGUCCUGUUCCUGGGAGUCCUGGAAGUCCUACUUUUUUAUCAG